rnacentral:lncRNA from 1 species
UUUACGGAGUUGCAACUAUUCAUUGAAAAGAAUUCAGUUCUUACAAGUAAAUGCUCAAUACCCAAGUAGGCUUACAAAUUUGAUCAUGAUCAAGUGCUUUUUGGAUUGUCUCAUGUCUUUUGAUUGGUGUUUAUCCCCACAACAUCUCGAUUUUCUUACAUACAAAGUAUUUACUUGUUACUAAUAAAGUCUAGCCACUGUUUUUCCUUAGAUCCCUUAUUUCACUCCGAUAGUAUCAUAGAUCGGGAUCGAUGCAGAGGAAAUGAAUGCAUUUCUACACUAUAAAUAAAAUAAAGUAAGUGGAAUAGAUAGAACAUUGGAUCAUGCCACAUCACUUAUUCUAUUCUACGGGAUCUUACGGAGCCUGUUCAUGCAUGACAUGAUUCGGGUAUGAUCAUAGAAAAGAUUCUCCUCAAGCGAACCUGCCUAUCCUCUGCUACGCUACAUAGGGGGACUUACGUGGUGGUUGGAUGCGGAGACACAUUUGGUUAUGAAUUCCAACGUGGCGGAUAAAAUCAUAUAUCUGCAUGGCCCAAUUAAUAGUUCAAGUCACACACUCCCAUAAUCCAUCCUCUCUUCGAAAAAUCCACUUCAACUAUUCGUAUCAAUUAAGAAAUACAAUACUUCGGAGUUGAAGAGAAGUAUCCAAAUAACAUGUCUUAUUUUUUCAAUAAUCCAUAUUUGUAGCAAUGAAUCCAUAUUUGUAGCAAUGAAAUAAUAUUGUUCCUUCCCGAUAUGAUAUAUGAUCAAUUACAAAUAUCUAUGAUCUGUCUUCUCUAUAAAGGACCCGAAAUACCUUGCUUACGUAUCAUUGGAAAGUGCAUUAACAUAAAUACGGCAGUAAGAAGAGGCAAUACAAAAGUGUGUAAACUAUAAAAACGAGUCAAAGUGGAUUGGCCCACACUAGCACUUCCACGUAAUAACUCUACCAAAGGCGAUCCUAUUACAGGAAUAGCUUCAGGUACACCUGUCACGAUUUUUACUGCCCAAUAACCAAUUUGGUCCCGAGGUAAGGAAUAACCAGUUACACCAAAAGAUGCAGUCAAUACACCUAAAACCACACCUGUAACCCAAGUUAAUUCGCGGGGUUUUUUAAAUCCACCUGUGAGAUAUACACGAAAUACGUGCAGGAUCAUCAUUAGAACCAUCAUACUUGCUGACCAUCGAUGAACUGAUCGAAUUAACCAACCAAAAUUGGCCUCAGUCAUUAUGUAUUGAACAGAGGAAAAAGCUUCUGUAACGGUUGGACGAUAGUAAAAAGUCAUAGCAAAACCUGUAGCUACUUGUACUAAAAAACAAGUAAGUGUGAUCCCCCCUAAACAAUAAAAUAUGUUGACAUGAGGAGGAACAUAUUUACUAGUUAUAUCAUCUGCAAUCGCCUGAAUCUCGAGACGUUCCUCAAACCAAUCAUAUACCUUAUUGAGAUAGGUAAUCCAAAAGAAUUCCCCCUCUGAGAACCGUAUAUGAGAAUUUCAUCUCGUACGGCUCAAGCAGAAACACACAAAUACUGAUUUCAACGGAUAUGUAAUAGAAAGUUCAAAACUUCUUAGCCACUUGAUUCGAUUUGCCCCAAAGAUAGGAAGUAACAAAAUCCGGAAUCUCUUCUUUGUGAUGAUAAUGCCAAAAAUAUCAAGUUGGCUCAUCCGUCUUUCUUUAUGUUGAUCGGUACAGGCCUCUUGAAUCUUCUCUUUCCUAUUUUUUUAUUUGUUAUUUGAUUUGUUAUUUUUUUGUGCGUAAUGCAGAUUAACAAUAGUUUUGCUAUUGAUAGGAAUUCCCUUGUUGAGACCCUAUGAAUCAAUUGAAACCUCAGAUUCAUACUAGAACCACGAUGAUUUAAUCAAGCAAAGCCUCAAGCUAAACUCAAAGGUUCUCUGAGUAAGAACCGUUUGAUGAUCACUUAUUCAAUGAAUGGAUGUAAUGACUCAACAAAAUCUAGAGAAACAUUUGUCCUUUGUUCAAACUGAAAGAAGAAAAAUCGUUUGAUUUAGGAAAUACCUAUUUGAAUUUUUUUUGAGUCCGGUUGCGAAGUCUGAAUAGUAAAUAGUAGGUAUGAAUCAUAGUUCAAAUAUUUCUUUUCUUGAUCUAUUCUAUAUAUUCCGUGCUCCAGAUACUAGAAUAAAUAUCCGACGAGUUAGAAUCAUCUUGAUAGAGAUGACAGGCCCAUUUUCUGUAUUAUCAAUAGGAUCAAUUAUAACAAGUCACACACUCAUAUUCCGGAAAUACCGAAACAAAUAAAUCUCACGGUCGAACUACCAGAAUGGUCUAGAAAUCCGAGUCUUUCUUAAGUAAAGUAAUUUUUUUGAUUGAAAAACUGGGACUUUCUAGUUCUUAUGAACCUAACUCAUUGAAAUUCCAUCCAGUAAAACGGAAGAAUUAUAAAUUUCCAAAAUAAUAGAUAGGAAUAUCGCAAAUAGAGCCAUUGCGACCCCCAUAAGUGGUGUAGUCCCCCAGCCCGGUGCUACUUUACCAUAUUCCGAAUUCAAUGGUUUCAAUAAAUUCCCUACAGUAGUUCGUCUUGGCCCAGAUCUAGAACUACCCUCAACGGUUUGUGUAGCCAUAAAAUACUAUUCCUUGGUUGAGAUCUGUUGACUUUGUAUACCAUUCCGUUGUAGUUGUAAAUAAACGAUCUUAUCGUAGAUCCAUUGUGAUCUUGAAAUUAUCUAAAAAUGGAAACAGCAACCCUAGUCGCCAUCUCCAUAUCUGGUUUACUUGUAAGCUUUACUGGGUACGCCUUAUAUACCGCUUUUGGGCAACCCUCUCAACAACUAAGAGAUCCAUUCGAAGAACACGGGGACUAGUUGAAGUAAUGAGUCUCCCAUAUUGGGAGGCUCAUUACUUCAAUUUAGAUAAUGAAAAAUUAUUUCAUUUUUUAGUUUUAGUCGGAACCUUAGGCGGUUCUCGAAAAAAGAUAGCGAAAAAAAUUAUCCCUAAAGUCGAGACUAAAAGGAAUGUAUAAACCAAUGCUUCCAUAGAUUCGAUCGUGGUUUACAAUUAUAGCUUCCACACCUAUUCAUUUGGGAUCAUUUACCAUAUAAAGAAAAGUAAAGAGUCAAAGAAUAAAUGGUGAUUCAAAUCAAGAUUUCUCCGGUACCUUAUGUCAAAUCAAAAAAAAUAGAGGCGAAAGAUACCAGAGCAAUGUUGUAUCAGACUACUUGUCUCCUUGUAGUUGGAUCCCCAAGUUUUUGAAAUGUUCCAAAUUCCACUUGAGCAUCCAAAUCUGGAUCAAUACCAGCAAAAACAUCUCUGAACAAGGUUCUAGCACCAUGCCAAAUGUGUCCAAAAAAGAAGAGCAAAGCAAACGUAGCAUGCCCAAAAGUGAACCAACCCCUUGGACUGCUACGAAAAACACCAUCGGAUUUCAAAGUAGCCCGAUCUAAUUCAAAAAUUUCACCUAAUUGGGCACGUCUAGCGUAUUUUUUUACAGUAGCAGGAUCACCAUAACUAACUCCAUUGAGUUCGCCACCAUAGAACUCGACAGUUACACCUACUUGUUCAACACUAUAUUUUGAUUCUGCCCUUCUAAAAGGAACAUCGGCUCUCACAAUUCCGUCUCCAUCUACUAAAACUACCGGAAAUGUUUCAAAAAAAGUAGGCAUACGACGUACAAAAAGCUCGCGCCCUUCUUUAUCUCUAAAGACGGGGUGUCCUAACCAUCCAACAGCUAUUCCAUCCCCGUUGUCCAUUGAGCCUGCUCUGAAUAAUCCCCCUUUUGCCGGAUUAUUACCAAUGUAAUCAUAAAAAGCUAAUUUUUCGGGAAUUUUAGACCAAGCUUCCGAUAAACUCAGAUUUUCGGCUAGUCCGGCGCUAACUCUUCGAUAUAUUUCUUGCUGAAAGUAUCCCUGAUCCCACUGAUAACGAGUGGGACCAAAUAAUUCGAUUGGGGUAGUUGCUGAACCAUACCACAUAGUUCCAGCAACAACGAAAGCUGCAAAAAAAACAGCAGCGAUACUACUAGAAAGUACAGUUUCAAUAUUUCCCAUACGUAAUCCUUUGUAUAGACGUUGAGGCGGACGGACACUAAGAUGGAAUAGACCUGCUAAUAUGCCCAAUGUACCCGCUGCAAUAUGAUGAGAGGCUAUUCCUCCCGGAACAAAAGGAUCAAAACCUUCCGCGCCCCACGCUGGAUUUACAGAUUGUACUUUUCCAGUUAGUCCAUAAGGAUCGGACACCCAUAUUCCAGGACCAUACAAACCUGUUACAUGAAAUGCGCCAAAGCCAAAGCUAAAUCCUCUUCCCUUCGCUCCUUCCCCGAGCAUUCAAUUCAGUUUUCGCAGAUGAGUUGUCGGGAAUGUCUAUCUCUAUAACAGCUGAUAUGCGACAUAUCUAUAAUCUCUCUUAUUGCAGCUGAUAUGCGACAAUUCCAGUCUUGAGGACUUUCAUAAAAUAGGAAUAGAAAUCCAAUCUCAUUCUCUAAGUGUCUUUUUUUUGCCAGUUCGUUUUUCCUUCUAUCUCAUAUCAAAUAGAAAAAAGAUCUUACCAUCAAUAUGGCACCGAGCUAACUUCCUGCACUGUAGUACGAGAGACUCUACUCUGGCUGAAUGGCUCUCAUUUUACUGUAAAGUCCUAACCCUCGAAUUACGAGCUUUCCACUUGCUACUCAAACUGGAAAAAGAGGACGGCAUUGUUACACCCUCCCCUCAGUCUGUUACAGAUGUCCAUCCCCUUACUUUCUUAUCUAAUUUGACUGAAGGAACCUUGGACCACUGGAGCUUUCACCAUGCGAAAGACAAGACACCCGCCCCUCUUGACAAGACGGCUACAAUCACUGGCAUCAGAAGAAGAGCAGGAAAUGGGAAGACUAGAUAGAUAGCGUAUACUGGUUAAUCACAUGAAAGAGAAAAAGAACAGGAAACAUAUAAAGAACCGGAAAGGCGCGUGCUACUGAAUGGGUAACGUAACCACACCUUAUCAAAAACUGACGGGACUUGAAGACGUAAGCUGAGCCUCUUUCUUGAUUUGCUUGACAGACUAUCGGGAAUCGGGAAAAGGCAAAGGGCACAGUCUUUAGGAGCUUAUUCAUACAAGACUUGCUGUCGUUAGGGCUGUCUUUCCUAACAUGGAGACUGUCCGCUUUCAAACUGAGACUAUACUAAACGUGAAUUGAGAGUACGAGUUUGAUAUAAAGCUGCUAUGAUUAAGAGAAACAUCUAGCCGUAAGCAAUUCCUUUUCCUGGCUAUAAGAAAAGAGGCGAGCUAACACUGGUUGGGAAUAUUACUAGCGAAUCUGGGACUGACAAACUAACUAGACCAUUCUCUAACUUCUCUAAGACCUUCUUACUACGCGCUUUAUUGCGAUUCCCUACCAUUCGACUCGACUGAAAGGAUUUCCACCCCUAUCUAAUCAACCGGAAGCUGAAAGAGAAGAUGACGUGUAAGCCCUCACGCAGGGUAAAAUCACUGGCUUGCUAAGAGAACUCCCUUCACGUACAACGAUAACGAGACUUUAGGGUCGAUGGUUUUGAGUCUAAGAAAGGACAGAAAGAUGAUAACUUGACCUUUGUUAGUGCUUUAGUUAAGUAAUACCAGGAGAGCUUAACAUCAGUCCCUUCCUCACCACUUGCAUUCUAUGUGAUCUUCCUUCUACUCAAGAGCUGCCCCUGCCCUUUCGAUCUUACAUGUGUUAAGUAGGGAGAGUCAAUUGAUUCAUUUCACCAAUGCUUCGAUCACUUAUACUUUUGACCGGUUAUAGGAACAUUCCUAUAGAUAGCGGAGAGCUAGAUUAGAUCUCAAGGAAUGGAAUCCACGCAAGGAAAGGACAGUGUAACCAUCACUCGUUAAGAGUGAACCUUUUGAUAAUGCGGGAAAAAAAAUGACGAAUAACACUCUUUAUUACAUUAUAGAUGCGGAUAAUCGAAUCGUCUGUUUGAUAGAUAAAUUUUCCACCUUUCUUUAAAGCGGUAUAACACUAACUAAGGAGGUAGUUCUAGUUCCUAGCUUUCACUUGGGCAAUUUCUAAUGUCAUUAGAAUCCAUAGAAGAAAGAGAGAGAAAAGAAGAGGAAACGUACUAAGUAGUAGACCGCCCUAGGAAUGUGAAUUCUAUUGCCUUCCUUGCUUUCCGUGAAAAAGGAAGUUCCUCUUUUGGGUAAUUAGUGAAAGCAGCAAUUCCGGUAGAAAGAGACAAACCUCGUUCGUGGAAUAAGACUUUUUCGCUUUGCAAUACCAUAAGCCUUAUUCCCCCAAUCCAAAGCGAAGCUCCGCUCAGCGAUGAUUUUUAGCUAUUAAGGCACAGAGGACUGCUUCUGUCGAAAGACUUUCCGUAGCUCAGUACUGCCGUAUUGACUUCUGUACUUUAUAUCUGGUAUUUCUUUAGACCCGUCCCGCUAUUCCUGAAAGUAGGAAAUAUACGACCUUUCUUUCUCCAGCGUAUUUUCACCCCAUCUACUAAGCCAUCCAUUAAGGUACACCCCUAUUCUUAGUAUCCCCAGGCUGACAAUCAAAUUAGCGGCACCAAAGUGUUCAAUGAAACCCCAAGAGGUUCCCGAAUACGAAUACACAGGUCCGUCUGCCUUGGGCGCAUAGAACCCAGAUCUCGCUCCCAGAUCAACCUUCCGUCUUCUUCAGGGUGGAAGACUUUCCGUCCAUUAUGGAGUAUGCCAUCCCGGCAAGACAGACACGAGAGCAGAUUGAGCUCCUUCCCUUCUUAUGCAUAGCGUCGCUAGCAGAUACUAUCCCACGCACCCAAGGAGAGAUCCACAUUUAGAAAUCUCUUUCCUCUUUGAUAAAAAAAGGGGAACAAAUUCAAAGGGCCCAGAGAAUAGACUACUCUACUUAUGUUAGUCGGGACCGUUCGUCAACUACUCUAUCAGGCCAUCGGCUUGCGGUGUAUGUUUUCCUACUAGGUCCUGGUCUGCGGAAUCCUUCAGAAGAACAGUAAGAUGGUACAGGAGAACCGAAUCUCUACGACUACGUAAAGCAUUCAAAAGAUAUUCCGAUCUGUUAUCGCUGAGCUUCGCCGCGCUUGCUGUACUUCCUGCGAUAUCCAGUCUUGCUAUUGCCUAUUGUUUUCCUUUUACGUUCUCGUCUCUUCAAUCUAAAUAAAAAGAAAGAGUUAGAUCCAUGCGCAAGAAAGAAUAGAUUAGUAAGGCAAGGAACUGAUUGACCAUUCAUUCUGUAACAGUGGAAAUUAGCCCUCGUAAGGCCGACAAUAAAGGAGAAGACUUGAAUAGCAGACUAAGAGGGGCGUAGCGUCUUUACUAUUGGGAUAACUUGAAUCUUCCUCGAUAGGUACAUAGAACGAAGCUUUCAGUGCAGCAUUCCAUUGAAGACGAGAAAGCAAAGAAAAUACAUAUUGUACCAUUCCUAUAACUCCUAUGGAAUUUUUUUUUUGAAAGUGGAUAUAUCCAUCCUGAAGGCCUUUUCAACAAGAUCGAAAAUCAUGCUUUUCAUCCCAAGUGGAAUGCCAAAAGCAGCAGAAGAUCUAUUUAUUUCAAUUCCGAGGAAGAUCAAAGUCAAGGGGCGAAGCGAAAGCUGUACAAUAUACCUAGAUCCGAGCUAGCCGGGUAUUCACUCGAUUUUCAGUCUAUGAUUGCCUGCUAUAAGUAGAGAGGAGAAGGAGAGGUGAGAGGUAAGGCUAUGUUCCUUUUUUCUUUCUCGAUGGGGGAAAGCUUAAGUUAAAAAAGUGGUCAAGCCAAGAAGAAUCGGGUGGGAACAUUCGACUUCAUCGGUCGGGUUCGCUUUACUUUACCUUCUGUCUGUGCUAGCUAGGCUAAGCUAAGUCUGGCUGCUUUAGUGGAGCCGGUGGCUUGACAAAGAGAGUACGGGAAGAAUUGAUUCCUAUGCGUCCGAAGCUAAUGAAUCUGAUGCCAUGGAUUCUGUUUUCAUGCUAGCGAGAAACGAAUACCUGGCUUCAAGGGAAUGGGCAGAGACCCGGAUUUACCUUUUUCCAAUCAAAGGAUCAGGAUAGGAGAAUGGAAUGGGACUAGACCUGCAACCACAUUCACUCACUCUAAUCUCUAAUAUACAGCGAAUUCGACGGGAGAGACUUUUCACUCAAGGAAAAGGCCUUUCGGCUUACUUACACGAUAAGGGGGAAGAGACCUCAAAGCACAUUCACUGAUAGCAGAAUGGACAGCUUCGAAGGCUUACAAGGAUACCAGAUUGAAAAGCAUUGCCCCUUCCACGAUGAAAGACAUUAGGCCCUGACCGAUAGGCUUAAGGGAAGGAUUGGGCAGGCAGAGACGGAGAGGAUUCCAUACGGGACUCAGGGGUUCCCCCAAGCGAAGAGCAAAUGAGACCGGAAAGAAGAGAAACUCGAUAUACGAAACUCAAGAAGGUUCAAUCCAUCUGAUUCCCCAUUUCCUCGCUUAGCCGGACAUAGGCACUUUAGGAAGACAACAAUGGACGUAAUGGACUACUUUUCAGACAGGGCAGUUACAUUCUCUAGUGAUGGAGCAACCGAACUGGAUGCCUCCUUCCCCGAGUAUUCCAGUAUCUCGCUUUCUAUUCGUGUUGUUGCAAUGCUAACGAGGUACUAGCUUUUCUACAGAAUUCGUACAUUCAAAAGUACAAGUUGUAUCUUCCAUAAGAAGAUAAAGCCCAAAGGGAAAGGCGAAACCGAAAACCUCCUCAACUUAAGAAGUAUCAAUACGCGCUUAAAGCAUUUCCAACUAUAAUUGCGUAAGAGAAAGGAAUUCAUUGACUUCGAACAACAAAAAGGAGGUCAAUGAGCACUAACUCUCUUCUCUGACUUUUUUUUUUGAAAGGAAUGCUGCUAUAAAAAACGGAGGCGGAAUUACAGUUCAGUUCGACGUAUAAUGCAGGAUAGCUGCCGCGGAAAAAAUUCACAAAAUUUUCGUAUAGAAACAACAGCAGCAGUACGGCUUUUAGAGGGCCCUCUCCUCUCUUCUAUUACUUGUUGGAGUUCCCCUGUCUCCCAUCUUCUUUUCAAGUCCCACGCUUUCCCCGGUUAACAACGGCGGACCCUCUUUUUUGAAAUGAAAUAGAGUCCCAAAAAGGAAACAGAACAAUUUUGAAUCAAAGAGUUGAAUGGCAACCCGAAUGAGCCCACUUGAGCAAUUUUCCAUUCACCCAUUAAUUCUUAUGAAGAUAGGCAACUUUUAUUUCUCAUUCACAAAUCCAUCCUUGUCUAUGCUGCUAACUCUCGGUUUGGUCCUACUUCUUCUUUUUUUUGUUACGAAAAAGGGAGGGGGAAAGUCAGUGCCAAAUGCUUGGCAAUCCUUGGUAGAGCUUAUUCAUGAUUUCGUGCCGAACCCGGUAAACGAACAAAUAGGUGGUCUUUCCGGAAAUGUGAAACAAAAGUUUUCCCCUCGCAUCUCGGUCACUUUUACUUUUUCGUUAUUUCGUAAUCCCCAGGGUAUGAUACCCUUUAGCUUCACAGUGACAAGUCAUUUUCUCAUUACUUUGGCUCUCUCAUUUUCGAUUUUUAUAGGCAUUACGAUCGUUGGAUUUCAAAGACAUGGGCUUCAUUUUUUUAGCUUCUCAUUACCUGCAGGAGUCCCACUGCCGUUAGCACCUUUUUUAGUACUCCUUGAGCUAAUCCCUCAUUGUUUUCGUGCAUUAAGCUCAGGAAUACGUUUAUUUGCUAAUAUGAUGGCCGGUCAUAGUUCAGUAAAGAUUUUAAGUGGGUCUGCUUGGACUAUGCUAUUUAUGAAUAACAUUUUUUAUUUCAUAGGAGAUCCUGGUCCUUUAUUUAUAGUUCUAGCAUUAACCGGUCCGGAAUUAGGUGUAGCUAUAUCACAAGCUCAUGUUUCUACGAUCUCAAUCUGUAUUUACUUGAAUGAUGCUACAAAUCUCCAUCAAAAUGAGUCAUUUCAUAAUUGAAUAAAAACGAGGAGCCGAAGAUGUUAGGGGCUACAGCUACGCUUUUGCAGCACCGAACAUGGUUCCGGGUACUCAAGAUAUUGUGUCUGGAGAGGUAGAUAGAUAGGACUACGUCUUGCUCGAUCAGGACCCUAGCUUUAUUGCGAGCCAAAAGACCCUGAAAGAAUAACUAAGGAAAUACCGCAUUUAGAACAGAAGCUCAUUUACUCCGCUAUUUAGACAGCUCGUUGACUUUACUUAACGUUGGUUUCGGUUCGAUCCACUAUCCUUUUUGAAGCGGAUAGUUCACAGUGCUCAUUCUCAAAAAAACCGGAAAAGCCAACUCAUCAUGAUGUUUCCACUCCAUUUUCAUUACGAAGAUGUAUCACGUCAGGAUCCGUUGCUCAAACCGAAUCACGCCAACGUUAUGGAAGUUCCUGGAUCGUUUGAAAUAAGAUUAGUACCAAAAGCAGCCUCUGAUUUCAGAAUCAAAUAUGGAAAAUUGGCUAUGGAGAUUCCGCGCGGUCAGAGAUUCAUACAGACAGAAAGGGGCCCUUAUUUCCAAGCAGGAAAGUCGUUUCGAUCCAAUCCAUUCUUGGGGUCCGAAAAAGACACAGGAUAUGUCAGUGACUUUGCACGACAAAGCGCUCUCCGAGGGUAUGGAAUGUCUAAUUUUUUGGUCAGAAUCUCGACAGUAAUGUCUAUGUUAGAUUCUCCGGUCGAAAUACGGGAAAACCCCAUGAAAUUUUCGAUGGAAACGGAGUUUUGCGAAUUCUCCCCGGAACUGGAAGAUCAUUUCGAGAUCUUCGAGCAUAUUCGAGGGUUCAAUGUUACUAUUGUCACUUCGGCAAACACAAAAGAUGAGACUUUACCACCGUGGAGCGGCUUUUUGCUAAAAGAUGAGGGAGAAACUAAGUAAGAUGUCGGAGAAGCGAAAUAUACGAGAUCACAAACGUAGAUUGCUCGCGGCUAAAUAUGAAUUGAGACGAAAGCUUUAUAAAGCCUUUUGUAAAGAUCCCGAUCUUCCGUCUGAUAUGCGGGACAAACAUCGUUAUAAGUUGUCCAAGUUGCCAAGAAAUAGUUCCUUUGCACGAGUAAGAAACCGAUGUAUUUCCACGGGUCGCCCUCGUUCCGUAGUUGAGUUCUUUCGCAUUUCUCGUAUCGUUUUUCGUGGAUUAGCAUCUCGAGGUCCUUUGAUGGGCAUAAAGAAAUCGUCUUGGUAGCAACCACCAAACCAAUAGAACAAAGGUUAGCUCUGCAGCUGGUCCACAAGCAAGGGUUGUAGGUCCAUUACCGUCCGGCUCCGGACCGAAAAGACCUAACGGAGUCAUCCCAACUCUCGGAUCGGAGAUGCUAACGAGACGGGAAUCGAAGUGGGGGACCUCUCUACCGCACCUGUCUCCCCAGACAUAGACUACAGGGUAGUACUCUUGGAAAGAUAGAAGAUCACCGCGUGAACAACAUCUAAAGUGACGAAUGUCACUCCCGAGGGAUCGACCACUAUUAUAAUAUAUUUUUUUAGAGAACUCUUGUUCAUGUUCACGCCGGAGUGCUGAGGUUGUUCCCACCAUUGAAGUCAGAGUCUGGGUGUGGGCCCGCUUACUAAUACUUACUAAUAGGGUUCCGAAUGAAAAAGACCAAAAAGUGCUUCGUUUCGUUGGUAGAACCAACGCCAAUAUCAUAUUGACUCUCUCUCGUCCAAUAAGAGUUUCCGAGAGUGACUUUCUUCAAAUUCUCUCCUUUCCAAAGCUCCACAAGGCAGGCAAAAAGAAAGAGUAAUAGGACAACAAGCAAUGUUGCUUUCAUUUUAGUUCUUUCUUUGUUGAGAUUGAAAUCGACCUUCUUUUGAAAAGGGGUAGGUAGUUUGCACGCAGGCAAAACUUCUUCAUGAAAGGAGUUCCUGACUUUUCUUUCAUAGGUUUCUUAAUGACUAGUCGUUCGUUUGAAGCCUUAAGAAACCGGCAGUUUUUUUUCCGAAUGACGUUCUUUUGAGAAUCAAGAAACCGAAAAAUCCGUAGCCCAGGUGAUUCACUGCCUCCCUCUCGCUAAAAUGGGAUGAAUCUUCUCAUGCAGCUUUUUGAUUAUUCAGGGCGCAGCGAAGCCAAUUUCCAUCAAGGCAAGGGGGUAAAUAAGGGGGAAGAGGAGUUGUCACGAUAGAAAAGAGAAAUGACUAUAAGGAACCAACGAUUCUCUCUUCUUAAACAACCGAUAUCCUCCACACUUAACCAGCAUUUGAUAGAUUAUCCAACCCCGAGCAAUCUUAGUUAUUGGUGGGGGUUCGGUCCGUUAGCUGGUAUUUGUUUAGUCAUUCAGAUAGUGACUGGCGUUUUUUUAGCUAUGCAUCACACACCUCAUGUGGAUCUAGCUUUCAACAGCGUAGAACACGUUAUGAGAGAUGUUGAAGGGGGCUGGUUGCUCCGUUAUAUGCAUGCUAAUGGGGCAAGUAUGUUUCUCAUUGUGGUUCACCUUCAUAUUUUUCGUGGUCUAUAUCAUGCGAGUUAUAGCAGUCCUAGGGAAUUUGUUCGGUGUCUCGGAGUUGUCAUAUUCCUAUUAAUGAUUGUGACAGCUUUUAUAGGAUACGUACCACCUUGGGGUCAGAUGAGCUUUUGGGGAGCUACAGUAAUUACAAGCUUAGCUAGCGCCAUACCUGUAGUAGGAGAUACCAUAGUGACUUGGCUUUGGGGUGGUUUCUCCGUGGACAAUGCCACCUUAAAUCGUUUUUUUAGUCUCCAUCAUUUACUCCCCCUUAUUUUAGUAGGCGCCAGUCUUCUUCAUCUGGCCGCAUUGCAUCAAUAUGGAUCAAAUAAUCCAUUGGGUGUACAUUCAGAGAUGGAUAAAAUUGCUUCUUACCCUUAUUUUUAUGUAAAGGAUCUAGUAGGUCGGGUAGCUUCUGCUAUCUUUUCUUCCAUUUGGAUUUUUUAUGCUCCUAAUGUUUUGGGGCAUCCCGACAAUUAUAUACCUGCUAAUCCGAUGCCCACCCCGCCUCAUAUUGUGCCGGAAUGGUAUUUCCUACCGAUCCAUGCCAUUCUUCGCAGUAUACCUGACAAAUCGGGAGGUGUAGCCGCAAUAGCACCAGUUUUUAUAUCUCUCUUGGCUUUACCUUUUUUUAAAAGUAUGUAUGUGCGUAGUUCAAGUUUUCGCCCGAUUCACCAAGGAAUAUUUUGGUUGCUUUUGGCGGAUCGCUUACUACUAGGUUGGAUCGGAUGUCAACCUGUGGAGGCACCAUUUGUGACUAUUGGACAAAUUCCUUCUUUCUUUUUCUUCUUGUUCUUUGCCAUAACGCCCAUUCCGGGACGGGUUGGAAGAGGAAUUCAAAAUUCUUACACGGAUGAGACUGAUCACACCUGAUCAGUGAAAAAUUCUUACACCAAUCAUUUUUUCAUUUACGAGUGAGUAUUACACAAAGAAUUUACAAGCGGAUGAGUUUGAGGCCUCAAUAGCUUAGAUAGGGAAAAAAUACUAUACUCUAGUAUAGGGUGGUAGGGCUGAACUUUCAAAUCCGGGGAGCCGACCACGGAAGCCUACUAGGUAGUUCGAAUCUUCCUCUGCCAACUAACUAGGACACGGGCAUCAGGUCGUCCAUCCAUUCAUUUAUAUUUACAACCUAGGACUAGUACUGUGGCCAACACGUGCUUCCGUACAUCACCAUAACUGCCUCCACGCAGCCCCUCAAGGCAACAUAACUCCUAUUGUGCCUACCAAGCCUCCAAAUAUACUAAAGCAUCAAGUAUCAAAAAUUUGAACUUUCCGAGUAGCACAGUGCUGAGUAGGGUGCCGAGCAUCAAGUCACCGAAUAACCCUUCAGAAAGAGUGCGUCACUUGCGUCUUUUUUCCGCAUCGAAAAGCAAAAUUUCUACUAUACUUCUCACUCUACCGAAAAAGCGCCUGAAACGUAAAGGAAUCUACGAGUAGUUUCAACGAGUUGCCCUAUAAACCGCCCAAGAACAGAAAGAAGAGAAGGAACUGCUUUCCUUAUGAACCGAUAGCCCUAGAGGAACGAGCCCACUAGCCGGAAGGAAAGCAAACUGAAAGCUCUACUGACGAGCGUCCCUAACUUGACUUGCCCGAAAGUGGAGCGAUUUCCUGACUCAAAAGCCGAAAAAAACUCCAUGGACUUGCACAGAACAGAAGGAGUUUUCACGGCAGGCUUGAAGAACUUGCAAAAGAGUCCCUGAACUAGACCUGCAACACUGACUUUCUCUCUCUAUCACCGUCACUGCCUUCCGACUGUCACUAUCCCUUUUGCAACGGAAAGUGAUCUCUCUGGCCGGAUCAAAACAGAAAGAGUGUCUUUUAUCACUAUGAGCUUUCCGCUUUCACUAGACUGACUGGACUUGCUUGAAAGAACUAGCUCUACUUCCGGCUUUAAGGAGCUUGACUUUAAAGUAGUUUACUUAAAGACUUCAAAUUUCCGAACGGUUUGAGUUACCACUUCCGCUAGCACCUGACUCGCCCGGCAAUACUGACUUGAACCGGCUCCCGCUUUGAUGGAGUUGUACUGGCUCUGGCACAGGUUCAGGUACUGGUGAAAGCUCUGUCUCUUUCCUCGGUUCUCGCUUGAAGGAGCGCUUGACUAAAAAGCAAAGAGUUUAGCGUUUUUCUUCCCGUAACCGACUUGACUUUCUGCCCAAGGAAGAAAGUCAAGAUUCUCUAAGCAAAGCACUCUCCAAGCCGAAAGAAAGAAGGAAUGUCUUACUUUCCCUACCGCACGGUAUGAGAGUUCCCACUUGAACCGGACGAGCAGCUUGCUCCUCGGAACCUAAAACAGAAGAAGGAGUUUAUACGACGCUGGAAAAGAAGAAAAAAGCAACCCUCAACUGUUCUCACGCCGACAACAAAGAGAGACAUACUUAGGCAAUCAACCGCCCAAGAUAGAAUUUCUAACUAUCCAAGCCUAAAGCCCGGAAGGAAAGGGAAGGGAAUUCUAUCUGACCUGACCUGCAAACCAAAGCCAACUAAACUAAGAAGAGAAUGGAUUUUUCUCCUAUCCGAAAGGAAAGCCGGAAAGCGAGUUGCGAGUAAAAGCGAAAGAAUUCCGAAUCUAAGAAAGAAGAGGGAAUUUAUCUAAGCCUAAGCAACCUGCCAAAAAACCAAACUCGACAGUCUCUAUCUCUACAGCCGAAAGCCUUCCUCUCAUCUCCAAAGCACCACCUACCAUCCUCGCGUAAGGAAAGGAACUGCUUACCGCAACUGUCGAUUUCAUAACUAAGCCGCCUGCGUUGCUUUAGUUUGAGACCGAGACUGAGGGGAUAUCCGUAGGUACCUUUCAGAUCCAGACUAGACUUUCAUUGAAAAAAAAAGAGAACAACCACCAUGAUGAUCUCUGAACCAAAAACAGAUUCGAACUCCUUCAUUCUCCCUUUGGGAUCUUGCUCAAGGUGGAGACGCAGAGGAAUUUUCAUUCAAAGACCCGUGCAUCGCUUUGCUUUUUGACGUCAUUGCGCGGAGGUGGAUUCUCGAUUCAUAACGAAAGCAGAACACUCGCCAGGGAUAGUCAAACAUAGGGUGCGGCGUCAAGCAACAUCUUCAUUAACGAUAAAAGAAACGAUCGUCAGAAGCUGAUUGCAAAACACCAAAUCUAUAUAGAAAGCAGCAUCUGUACGAGCUCACCUCGACCUGUAGCAAAAGGAGAGAGAGGGAGUGUGUAAAGACAUAAUGAGACUGGAGAUCAACAAUGGAAAACAAAACCAAGUCGCAUACCGGAGACGAAGUUAGGCAUAAGGCCGUGCAUGACUCAUUACCGAGCAAGAUGAACUCAACUGGGAGAACGACAGGAAGAGGUUCAGCGUCAAGCUGCCAAAGGUAGAACACAACACCUAGGGUGCAUGUGAAGGUCCUCAGGGAUACAGAUAGACAUGGGGUACCACUGUGGAUCCCAGUUGAAGGAGCAGUUGGAACGUCUUCAAUGAUCCGUAUAUGUUGUUGUUUCCACUUCCCUCAAUACUAGCUGAAGUCAUACUAAAAUCAUGCCAGGAAGCGUUGCAUUAGUGAGACACCGCAUCCACUACAAGUCUAAACCCUGAUAUCUUUUACACAGCCCAAGUCUUCACUCUGAAUGUCAAAGAGAAAGACGCAGGAUUUCAGGAAUAUCCUGAGAAAGUAUAGUAUAACGCCCGAACCUAACUAGAGAGUCUUAGUUGACCCAAAGUCAACCAAUGGGACUUCAAAAAAAAAUGAGGCAGAAAUUCUCCCCUUCAAUCCAAGAUGCAGGCAAAAAAAUAUCUGAUCAUAGCCUGUCAUCUAAUCCCAGUUCCUCCGAGACGUCGAUGAAUCCUCAUCAUCCGUCUCCUCCAGUUCCCUUACCUGUGUCCAUUCCCUCAAAUUCAAAUGAAAGAAAGGCACAUCAGAAAGACAAGAGUGAGUGUCCAGCCCUGCAGAACCAGUCCAUGGCCAUACAAGAGACCUAGAUAGAGAGCUAAUAAUCUUUAAGCAAGAAUGCAAAGCCGAGAGGCUAAGCGAAGAACUAAUUAGGGUUUGCCCUCUAACUUUGUCCCAAAGGUGGGCGAUCCCCAUAACUUUGAAGAUGAAAGACCAAGUCCUUAGGGUCAAUGCUUUCAUUGACUCCGGUUCUGAUCUGAAUUGUCUGCGGAAAGAAAUUGUCCCUCCAAGAUACUGGGACAAAUGUUCAGAAAAAGCCUAUGCAGUGAAUGGAGCACCUUUACAGAUCCCUCAUAUGGUCUGGAAUGUCCAUGUUUGCCGGAAUCGUGUUUGCCAGAAUUUUGACUAAGUAUUACUAAGGGAUCUAGAGCACGACUGUCUCCUCGGAACCACAUUCCUCUCUGCUUUGGAGAAGUUCCGGAUUUUCAAUGAUGAAAGGAUAGGAAUGAAAGCCUCAAUCAAGGAAACCAAAGUCUUCUUCCCGUCGAGCCUCCUAGGCUCUCGAAGAUCAGAAAGAUUGAGUUGAAGACCGAAGCAAUUGUUUGGGUUAAAGAUGUGAAAAAACCCUUCGUUUUUCACAUCAGCUCCAAACUCCCGAAAUCCAAGCAAGGAUCAAAGAAGUUCGAGACAAGACCGUUUUUUUUUCGUUGGUUCCAAACCAGUUUUGGUCUAGGCAUAAAUGGAGUCUUGAGCUUCCCUAUCGUUCCGGGUUUUUUUAGAGCAAGAUACCAACCAAGUCAAGGGCGAUCCAAAUGACUGAAGCCGACAGAAAACUUCAUCAAAGAUCUCCUUUAGAAGAAACUCAUCCGACCAAGCACCAGUCCCUGGUCAUGUGCGGCCUUUUAUGUCAACAAUCGCUACGAGCGUGAAAGAGCCAAUCCACCAAGGAGAUAGUUAUAAACUAUAAGUCGCUCAAUGAUGCCCUCAAAUGGAUCCGAUAUCCUGUCCCCAGUCGACUGUCUCUAAUUCAUCAUCUUUCUGGCGCCCCGAUCUUUAGCAAGUUUGAAAUGAAGUCUGGAUUUUGGCAGAUCCGGAUUGCUGAAAAAAGGACCGGUAUCAAACAGCUGGUACCGUUCCGUUGGGACAGAAUGGGCCUUUUGGAUUGAAAAAUGCACAGUCAGAGUUCCAGAGAGCCAUGGAUGAGAUAAUAAAGCCCCUAGCCUAUUUUGCAAUUGCCUACAUUGAUGACGUCCUUAUCUUCAGCAAGGCAAAAAGCUUAAAGCUUUUUGAAAAUCCAUUGAAAGAUCUGGAAUAGCGUUAUCAGCCAGAAGGAUGAAGCUUUUCCAGGAAGAAGUCGAGUUCCUUGGGCAGAAGAUCGAAGAAGGAAGAAUCAGGGUUCAAGAUCACUCCAUGGAAUUCUCUUUAAAAUUCCCUUACAAUCUUACCGACAAGAAGCAACUCCAGAGGUUCUUAGGAUGUCUGAACUACCUGUCCUAUUACUUUAUUACAAGAACUUGGCCUACGACCGAAAGAUCCUAUCCAAUAGGCUGAGGAAAAAUAAAUAGAAACCCUUAUCUUAUGAGUGUACCGAUGCCGUCAGGAGGAUCAACGAAAAGGUAAAGAAACUCCCAAUUCUUGCCCUGCCAGAUGACAAUAACGAGAAGGUGAUCGAGACCGAUGCAUCCGAAGUUGGGGCUGAGUCCUUAAACAGGUACAUGAUCGAAAGGAAGAGGUAAUCCAGUAUGCCUCCAGCGCGUGGAGUGACGUCAAGAAAAACUAUUCGACAAUCCAGAAGAAAGUUCUAGCAGCCUUGAAGUCCAUUCUAAAGUUCCAAAUCUACAUCCUUAACCAGAGGUUCCUGUUGAGAACAGAUUGUAAGGCGUUGAAAAAAACCCUUAAGAAAGAUGUCAAGACCCUCGCUGCAAAACAUAUUUUCGCUAGAUGGCAAGCCCCUCUUUUACUUUGAUAUAGAACAAAUAAAGGGGGAGAGUCACAGUCUCCCUUAUUUCCUAACCAGAAAAUUUCUUUUUUGAAAGGGAACCAGCCGAAUCAACAUGGUAUCCUGCGAAAGAACAGAGAAUCAAUGGGUUGUGAAUCAUACAGAAAUAGAGGCUCCCUGCCUUGAGCCUGAAGUCAUUGGUGGAAGCGCAGAUGGUUGGAACGUUGCAACCAUCAUCCUUGGACCCAGAAUAUAGAGCUCUUCCCUGCAACCUGGAGGAUGGAGAUGAGCUCAAGAUAGAUUAAAGGCAACGAAAUCGGCAUAUAUAAAAAAGCACUCUUACAGAGGCAAUGACAUCGCGUACUCCGUAUGCAUCUUCCAGAGGAUCAUCCCUUUUUCAGAGUGGGGAACUAUCACAAUGUUAGAUCCUCAAAUUCUAACUGGAAGCCAUAUCCGGUGCAGCUAUUUGUAAUAUCAAGAGUCCUUCAUUGAGGCUCUGAAGAUUAACAAUCCAGAUCGAACUCAUUCAUGGUUCUUUCUACUUGGGAGAAUGUUAAAUGUCGCCAGUAGGCCCGCUUGCUUUGAUAUCUGGUGGGCAAGAUUCGGAUUAUCAGCAGAAGCAGUACCCGAAUCAGAAGUCAGAAGAAGGAUCAGUACAGAAAGCCAAAUUGAAAUCCCAACCAGUCAAGAGGUAUUCGCUUAUGUGGCAGCAAAUCAGAUACCGUGGACGAUGAAAUCGGGGUUUGCACUUUGGUUUGAUCUCACGACAGCUGACCUCACUCGUACCUUCUACUCUAGGUAGUAAAAGAAUAAGGACGAGAAAUGAAAUAGGUAAAAAAAGCAGUCUUUUUGAUCAGAGAUAUCAGCAGUUCCGCUGGACCAUCAUGUGCCCCCAAUACCUUAUAAAAGCUUAGGGAGAGAAAAAGUGACAAAGCAUUCCUGGAGCAAGUGAAGAAGAAGGAGUCGUGACCCGACCAAUCCAGAUCCUCGACCCAGAAGACAUGCAGCCAGUUGCUACCAAGACACCAGGGCAAAAGGGAAAAAAAAAGAAAAAUAUAAGCCCAGUUAUAAGGGCAGUCUUGUCAAAGUUUUGAGUGACGAGGGUCAUAGGCUAGAAAGUAUAGAUUCUUGGAAUGUUCCUUUUCAUUUCAAUAGAAUUUGAGUGCAUGUUAUGCCUAUCAAAUUAUUAUUAUUAUAACGGUCAUGUGAGUGAAUAAAAGAAGAAGGCCACUUGGAUUCCCUCAUGUGAGUGGACAUGUGUCUCCUUGCAUGAGACCUUGAUGACCAAGGUUGAUGAGUCACCACUUAAGAGAAAAAGUAUUCUCUUGUUUGGACUAUAUUGACCAAGUUUGACUACCAUAUAGAGACUUGUGUCCCAAGGAAUGAGACAUGUGUCCUCCUAUAUAGAUAAGUUUCUAAGUAGGCAAGGGCAAGGGUUGCCUUAGUUCCCAAGUCAGUUGCCAUGUGUCUAGAUGUCAGUCUUGUGAGUCCUUGUAUGUAUCCAAUUGAAUGACACUUGUCACCUCCAUGAAGGCUCUCUAAGUCUAUAUAAAAAGUCGCCCAUGAGAGGAGAAGUGGAGGUUGGUGAGAGGUUGAAGUGAGACUUGUGAAGAUAGUGUGAGUGACUCAUAUGUCUUAGGAGUGAAGUCCUUUGUAAGCAAGCUUUGAGGUAUUUCAAAAAUGAAAAAUGUUGACUUCUUUAUUUUAUUGUGCUUAGAUCUCUCUCUCUAUUUCUUUCUAUCUCUCCCUUUCUUCAGCUAGCGUACCUUACUCCUUCUAUCCUGCUUUCUAAAACAAGGAAGGGAAUAUCUGAGACUCUUUGAAUCCAGUACUAAACAAGAAGGAAAGGAAGGAGAUAGAUAAAGAUAGAAAUCACAAUCUUGCCCUGUUGAUAGGGAAUCUCUCUAUCUCUAGCUGUCCUCUUUGUGCUGUCUUCUGUGUUUGGUACUUAAGUCAGUCAGUGUGAUUUUCUGAUGGCAGUUCAGUCUCCCCUUAGCCCAACAGACCCGAGUCAAUAGCAAAGAGGAACCAACCACGACUUAGCAACAUGUCUGACGAGGCAACUAUCUGCUCUCUCAGUGGUGGAAUAGAAAAAUCUCUAUCUCUGUCCGAAGCAAGGGAGGGAAGAGAAGAGGUGGUGGGGAAAGCGCCGGGCAGGGGCUAAGCAAUGGUUUUAAAGACCAUGCGGAUAAGGGCAAGACAUGAUUAAGUGCUUCUUAUCUUUCUUUGGGCCUAAGCUGCCAUAUUCUUCCAUCUUUCUGAACCUGUAUCAGCCCAUUCCUUAGAAAGACGUAGAACUGUUAGACUCACGUUAGCUCGCAUCGGGCCUAUUCGCUUCGUUGUCCGAAUAAGCCUUUCACUUCACCGAGAGAUCAAGGCUCCUCUUCGUGGCAAUAAGAAGUUGGUCUGGUUGGCUUGCUUGCCAAUCGAUGGACGGAAACGAGACUGUAGCUCCAGUUCCAUGUCCCAGGGUCUUAUUUAAUCCGAAGAAUGGAAAGAGGGCUGGCUUGACCCGAUUGAAGAGACGGUUGCAGUGUCGGGUGUAUCAUACAUUGGUUGGACUUUCCGAGUUCGGCCUGGGAGUUCGAAGAAGAUUAGUUCAAUAGCCAAAGCGGACCAGAGAAGGUUAGUUUAGUGACCCGCGGAGAUAGACCAAAGAAAAGCUGACCGGGGCAGGAAACAAAAGAAGAAAAAGUAAGGCUUGAUUGGCUAAGGGACAUAGGUAAGGAAAAGCUCUUCAAGAGGUUCCACUCUUACAUAUACUUAUCAUACGAAUAAGAGAAGAGCACCUACACCUACGCCUAAGAAGACAACAAGUUCAUCAUCAACCGGAAGACAGACACGAAGGAGACAGAGAUUAGUGAGCGGAAGUGAUAGACCCAAGAAAAAGAGGAGAGGCGGAGGGCAUACUCGAGAUCAGUGACUAUGGAUUGUAUAAAGUCAAGGCUUUGUUGGGACAUUCUAUCCCGCAUAUCGCGCAUAUGUCUGAAUGAUAAACCAGUGGCAUCUGACGACCGACCACGUGCAACUCUUGCCUGGGCCAGCAAUAGCUACCCGCCUAACAUUUCUUUCUCCCCAAGCGGAGCAUCAACUAUGAGAAACAUGCCCAGGUACAGAAGAAAGAGAUGGAGGAGUUUACUACUCGACUGAUAAGGUUAUCACAUAUCUUACUCCUUUGGGGUCAGGAGAAGAGAUACAGGAAGAGGAGAGGGAAGGAGGAAGUUUACGACCGACUUCCCAACUUACCUUAUCGGACUUUCAUAUCUGCCUCGAAUGAAACUUGAUCUCCGGGGUAGGUCGGUCAUAAGAAAUUUUCGACUAGUUAGUGUUAAGCAUAUGGUGCGGGACGGGGGGGGAUCCUCACUCUUGACAGCCGGCCGCUUUCAAGCGCAAGCGCCUUGGGUUGGAUUACUUCUUUUCUAUUUGCGAGGAUUCAAUAUUUCAUCACAAGGAAAUUUCGUAUAAUGACUGACUGACCAAGUCAAGUCGUCACUUUCAUCCACAUCCACAUAUAGUAAAGUGCGCGACCGAGCAAGCAGUAUUCUUUCUAUGUAGUACGAUCAAUCAAGCCUAUCGCUGAUUGCGCGUCCGUUGAUUGAACACAUUUUCUUUUGUUUGAUUCAGUGAGAUUGGGUUGGUGUUCCGUGUACCUUAGUACAAGAUCGAAAAGUGGCUAAUUUAGCUCAGUCGACGCUCCCCACCAAUGAAUGUUGGUGACUUCUGUUCCAACUGGACUGGGAGAACAACAGUCAGGUGCACCCAUUGGACGCUGGAGCCAAUGUUCUACACACAGAAGGACUGCACACCAUACUAAAAGGUCAAAGUAAAUACAAAGUUAAAAAUGAUCAAAAAACAAAAAAGGCUGGGCAUUGCCUCAAACAUGCUCUUUUUUUAUAAAAAAUGUGUAUCUAUGUAUUAUUAUACUAUAAGCGAUCAGUAUAGAUAUUAUUCUUCUGGUAGCAAAGAUUUUGAUGGAAGUCAGUUUGAACAGGAAUUGUUAGUGAGCGAGAUUAGGUAUCUAUACCGUAGCUGUCCAGAUUUAUUUGAAGUUUCGGAGAAGGAAGUGGAAAAGAUAGUGAAAUCAAUACUUUCGCGUGAGUAUAGAUUUUCACCUCUGAAAGUUGUUAGAAACAAUGGUAAUAAUCCAGCUGUCUUUCGAAAAGACUAAUCAGCUAAGUUCGAACCCAAAUGCAACUUUCUCUCUUCUUCCUAACCCAAAAGAUGAGAUUGUUCUUAUGUCAAUGACUCGAAUAGUAACACGACACUAUCUUGAGUCUAAUUUAUGUUCAAAAGAAUCAUUCUUCUUUAGAGAUCAUCCACACUUAUUUUAUAAUUCUUUAGAAAAACUUGGUCAAGUCAAGAAACUCUAUCAACUGGAUCUAAGUCGAUCCUUCCUAACAAUGGAAAAAAAAAUCUUAUUUUCAAAUAUAGAAAAAAUUAUUUCAAAUCAAUAUUUAUUAAAAUUGAUUCAUGAUUUCUGUCAAUUAGAAGCGAAGGACGAUAAUGGAAAUAAUAUUCAAUAUUUCGAUUUCGCGCCGGUGGGAAUUUUUUCAGAAGCAUUAUUUCAUAUCUAUUUCUCUAUCCUUGACAGAGAGUUCAUGCGGGCAUACCCAGAUCUCCCAUAUGUUAGAUAUUUCCACGAGGUAUAUGUACUUGUUCCAGCGAAUAAGAUGGAAGAAUUCGAUUCAGAUGAAGAGUUCACUACCAUUUUUAUGGAACUCAACUUAGAUGGAAAGGUAUCAAUUCUAUUUCCGGGAGAUAAAGAUAUUGUGUGUUACGCAGGAAAGAUUGGGAUAUCCAAAGAAGGAAAUAUUAUGUUUACUCCGAAGAAAGAAUAAGAAUAUUCUAAGGCAAACCCACUGACGAAGCGUCUGAGCCUCUGGAGGUAAGUGAUUGUGAUUGAAACUAACCUCUUCAAAUUGCUCGCCUAGCCUUGAGUUGGUCCAAUCUCCUGGUCCAUUGCCCUAUCGGUUAGUGGGAUAAAUGGUAGAGGGGGCUUUUCUUUCAGUUUCUAUUUACUGUCUUUUAAGCUGUCUCAGGGAAUGUGUAAGCGUUCCCCCGUCGAAAGUCCUGACUUCCUUCUUUAUCUUUACGUCAAAAAUGACGUUUUAGAAAGGAAGUGUCAUUUUUUCCAAUAAAAUCCCAUGCAUUCAUUUCAGGCCUAAUCCGGCCAGCCAUUUAAACCGUAAGUCCCGCGAAGCUGAUGGCCGCUGGCCGAAGAAAAACAAUAAUACAAAAAGUCAUGUUGCCAUACUUUACAAACAAGAUCAAACUUUCCCUCAAAGUCAUCAAUCAACCAAGAGGGGAAGACCAGGUCGGGAAUACACCAGUGAGAUACAAGUCCCCGGCUAAAAAAAUUCUGCCCAGGAAAAACGUGGAGUCAACGCUGGAUAGGACAUUACCGCUAAUCCAACGAAGUUAUUCUGGUAGCAGGACCGUAUUUUCAAAUAAAAUUGAGCUAGGUGAUGUUUUGAUAAAAAAGGUCACCCAAGGAAAAGAAAGAAAAGGACCCGUAAAGGAUCUGUUAGAAACACAAGACAUAUUUGGAACGAUUGAAAAGACUCCGGGGAGAUCGAAGUACCAAAUGCUUAUGUAUCCCGAGAUAGGCCUACGGGGCAUUAUUAGAGAAAAAGCCCCAAGGCCGUGGGUCAAGACCAGAGAGCAACAGAUAUACCUGGGGCAACAGAGCACUCAGGCGGGGUACGGGCAAGCACUGAACAUAACCGAGAUACUCAGUAAAUUCUUACCAGCGCUAUAUAUUGGGUGCCUUCUAUGGUGGGACUAUCUCCCGGAGAUCAGUCAAACGUUGUUAGAUCUAGAACGAUUGAGAGAAAUUGCAGAGGCUUCGAUUGCUAGUGAGUUGGGGGACGAAAUCCUUCAAACUGCCAUGAGUAGUGAGCAGAGCGAGGGGAGGUGCAAACUGCUAGAAGCGGCGCCUGAGGAAAGGUCGGCCAGAGCCACCGCUAUAUGGAUUGCGGGGACUGUGCUUGCCAUAGCCAUCUCCGUAGCCGCAGCCAAAGCUAGAGGGGCUUAGAGAAUAUGAAGAUACUACGGAGGUUUUUGUACAAUGUUCGAGCACCGCCAUUUCUAAUGGUUGUUGCAAAAAAGAGAAAUUUCCUUAGACAUCAAGCUCUUAAUAGGGAAUCACACGCUCCUUUCUCUUUUUGAGACUGGUUUCUUAGUGUGGCAUGGAUCUUCCCCACUUUUGACGUUGACGUCUAGGGUAAGAGCAAUCUCCCUGUCUAAUACACCUUCAAAAAUCUAUAAAAUCCCAUAUAGCUUGGGACUGGUCGAUUCUUGCUAUGGUGUCAGAAUCUAAUGUAGCCUUUAAAAAGGCGAGGCCCCUAGCGAUAGGAGGAAAGAAGAGUGGGUAUGCGGGCUUCUUUCGCUUGACAAAGAGGCUUUACCAGUCUUUGAACUGCGUCACCAAAGCGAUUCCUGUUGAUGCAACGAACUCUUUCUAUUCCACGAGCCCUUUCGAGAGAGUCUUCUUUCCGCUACUUUCUUUUUCCGGUCUUUUCUUCUUUCUAAAGAACCAGCGAUUUGAUACGUCGGUUUGUUAGAAUGUUCCAAUUGUAAAUCUAUCCUAAGCUUAACACAUGCAAGUCGGACUAUGAACCACUGUUUUCGGGGAGAAUCUACAAAGGUAAGGAAGAGAAAAGACGAGUUAGCUCAGUUGAUAAAUGCAAGGCUGAUAGAUGUCCAACUUUGCCAUGACACAACAGAUAGCGGACGGAAGCGAGGAAGAGAGAACCACACCCUAUACUUUGAAUUUCUAAAAGAAUGCAAAUGGACAUGAGUAGUAGAGUUUUUUGUCGAUUCUUCCUUUCUUUCCUAUUCAUUUUGACCUUGUUGCUCUGUUUUUUGUGUUGUCUGUGUCUGAUUUUCGGAUUGGAUUUUCAUGUCAUCCUUGUCAAGAUCCAAUCCAUGAUCUUAGGCAAAGUAUUCCACUUCUUAUUUUAUAGGUUCGGUUGGGUAGGGGGUCUCCUUGUCCCAUUCUUUUUAUCUUUUUUGAAUGAGGACCCCUCGACUUUGAUGGGGAACAUGCAGUCAGGAGCUUCCGGAGCAUCAAGCUCGGAAGUGCGCGGAAUCCAAGCGCCGUUAAGCAUGGGGGACCCCAAUACGGGGAUGGCCAUUUACAAGGCCCCUAGUCCGGUUGAAGUCUUCGAGAUUCCGGAGACACCCCAUUCCGGCGCUUCGGAGGCCGCACCGGGGCCAGCGGAACCGGGGCAACCCUCAAAUUUGAACCCCCGUCGAGCGGAGGUAGAGCUUGAACUUAUGCGCGUUUUGCAGAAGUUAGAACCGACAACUCUCCAAGGGGCAAAGCUCCUACGAUCAUUAGAUCGCCUUGGCCUGGAAGGGGCUUCUGAUGAUCUCCUAAUCGCUCUCAAAGAACAAAUCUUGGAACUUGAAAGAAGAAGACCGAUAACUAGAAAUAAAGCAAUUGGUAUUUUUGAGGAAUUCCUCAAAAAUUGGAACAAACACCUUUAUUUAUAGUUCUAGCAUUAACCGGUCUGGAAUUAGGUGUAGCUAUAUCACAAGCUCAUGUUUCUGCGAUCUCAAUCUGUAUUUACUUGAAUGAUGCUACAAAUCUCCAUCAAAGUGGUUAUUUAUUUAUACUACUUACCUACGCGGAUCGGCGGUUUCGGAGACCGAACUGCCCUAGCUCCAGAAGAGGUUAGCCGUAGGAGAUUCAAACCUUGACCUUCUCUUUUCUUUAUGAAGCUAGGAGAAAUUAGCCGGAGGGCCAUCUCUCCAUAUAAGAAAUGGGGUAUUCCUUACGGUUAAGCCAACUCCCUCGAGGGGCUACAAGUGCACUUAAGGUUUCCUGCUUAUUUCCUGUACCAAAGUCAGUCCCUCAGGGCCAUCAACCGGACGUAGGUUCUUCUGCCUUUUCACAGAAAGAAACUAGAUCCCUAAGAACAGGGACAAGUACCCGCUCUAUUCCUGACUUAAGUAAUCCUUCUGGUAUCUUCUCCUAUCUUGUAUCUCUCUUUUAGCCUAUCUCAUUAGAAAGAAGCCAAAGCGACGUACCUACCGAAUUCCACUACUUCUCCAGCGAAGCAUUAUGUUCCAAGACCGGCAACUCCCACAACCCCAUGUUGUGACCAAGCAACUUCCGCGCCUCCCCCUCGUACUGAUACUGAUUGUGCUUUCCAUGUUUGCUUUGCCAUAUUCUGUAUUCCUUAUUCUUUUAUUGGUAUUACCAAAUGAGUAUAGUUUUUAGUUAUUUUCAUUGAUUGCGGAUUUCGUUUCUACGCUUUCAAAAAAGUCCGUUUUUUUGGAUGUUCAUGUCCUUGGCUGUCUUCGUGACAAGAGAUACAUUUACAUAAAAGAAUUCUUUGUGGACAAGCGGUAAGGCCCCCCAUGUGGCGCACCCUCAGACCAAUAGAAGGGGAUUUCGAACUAAGCUAAUGAAGGUGAUUCGCUCCAACUACGGGAUGAGUGCCAACCCCGCCGGUUAGAGCUCCUCCUCCGUAUCUGUAUAUCUGCAUCUUCCUCAUAUGUAGUUUCUAUGCCUUCAGAAAGGCCCUAUUAUUGAUCCACCAUACUUCCUAUGAUAGGCUGUAAAGAAGCUAUAUCGGCUCAUAAUUCGGCUAUAUAAAAGAAGUCGUGAACUCCAGAAAGUAGGGAACUCAAGCGAAGAGACCAUAGAAUGGUACUGCUACUUGAAAUCCUGGGGCUAAUGGCAAGACAGAGGGAUUCGUGGGGAGAUGUGCUAUACUAUAUUUAUUUCCUCAUUUCCCCAUAAUAUUUAUGAUUCAAGUUACCAUCAGAUUGAAUGAAAGGGAUGACCGGCAGAUGAUAGCAAGGCUAAACAGAUUCGAGAUUCUCGAUCAGAUGAGCGGACAGGGCAAGCACGUACUACCAGAAGAGUAGACCUCAGAGCGAUAGAUUCCCAGUGCUUGAAGAAACUUAUUUGGAGCCUUCCUUCACUCCUGAACUAGACUCAACUGAGUGCGCCUAUGAUAGGCUCCUGCUACUAAGGAAAGGACUCUAAGAGACUGACUCGCGAUCUAAAGAAAGUGAAAUUCUGGUCGAGAAGAGAGUAUAUUUAGAUAUGCGCUAUAUUAGGGGGAUAUAGACUAGAUAAGUCCAAGACUACUAUUGGCUAAUGGAAUCACUUAGUCUAGCUCUAUUACAUAUAAUGAAAGAAAGCAGCAUAGCAAAUGAUUCUUUAGCUAAUGAGAUUCACACUCAUUCACCAGGAAAGACCAAUCACCAAUACCAGUUCAGCGGAAAAGAGAUGGCAUGGGGGAAUGGAAUACGGGAAGGCGGGAAUGACAUAGGGAAUGGGAGACUUCGAAUGGAAAGAACUCAACCGAUUUGAUCAGAGACGCUUGUACGCUUUCCGACGGAUCUAUUGGAUUGAAAACAAAUUAGCGCUACUUGACUAAACUAAAGAAAGAGAGUCCAUGCUUAACAGAGUCAUGUCGGAAUAUAAAGAGGUAGCUUGCAGGCAUCAAUCUUGAGGGCUAUUCUUGAUCCUACAUUCGAAAAAGAGAAGAGAGUAUAUGCUUAACACAGCAGUGUCGGACUAAUUCUCUCCCCUGCUGAGCCUUAGAAAGGGAAUGAGUUAUAAGGGAUUUGAAAGAUCACAAAUGGAAGAUAAAGAGAACGACGAUAAAAUAAAGAAGAGUAGCGCUUUCAUAAGCGAGAGAGUAGAGCAAGAAAGCACCGCCCAAAGCGCCUUUCAGAGGCGGGUACACGGUGGCCUACGCUCCUUGAUCGCUUAUAAAAGCACUCUGGUUCCCAAAUCAAGAAGAAAGCCCCCCGAUUUUUUUGAAAUUUAGUCUGUAAUUUAAACAAAUUAUUCCAUCACGCUCUUUGUUAGAUAGGAAAAAAUGUCAUAGUAAAGUAGGGCAGGCGUAAGCAUUAGUAGUUUGAGUAUUUAUUAUGGGUCCAAUGCACUCACCACCAUUUGCUUCCCAAGCCAAGACAUAGGAAAUGUCAGGCUGGAAUGAUCAAAAAUCUCCCUUCCCAUAUCUUUGGACUAGUUAUAUAAAGCUAGUUCAGUACCAUUUAGCACUAGAAGAGGUGGAAGUCCUCUUCAAUAGGUUGGUCGUAACUGAUGACCAAACCAGAAAAUAUUUUCUAUUACGAGAUAGACAAUGGAAGAGUUAUGGACGGCCGUUCAACCUUUUCUUAUGGCGGCUCAAGAGGCGCUGCCGCCGGUGCCCGAUCAACCACAGGUGGCAGUCCCCUCCCCUGCUCUCCAUCCAAAUGUUGAUUAUGAUCCACUGAACCAGCAGAUUGGGGGAGAAAGCCUAUCCCAAAUCUAUUUGCAGCUCAUCUGCAAAUACAGGGGAGGGGGGGGCUUCCUCCGGAGAAUACCUUCUUCGAAAAAGCUUGCUCCAUCUUUGAGAGUAAACGGAAAAUACUUUUAAAGAUGGAGGAGCUUGAUCCGGGUAGGGGCUGGCGUUCGGGCGGGGCCCGGUUUAUCAAGGCUAAGAAUGGCGGGGACUUUUCAAUGAAAAGUCUCAAUUUGAUGUUAUGAAACCCCAAAACCAACUUAUCCUUCUAGAGGCCUUAACCUCUGUGUGUACUGAGAUUGAAACCCAGCAUAAUGCAGAACCUCUCGCGGGUCCAAAUAAUCUCCUAUAUACCUGCGCAAUAAAUAACACAAUAAGUGCAAUAACCAAUACGAUCGAACAGCUUUUCCAACGUCACAAUCCCCCCUCUUCCUACGAAUUGGACGUACGCACAAAUAGUCACUGAUAUCCUUGGGGAUGAUAUGCCCCUGCAAAAUGUUUCUUCUGUAUUGAAAAACAUCACUCACUUGGGCCUUGCUAGUAAUGAAUUCCAUCAAAUCUUCAAUUUAUUGAAUUUGACAGGAGGAGGUUUUGCUUAGCACCUAUAUAUAUCUAUUUAUAAUAGCUUCCGCGGGAGCAUUAGUGGAAUUUUUUUUAGUUCUUUUUUCCUUUUUUUCGACGAUUUGUGGUCUUUCUUUCUUAUAUACGAAAUUUUUGACGUCGGUUUCAUGAUCGAUAUAGCGUUGGGGCUCUGGGUGGGCAAGGCGUCUUGGGGGGAGACUUAUACGUUCCGGCUUCUCUUCUUUUCCGUGGAUCUCCUCGGUUUCUUUCCCCGGGGCAUCUCUGUAUUUUAGUCGGAUAAUCGACUAAUCACCUAAUCAAUCUGUCUUGCUGAUCCCCCCUUUACCAGGUUUUGUUGGGCAAACAGGUUCACUUUUCAUAUGCUUAAUAAGACAUGUGAUUGGAGAAGUCAAACACCUGGUUUUGGUUUUGUUAUUCCGGAGGUGAGAAACCUAUUUCCCAACCUGGUUCUAUCUCUCAGGCGUAAACUUCUUUCGUAAAGCACUGUUCAAGCUAGUGCGAGGAAGAUGAAAAGUCAAUCUAUGCCACGAGCUCCAGUCUCACAGUUACUGAUUAACUUCCUUCACCAGCUCCUAAUUGAAAAAAUGACCCAAUCUUUCACAACAACCGAUUCUGAUUCAAUUCCAACAAACCUUCCACCGGGAAAGAGCCAAGCCAAAGAAAAGAAAAAGAAAGUCCCACACCUAUGAGUGCGCAAAGAGCUUAUUCGAGAGCAGCUGAGUCAAUAGCACUGGAUUUAAGGGAUGCCUAUUUGUCCACAUCACCAGUCAAGUCAAAAAGAAGGAAGGGUAAGACAGUAAGAAGGGCACUAAGACUAGCAGCCGAUUCAAUAGCAGUUUAUUCUCGAACAGUAAGUACUAAUCUCCUCUUCUCCUACUCAUAAGAACCAGAACAGGCACUCGUAACCGUCCCUUUCCUCUGUCCUUUUACCCUUUGAACAGCAACCGGAAACAGGCAUACAAGCAGGUCAGCUGGUCACGUCACUUCUUUGGUCUGCUCUGGUCAGGAACACAAUCAAAGGAAGGGGCGCUCUCCUACGGUCACUGGCUUCUCUCCUCUGUUUUGAGAAGUGAAACGAAGUACUUCCCAACAGCCAACAGAAGCACGAGUCUAACGGUCUACAGAGUAUCCCUGGGCUGAUGGCUUUUCUUCCUUCUCUUAAUACUUAUGGGGUGUAGGUCUUGUCAGAGCCUUCUCGUCGUAUUAGCUAUCGCAAUCGGGAAAGCACCGGUCUGGUUACUGCUAUCCCCUCUCGUCCGCUCUGGUCUAUUAGCUCUUCUGCUCUGGUCUCUCGUCCCGCUUCGGUCACUAGUAGGAAAGCCAGUAAAGUAAGCCUGCAUACAAGCCAGCACCACACCAGCCAGCCCUCACUCAGGAAUAGUUAAGCAAGCAAAGGAAGAGGCCGCAGGCGCGUAGCGGCAAGUCAACAGGUAAAAAAUCUCCUCUUCUGCUCUAGCCUUUCUCGCAUUGGCUGCAGGCUUGCUUUUUUGCCUAACGUUGGUUCUUCGCGCUAUCUAGCUAGCUUGCUAACUUGCUUUGUUCUAAAUCUCUCAACAAUUCCAGCUCAGCUUCAUAAUUGGGAGUUGAGACUACCUUAUCCUCUUCUGGAUAUUUAUAGACCAAAAGCCCUUGGAUUCGCUACUGGUUCAUCAAAUCAUUCUUUGCCCGAUCCUAGCCUUUUCCUAUGGCUUCUGAGAAUCAUUCAUUCCUCGAUCCGAACCGAACCGAGCUAACCAACCUUCUUUGAAGAGUCAAUUACUUUUGAAACUCUUCCCCCUGCGGCCUCUUUCCAACCCCACCCGCCUCCCUUCUUCCUAUUGAUUUGGGCCAGCCGAGUAGUAUGUCCAGUCGGAAAGACGCUUGGAAAGUUUGACCUUCUUUCCUUACCCACCGUGGAAAUUCAUUCAUUCCCUCUUCCCUUCUUAGCCCGCCCAUGGUUUUGAGCGUGCUUCAAGCUCUGGCUUUGCUAAAUUUUAUUACGUACGAAAGAAGAAAAGUAGGAUUGAUUCCUAAUUAGUAGCUUCGUCGUCAUGAUCGUUAGUGCUCUAUGAAACCGGGUCAUUUUAGGCGAGAUCAGAUCAUUGAACACCAAUUCAAACGAAAAACCGAAACUGACUUCGAAACAACGGGUUCGAGAGCUUCAAAUCCAGCUCGAGGAGUAGGGCAAGCAGCAGAACGAAGAAAAGCUCCUAGGCGUCAGGCAGGGGAGAAUCAUCAUUGUACCCAAAGCGCACUUUGCUCCUCGUUCUUCCAAACGAUCGGAGCAAGCGGUCCCGGGGAAGGGCACAACGAAAGACUCCCCAGCGCUCGAGGCGCUUGCGACGGAGUUUUCCCUCCUUCGCUUCCAUUCUCUCUUUCCCUUCGCUCAUCUUUCUCUCAGGGCACUCCAUCAAUCCCUCGACUUGGGCUAUGAACUCAUUUAUUCCAUCUCGGGGUUGAUUAUCGAUCGAUAUAGCGCACUGAAACGGUUUCAGGCACCAGCUUCCCUUUCAUUACUUGGGCGUGUAGGUUAGCCUAAAAAAGCUCUAUGCUAUGAAGAUACCACGAUCGUUGCGCCUUUGUGCUUGUCACGAGCUGGGCUCGAACCAGCGCUUUCUAGAUGCGAUGCAUCGUCUAGAUUUCAACCUUUCUGAUCGAGACUUUGGUGACCCGGUUCCCAAAAUGGUACUCCGGGGGGGGUUUCGUUUCCUUCUUACUCCCCCAUCUUCCUCUCCCUCUUUACGUCAAGCACCUUUUGCCUUCUUUGUUUGGCUACUACGAUGCUCUGUCCUUUGGAACAAUUUUGAUCUCGCCUUCCGGAGUGAAAAAAAUUCCCCCGCCCAAGAAGUAAACCGGUGAGCCCCCUGGUACUAUGACCAUAAUUUUGACUAGGAGAUUCAACUUCUCCAGGAGAGACAUAAAAUGAGAGACAUUAAAGUCCUUCCAUUGCCCCGGAAAAAGAGGGAUAAACAAUUCCUCAUUCAAACGUGCAUAUGAAAAGGAUGGAAAGUCUCUUUCGAAGUAUCGAUCCAAAACAAUAGAGCAGUUGUUUUGUGCUGAUAUUGCGUAUUGCGAUUCUGCUUCCCAAUGAAUGAAACUACUAGUAGUUUCAUUCUCUCAGAGGUUUGAGAACUUGAAGAAGGAAGAGAUCCGAUAGAUAGGAGAAGGGACGGACCGCACAGCAAUGAAGGCGAACCACCUAUAUUUAUAGAGUUCGACCAGCAGCCUCUAGCAGGGAUAGGAGCGGAGCAUAUCAUGUCCUCCAAAACCCUCAAUCAAUAGGAGUUUUUUUCCCUCCCUCCUACUAUGUAUACUAUACAACACUUUUUUCUAUUUUUAGGAUAUGAGGAGACCUCCCCUUUCCUCUAGUACUGACCUAACAUCAGUCAUCCGUUGGUCUACCUCAGGAACUCCCCACUCUCGCCCCUAUUCUCUACCUGACAGCAGCAGUCUUCGGUUGUUCCUAUUGCUUGAUGGUUCUGUUAUUCUGUUGCGUGCAUAUUGUUGACUGCUAUUGAGUGGCACGAGCACACACAAGACUGCUGUACGCCGUCUAGUAUCUCUACCCCCCAAUUCUGAGGCCGGCGGUACUCUUGGGUCCCGCAUAGUUUCCUGUGAAGGACUUUCUUUCCAAACACAAACAAGAAGCAUAUCUAGGAAUUACCUGACGAUGCCAAAGCAGCUUGUUCCAACCAACUCUAGGCAUUGUUUUUCUGAUAGCAUUCCAAUCGGAUUUCAAUGUAUACUCCCUUGUAGGAGUUUGAUUCCAUAUCACCUUAUCUUCCGUACCUUCGGCCGGUAAUUCCACCUCUUUGAUGUUGUCCAAGGCAUGUUUUAUUUCCACAGUAAUUGGGGGUGGCAACCUCAAAGUGUUCCCUUUUUGGUUUUUCAAUUUCUCCACUCUACAAUCACCCUCUAAAAAAGAAAGAAUAGAGCAGAUCUCUUCCAUAAACAGAAACUACUCUUCCCUCUGGUAACCAAGGAUCCGUCCACAGCUUAGUGCCCUUUCCAUCCCCUAUUUGAUGUCUAAUGCAUCCAUGAGCCAGCUCUCUAACUGAUAGGAUACUUCUCAAAACCCAAGAAGAAAAGUGGGGUUAACUUCAACCUCCCAAAUGGACUGAUUCUUCAGAAAUUUCUGUCGAAGCAAUUGUGCCCACAAAGCAUUACUUCCCCGGGCCAUUUCCCAGAACAGUCUGAGCAAAGAUGCACGGUUCCAGUCUCCCAACCUUCUCACACCGAGCCCCCUCCUCCUUAGGUACACACACCUUAGUCCAGCUAACCGGGAGGAAGCUCUUCUCAUUUUCAGUUCCUUUCCACAGGAAGCUUCUAAGCAUUUUCUCUUUUCAUAUAAAAAAUUUUUAUGAGAUGGGGCUGCUCAGCCACCUUUUAGAAUCUUCUGAUAGUACUCUCCUUGGCCAGAUUUCCUCCUUGAUCUGCAUCCUAUGUUCAGCAGUAACCAUUCUUUGAUAGUAGUCAACAGCAAACUCAGCUAUCUUCAUGUUUUUCAUGGAGGUUACCCCUUUCAUCUUUCAAAACUCUCAUACCAUUAUAGGCCUUCUUACUAGCCAUAGACGCAUAAAACGAUUUGGUGUUAGCAUCACCAACCGAGAUCCAUAGGGCUCUCGAACUCUGUCUGGCUUGGAUUUCUUCACAUUUGGCUAGAUAAGCAUGAUUGGCUUUCAAAGUUUUCUCUUUGCCCACAAGAUCACUGUUCAGAGGGUCCGGUCCUCUUGCAGAGGAUCUUGAAUCUUCACCAGUUCCUCUCUGCUCUCUCUUACUUUGUCCUUGAUGUUUCCAAAUUCCUUCUUACUCCAGGCAGGCCUUAAGAGCAUUCUUUGUCAACCUUAAGAAAUGGGUAACAGGUUGGGUUCCCUCUCACCUCUGCUGUCCAGGCCUCCUUAACAACCUCCAGGAACCUGGGAUGUUCAGUCCACAUAUUGCUGAACCUGAAAGGCUUCAUCCCGGACUUCAUCUUGCUACCAUACUGCACCACCAUUGGUGCAUGGUCACUGAUCCCCGCUGGCCCAUAAUGAACAAAAGAUUCAUUGAAGCUUUGUAUCCAAUCCACAUUGACUAGACACCUGUCCAACCUUCCUACAGUUCUCCUAGAACCUUAAGACUGGUUGCUCCAUGACCACAAGUGGCCAAUGGCUUUAAAGUCCUCCAAAACUAAAAUGACAAUACCUUUAUAAAAAAACUGAAGAACCCUCCCAGAUAAUUGUCUUCCACCAAGUUUUUCGCUUGAGAACCUCACAGUGUUGAAGUCCCCGGUGACCAACCAUGAUCCCUGGAUGCGUUUAGACACUUCCUUUAGCUGCUCCCAAAGACAUCUCCUCUCAGAUAUAAGGUUUGAGGCAUAGACAGAAGUAAGAAACAAAAAAUUUCUCAAUUCUUUUGUCCCAGCAGCUACAAGAUAAAGCCUGAUCAGAUCUCUGUAUCUCGUUCAUUUUAUAGCUAUUUCUAUUCCAGAUCAGCCAAAUUCUGCCGUUCCCGGCUGCAUUCUCCACAGUAAUGGCUUUACAAUCCUUUCCCAAGCAUCUGGUCAUUCUUGCCGCCUUUCCACUCCUAACUUUGGUUUCCACCAAGCCAAUCAAAUCUGCCUCUUGCGCUCUUAUAUAAUCUUUGGCCUCUCUCUGCUUCUCGACUUUACCGAUCCCUCUUACAUUCCAGAUAAGGACCUUCAUGUGGAACUAUUGUUGUUUUCACAUUCCCCUCGCACCUUAGUGCUGCCUCUGGUUUUUCGUCUUGUGCAGCCCUCAUUUGUCUCAUGUUCUUUGGCCUUGACUCUCCCCCUCCCCCCCUUUUCUUAGAAUUCAACAUUUCUUAUAUGUUCUGCAUUUUGUUCGCCCACUCUUCAUUCAGGGUGGUUAGAACCAGGGGAGGAUCUUCCACCUUUUAGGUCAUAGCACCAGCACCUGAACACUUACUCUUACUGCUCUUCUCAGGUUCACCUCUUUUCUUAGGAUUGGCUGCCCUGAGGUUCUUUUUUGUUUUCAUUUUUUUAUCACAGAACAAGUCCCCCUCCCUAGCUACUAUAACUAGAGGACUCAAGAUCAUGGUCGUAGGUUCAAUCCUAACUCUUUCAUAAUCACAAUCAUGUGGCUUUACCACAAACAAAGCAGCACUCGUAGGGUUACCUUCCCGUAUAGAGGCACUCUACCUAUCGUAAUUCCACCGUUCCGUGGGAAAGACUUCUCUUGCAUUACAGGUCUGCUCAUCUAUCUCACUUAUUGUAUUGAUCUUAUCUGUUCACAAUGGCAUUCAGGAGCUUACUGCUUACUAAGGCAUUUAAGGAACUAGCGGUUAUUCCGAUUCCUACUCCUAGUAGGCCACCCACUCAUCCCAACAAUCCCAAUUCAGGCCGACAAUUAUUUUCAUAAGUCGGAAAAGUGUGAUUCUUUAAAGAAUUUUCUUUUUUUUCUAUCGUCAGAAUUGAUUCUGCCUAUACUUCAAUGAAAGCUCCUCCUACUCCUCCUCCUUAUCCUCAUAGAUCGUCGUUGGUCCUUCGUUCGUAGUGGUCAUUGUAUAGUGAGAAAGCUCACCCUUGCCUUUAGACGAGAAAGCCCUCUUUUACAUCCCCUAGACAAAUCCAUAGGAAAUGCUAUAACCCAUUGUUGUUCUUUUGACGAUGAACCACUCCGGUACAACAAGCUAAAGUGACCUCUACGCUUCGUCCCCGGUGCGUAGGGCCGAUCCCCGUGUGCUAGAGGGAGGACCAGAAAGCUUGUGUUAAGCAUAUAGUUGGUUUUUGUCUUGUUUAGGCAUUUGGUGUCCUCUCUGCCGGCCUGCUUAGCGACAGAGCCACCUUCUUUGCUUUGGGGUCAGUGAGGAGGACAGGACAAUCCCCCACUCCGGCGGUUUCUUUCUUUACAACCGGAUUAUACCCGGCCCGGUCCUAUUUCAAAGCAAAGAAGGGAAAUCUUCGUAAAGGCAGCAAGGGGUGUCGCCUUCGAAUUGAGUAGUGAGUCUUCUUUCUACUCGACUUUUGUAAUCGAAACUUUAAUCGAAAGUAGACUCAAGCCUCACCCUUUUUUUUAUUAUGUUCAUUUUCCGAAUUUCGUUCUAAAUACUGGACUGAUCUUUCUCCGCUUCAAAAAGGGUCUAUUUUGAUAGAUAGAGAUAGACAGGAACUAAGUAAUAAGAACAGAAUACCAAAGGCUUACUCCCAUUUCUCUCUACUCUACUCUAUCUAUGAAGGCUAUGAAGGAAUUCGUUCAUAGAAUGCUUUUUGAUUGCACUACUUUUUGAAAACAACCGUUCGGGAUAGACCCGGCGGAGGAGAUUGUACCAAAGGAGACCCGUUUUACCGAUCGUUUGGUUGGGUGUGUCCUUAGUCGCCCCGGAGAAGCCAUACCCUUAGGAAGCUUACCCAACUCAUCGCUUAACCCCCAAGAAAGGAAGACAACCCAAGUAAAUCGUGCAUAAUUAAUGAGGAAAGAUUCUCUAAAAGCCGGCGGUUUCUUUGUGUUAAGAAUGGAUACUUCUUGGUGUUUGCCGGAAUUCCGACUUGGGGAUACCUUUGACCGAUUGCCUGCCCCUUCAUUAUGAUUAGUAAGAUGGGGAAAAGCGGAAGAGGAAGAAUCAAACAAAGAAUUCAUGAAUGCAAUGAAGCAAGCCAAGAUCAAUGGGGGGCAUCCAGUCAAGUACCCACAUUCCGAUUCCCAAUCAUGGAUGAGCCUCCUCUACGGAUGCAAAGAACUCCUGCACCUUAUUUCAUGAAUGGGCAAUCCGAGAGACCUCGAAAGCGAUUCGCUUAUGAAUCUCCUAUUGAAGAGUUAUACUAUGAUCGCUCUGUGGUCCCCAUGGAGAAGCCUCUCGGAAAGAUGGAGAUUGAGAGGCAAUGAUACAAGCUGCAGUAGAGCAGACCAAUACGGGAGGAAACUGAGAUUCAAGGAUUUUUGCCGACAUCCAGAUGUAGCUCUGCCGGAAGGGUUCGACGAUACCGAAGUUUAGUAAAUACAAUGGGGUCGGCGACCCAUAUCAUCACUUGCUGUCCUUCUGUGGGGAUUGCCGAGGCCUUGAUUCCCAGUCUGGGUUAUUGAUCCACCUUUAUCAGAAGUCAUUAUAAGGGGAAGCACUCAAGUAGAACUCAUCUCUCCCCCUUGAUGCUCUACGUAGUUUUGACGAUGUGAUUGACAGAUUUACCAGCCAGUAGUUGCACCAGGUGGAACAUCCCCCAAUCUCUGUGAUCUGGUGAAUGAAAAAAUGCAGCCCGGUUUUUCAUUCAUUACCAUUGUUAACCGAUGGAGGAAUUUAGCAGCUAAAGCAAAAUUGAACAUCAAAAAGGAAGAUGCAGUACAGAUGGUUAUCGAUAACCUGCAUGGGCCCAUCAAGGAAGCGAUGGUGCUAGGAGAUUGCCGAACAUUCCCUCAACUGUUUGAACGAGCUGCCCGCAUGCAGAGGAGUAUAAAAGACGGGUCUAUCACUUUCCUCAGGAACAGAAAUAAUGGGGGAGAAGACAAGCCGAAGAAGACCCUAAGGACCCAGCAGCCAACUCAAGAGGUUACCAUCACUCCGGAUCAAAUUAAUGCGGUUCAAGCACAGCAGAAUGCACAGAGACAACAGAGCACCCGGAAUCAGCAAGCCAUCCAGGGGGCCGGGGCCGUCCCCCAACCCACUCAAAACCCUCUUACCCAAUCGCAACCGCAAAACCCAGCGCAAGCUCCGCCCAGACCCGCUUAUAACAACGCUGCGCCUCCGGCCAAUUAUGAUCCUCAGCAGCAACAAGGUGCUCCUGGGGACCCAAUAGAGCUCACUACCCGCCAUUACCCCUACCCUAUUUUCCAUCCUUCUGGCCUGGAAAGCCAUUUCUCUGCCCAGAGAUAAACCACUCCCCUGGCCAGACUUAUUUCCUCUCGACUAUUCGACAAUUUCUCGACUAUUCGACAAUUCUGUCCAUUUCACCGAUACGCGGGCCAUACCAUCGAAGAGUGUCAUACUUUGCGUGAUGUCAUCUAUGACAUGAAUGAUUAAAAUCGUAUCAAUUGGAACGAAGUUAAGGCAUACCUGAAAGCCGCCAAUGUCACUGAAGCGUAUAAAAUGGGGAUCUAUACUAAUCCAAUGCCACAACAUCAAGGGGGACAAGUCACUACUCAGAGACUUACACCAGUACAAACUAAUCCAGGACCUUCUGCCAGCGCUAACACCAGCCGAGCUUGCACUGCCGCUCGAAGAGAGAUGCCUGUGAGACCCCCUCGACGUUCUGUAAUUCGAAGGAGGUUCUGAGAAUGAAAAACUCCGAAGUCACUUUCUUUGUCCCCAGGUAGCGCUUGCUUCCAAAAGCAGACGAAAUCACUAUGGAACCGGACCUCCUCGCUGCCGCUCAAUUCAUUACUUUUAAGAGGCAAAUUCGCUUUUUUAGUAAGGGUGGGUGGAAAAGGUGAAGAAGGAAUAAUGUAUCCGAACGAAUGCAUCGGCAGAUGCAAUUACCCCUUUUUUUGAAAUCCCCUCGUCACCUACUAGUGAGCCGGAAAGCUUAGGGACGCCUCUCGUUCCUCUUCCCCCAUUUGACAACCGUAUCUCAGAAUGUUCGGAUGAUUCUCUGGAACCCCCUUAACUAAAACUAAUAUAUGCUUCAAUACUCAAGAAUGGGGAUAUACCGUUGGGAAAAAGCAGAAGAAAAGGAUUUCACGGGCAGAAAGGCGAAGGGAAGUUCGGAAAAGCCUAGCAGACGGGACUAUCAACCCCUUUCUAUUAAGACCUCGGCACCUUCCUUACCCCCCUACGAUAAAUUGACCCUAUUUUGAAGAGGAAAGCUCCCAGGUUCAGCAUCUUAAAGAAGUGCAUGACCAGAUUGGAAGCACUGAGGUCAAUUCGCAAUGGACCAACUCACCCAGCCAUGAUGCAUGACAGAAGAGAGCGAGCACAAAAUGGAGUUUCCCUCUUGGGUGAGGCUUGAGUCCGGAAAGAAUCUUUUUCAAUACUUGAUCCCCUAUGUUGAACUUUUUCUAUAUUACCUUAUUAAUGGAAAGAGGGCUGGCUUGACUCUCGUUCCGUCUCACAAGAUCUAAGACCAAGUGUUGGCACCCUCCAACUGAGACAGUUCUAAUCUGACAAUCGUGUCGCGAUCGGUCUUUCGGUCAUGGGCAACCUUAUGAGCACAGACCCAACAACAGGUGUUACUGAGCGUGGACGGAGUCCGUUACAAGUCUAAGAUUUUGAAGUUAGGGCUAAACCACUGAGCGACUAAAGCCGGGAUUUCCAAUUUCACUCCACCCGAAAGGUCGAGAAAGGACUUAUGUAUGGCCCCAUUGUUCAGGUAAAGGCGGGAUUCUUGCUUGCUUGACAACUAAGGAAAAAGGAUAUGGGUAUAGUAGAAAGAUUGACUCACUAUCAUGACUUUCAUUGGCAAACUUCUCGACGAAAGCCAUUCUUUCCUUUCCGGCUUGCAGGUCAAGGAGAGCGGAGAUUGACGGCUCACCUGGUUCACGAAAGACUUCUACACCAUCCAUUCACCAACAGUUUGGUCGAUUUGACACAGCUAAUCAAAUUUUUGACUUCUUGGCAAAACGUUAAACUACUUCCGAUCUAGAAAAUAAGUACCAGCUCUCGGGCAUACUUCAUCGCAUUAAACAAGAACCUGGCCAGUCUAUUCACAGUUUCCUUACUCAUAUGAACUCUGUGUGGGAUCCAUUGGCACUUUUUGAACCUAAAUGGACAUUUCAUGCUGAUGCUGAGAAAAUUUGCUGCCUACAGAGAUAAUCAGCGCUUAAUCAAGUUUCUUAUGGCCCUUAUCGAUGAUUUCAUUUCGGUUCCUGGCUCUCUCUUACAUCCUAGUCCCCCGCCUCGCUUCUCUUUAGAAGGCCCUUUGUCUUACUUCGAUUUCAUUUCUUCGACCAAAACAACUACUUGUGAGGAAAAGUCCCAACAUCUAGCUAGGGGGAUAUGGGUCUCGGUAACAGUCCUCGGUCUAUAGCUGAUGCGCUGGGGUUCUGUUUAAAGGGACCAGGCUACGCUAUUGAGAAAGCUUAAGAUUCAGCAGUGGGGCGCUCUAUCGUGGAAGUAAUGGCCUUGAUCUUUCAAAUCUUCCAGGUAUGAAACAGGUCGUAAAGCAAGGUACGUUAGUCUUGGGAGUUUUCUUCGCAAGAAGGUAGCCUUUUCUAUACGAUGGAUGAAUGUGCCGCUAGGAGAUCCAUGUCCCUCAUAGAACGAAGACCCAAGCCAUAAAAACUCUGAGGAUCCCUCAGACCACCUCACUAGAUGAACCUUUUUUAGCCUCCUCUUCUGGGCAUGUCCCCGAUACUAUACUAGUGAAAGAAGUUCCUUGCCUUACCCAGCGUCGAAGAAAAGGGUCGCCAAAUUACUGAGCUCACUGCCUUCAUUAAGGAAAGGUAAUCCGGUUGCUUGAAGCUCUCUUCCCGUGUCGAUGAAGGGCUAUGCGAAAUGUAAAAAAUCGGCUUCAUCUAAUGCUUGCUGGCUAGCGCUAUAGGGAAAAAACCUCUCUUUUUUUGAGAAGAGCUUGCGCACUAGCAUUCCUUCUCCCGAUCGGAGACUAGAGAGGUCUUUUUGCUUGAAUCGGGAAUGGUGGGACGGAUUGCCCUAUGUCACUUCCUUGCAUCAACAGGAAAGUGCUAAGACCGGCCCCAUUAUUCUAUCAAAGAGCCUAGCAACAACCUAUGCGGAUAAGGCGAAAACAGCUUCCUUCUCAACAAUACCCGGCAUCCCAGGCAUCCAGCUACCCAUUGAUAUGAAACCUGUGUUCAAAAGACGUACCACUUUCUACUAGUCUUUUUCUCCACUCUCGCGAGACGAAGGAAAGAACUUCAAGUGAACCGGGCAUCAAAGAAUUUUUUCAAAUUCUUUGGCAAAGAAGAAAGAAUCCAAUUCCUCCAAAGCUCCCUAGUUGGUCCGGAAAUCCAUCCAAUGCAUUCGAAGAUCCAGCGUUAAUUCGUGCUACCAGCUUUCGAGGAUAUUGAUUCGAAAACAGAGGCACAGAUUACAGAUUCAGGUAUCCAGACGAUAAGGCUUUGGGUACGAGAUUACUCAAUACUUAAAUGGGAGUUUGAAGACAGAGGCAAUCCAACAUCCCAUGCCAUAAUGCCCGACUCAAUCUACAUGCUCGUUGUAAUGUUCGGCUUCAUCCGCUUCUUUAUUUAUCCACGCCCGAGAAAAGUACACACACAUUUUGGUAUACAAUAAAGCUUUUAGUCGAAAGCGUGGGAAUAUGCAGUGAAAGGGGCAGCAGCCGUAUAGUGGUUUCAGAGUGAGGAAUCCUAAUUAGGUAACUUUUAGGCAUACCUAUAAUUUCCUACUUUCCUGUGUCAGAAUAAGCAUCUAUCUGGUGUAGUAGUCUGAAUAUUGCAUAUGGCUAAAGUCCACUUCACGCUCUAUAUAUAUACGCCGAUAAGCUGGCUGACUGAAUUGCUUAAUUCAUGCUUUGUCCGUACUUCCUUUCUGGCUUUCAAGCCCAGUGUCCUCCUUCCCCCAGCAAAGUAACCUCCUUUGAUGGCACAUCUUCAACUAUCACUCUCAUCUUCCGAACAUUUUACGAAUCCACUGCUCUUAGCUUUCGUUACCCGUUAGAUCAACAAUCUCAUUACUUAGGUAUCGUAAUAGCACUCUAAGGCCCUAUAAGACGAAUCAAGGAAAGAAUUAGACAAGCGAGAUGAAAGUACAAACAUAAGUAAGAAAUGACAUCUUUGACUAUUCGAAUAAAGAGGGGGGGCUUCUUUGCCCAAUAUAUGCUUAGAAUCCGGGGUGAGAAGGGGUAGUGUACUCUUAUCCGCAAAGAAUGGGAUUGACGGCCUUGGCUUAUUCAUUCAAUAUGGGAAAUUCCACUCAAUCCUAGAAGACCUUCCUCUCCCCCCGAUCCGGUAGAGCGUGAAGCUUUGCUUUGGAAUCGAACGAGAAGCUCGAAGGAAGUAGCCAAUUAAAAGGUGGUUUCAGUCAUCCUCUGCUUACAGCCUAAUUCAAAUCGAAGUUCCAUCUUAGUACGCAAAGUCUUCAGCAAUAAAAGGGAAAUCAAGAGUUAUAAAUAAAUCUGUCCGAAUCUAAUACAUCCAACUCAAAGGAUGGACUCAAUAAGCAUUUGAAAAGUCAUAAAGUCUGAAUUACGAGGGGGAAAGAAAAGAGGACCCUCAAAAGGAUCCAACCAAAAGCAUCAGACAGGUACGGCCAGGUAAGGCAUGAGUCGGAAGAAAUUUCCUUCCAUCGUAGAAUACGAAAGAGAAGCUUUUGCCGAAGCAUGAGGGAAUAGCAGAGUACAUGGAUCUCCACAGGUACGGCAUUCAGCUUUGCUUUUAUUUAGCCUGGGGUCAAGCUCUCCUAGAGGGGAAUCCGGGGAGAAGAUUUCAAAAACUGUGCUUUAAAGGGCAGUCUCACUACUGACUAGAUCUGGCGAUAUACCUACUUGACUAACUAGGCACAGGAAAGGGCGAGAGGGUUUUCCAUUCAGUCCUUUCUGAACUCACUGAUUGCAAGCGGUCUUCCUGAUUAGCUAUUCUUCCUUGCUCUAAGCUUUGUACGCUCAUGAGUAGCACUGGAUCUGACUUCUAGAACAUUGUUCAAUCACUUUCUAUUAGAGUCAAAGCUGGUACAUGCGCUUUGGAACCCUAAAGGAGAACUGCCUAUGGUCAUGUUCUUGGUGAACCCUAGGAGCUUGAUAUGAUCAUGUCUGAGGUUCCUUCGAUCAUGGAAUUCUCUCACAGUUCGUCGAUGGGAUCCAGAUUGCAAGCCGUCGUUGGCCACUCUCGAUUUGACUUGGAUCCGGUUCCCCGAAUUACAUCUUCUGUCUUAGAAUGACGAUGUUCUCAACACCUUUGCAUCAUGUAUGGGUACUCCGGUGAAAAUAGAUAGAAAGUCUCACUACCCGUGGGCGCUUUUCUAAGGUUUGUAUAGGGCUAUAAGUAGGCCGUUUGCUAUUGCUAUAAGGGCUGCUCGCCUUUAUACGGCUUGGCUUCGCUAUCGCUCCUAUGUAGUGGUCGACCUAAAAAGUCGUAUGGAUGCCAUACCAGAAUGCUUCUUAUCUAUUGCUAGAAGCGUUAAGCUUUGCCAGAAGCAAGCAAGAUGAGGUCGCUCUGCUCUUCGUAGACAAGGCUCGUUACGGAACGAGCUCGUGUAGUACUCGCCUCUCUCUCUAACAAAGGAUUCAAUCCAGUCCCAAGCGUACCUGGGGCUACCCUGUUUACCGGAUCCUUAGAGGUCUGCCCGUCCGGCGUCGGUACCUCACAUUGUUUAAUUAGGGUGGCCCCCGGCAUCUAUAAUAAACAAGUCUCGCUGAAGCAAUUGUAGCAGCUCCGGCACCAAUAAUAUAUAGUACUUUAUCCAUGGUCAUUCCCGCUCUAUACCAAUAUUCCAUAUUGCGAGACUGAUUCUGCGAGCGCUAAGCUAAGAACGAGUGAUGCUAUAAAUAAUGCGAAAGCUUUCCCUUUUGCGUGGUUACAGUUUAACCCUAAUGGAUCAAAGUGUUCCUUCGGGGCAAGUAAGUCCCUUGCUGCUUUAUUGAGUGGCUCACCGCAUUCGCAUGGACUUGGUACGUGAUGCAAACUACAAAUGUGAUCAAGAAAGGUAUCCCGUGAAACCCUAACAAGUAGCUCAAGAUCAGGAGAAACCAGAGCCCUUGGGUUUAUAAACAGCUCCUCCGUCACAUGGAACCACCAAAGAGAGAAACCAAUCAAUAAGCAAGUGGUCAGAAUAAAGCGAAAAUCUCUAAAAUAAGAAUAAUUAAUAGCUUCGAAAAAGCGAAAUUCUUUGAUUCUAGAGGUCUGUCUCCCCGCAUCAGCCAAUCCGAUCUUUCGAUCUGGAGAUCGAACUAAAUGAGAAGCUUGCCCCACUUUUGCUAUCUUGAAGGGCAGUAGCAUAUGAUUUGCUGUAGUAGGUACCCAUGGUGCAAAAGAAUACGCAGCUGACCAGCCUCCGGCAGAAUGAAAUAGAAUUUGACUUGUUCCGCUAGGCGCUCGUUGCAUGAACUGUUGAAGUUUCAACCUAUGGGUUGGCUGAGAGAGCUGCUGCCAGAUUAGUUCCCGCUCCUGCUCUGCCCUUUCCGUCUGCUGCAUUACUUUGACCCAAACGGGUAGUUGUCUAUUGGUAUGACUUUGAGUCAUAAAUAGGUUCUUUCGGACAGUCGGACUAGUUGAUUGGAACUGGGAGAAAAGUGGAAACAUGAUUCCUUAAUUUGAUAUAGAAUCAGACAAAAAAAGGCUCCUUUAGCGAGUUUAUAAAUAGGUGUUUUUCCAAUCCCGAAUUACUUCUGCCUAUUGGAGUUAUUGCGGGGAAGCUCUUCCUUUCCUUCCCCCGCUUUUAGUGAAGUUCCCAUUGAGUCAGAUGUUCCAUUUUCAUCUCAGAUGAACAUUAAAAAGAAAUGAAUUGAUAGAGUCAAGUCAUCAGGUAAGGCAUAUCCUUCAAGUCCCAGAGCCUAUUCGAUGCCAUCUUCAUUCUAUUCCUUCUAGCCUUUGAAAGCUGUCCAAUCUUUCUGAUCUUAUGAUUUCUCGAGUUACAGGGGCAGACCACUCGAGUGACUUUCUCUUAUAUAAGAGACACCAAUGAUAGAUGGAUGUAACACUAACCCAAUCUGGAAAGUGGUACUUUUGAUUGAAUUCAACCAAACCAGGAACUUAUUCUCUGACAUCAACUAUUAUAAUAAGUGACUUCCUCCGUCAAAGCUAUUAUUCCAUGCCAUUCGAGGGACCUUUUCCUACUCCAAAUAAGUGAAAUCGACACUUUCAUUUUCCCGGGAAUUUUGGCAUAGAUUGGAUUUCCUUUUCUACGAAAUGUGACAUUUGAGCGUUUUAUCGGGAUUUUUUUUUGGUUGAAAGCCAAUUUCCCUUCAUAGACACCCAUUCAAAUCGGACACGUUUCAUAAACAGCGUCUUUUUCGUCAUCAACAGUCAAGUCAGUGGUACCAUCUCUAGUUCUUUACUACUAUUGAUCAUGUCCGUUCUCUUCCUUUGAUCUCUUUUCUACGCUAGGAUCCCAUCCUUUCAUAGAAGGUUGAUUAAGGUCUUGGAUCAUCGGGCAGAUAAGAUCGUUCAGAUGUAUCUGGCUUGCUUCUCUUUUGAAAAUGUAGUUCUUGCUGCACCAAAAGUCAGAAAGGCUACAUUGGCCUCAAUUACCGAGCAGCCUACAUCUUGGGACGGUCUUAUGUCAGUAGUCUCGGAACUUGGGAAACUAGGGCCAGUAGUUCAUACUAAAGUAUCUCACUCAUGUGUGGACAUAUCCCAUUUACAUGGGUAUGUCUUCGGUCCCAGUGUGGUCCUCUCUGCCUAAUAGGGUUGGAUCAUGGAAAAUGGGGAAGUAGAUACCAUCCUGCUUUCCCGCGAUCAAGUAUGAGAUAAUGUCUUAUACUCAGAUCCUCCAGAAAGAACUCGAACAUGCAAGAGAGUGUACCUUCAUCCCUUCUUGUCUGCUGUUCGCUAAUUGGAUUUAUUAUAUCCUUUGUAGGACAUUAGUUCUAAGACAGUGGCUUAAGAUAUAAACACUUACCUAAUCCGACAGCACCAGUAUUGGUUGUUGUUGGCUGAAGGAGAAGAGGUUUUGACCGCCAGGAGCCGGCUGUUGAUAGCGAAGGACGGGUGUGAUGCGAUCCAGUCUCGAUGUGCGGCAACUCCUGAAGGAGAGCUAGGCAGGUUAUAGGCCAGCUUCAGAAUUGGAAUAUUCGACAGAGAUCAUUCCCUCAGUUUAGCUCAAUUGGAUCCCGACUGACUUAGCUUGAAGCAUAGCUUUCCCUUUCGGGGCUGGAUGCGACUCUUGGGAACAUUGAGACAUCGACUUUCAAGCAUCUCGUAGUUGAGCGGUACUGCCAUCAAGAGUUCCAACAUGUCCAAGGACUGCUGAAAAUGGAUAGAACGAGAGUCGAACUCCCAUCUCUCUUUUCCGAAAGAAAGACAGAAAGAACCCUAUCUUUCUUGAUCUUCCUUCACAGACCAAUCAUGUAACCUGAUCUUAUUACGAUCUAUCUUUAUUGUCUUGAUUGAAUACAUCAUUGAAAGAAUCAUGGGUCUACUACGUCAAUUGCGUAACGAGUUGGACAGAGAGAGGCAGGAACGCCACCAUGUGACAUUCUCAUCCCGACUCCUUCCUUUAAUGGUCUUGCUCUCAGCCCUGUUCCUAGAGAUCUGGGAUGGAGGGACUUAGAGAAGUAGGAAUGGGAUCGAUGCUCUUGCCCAGGCAUCCAAUUCAUUUAGUAGAGCUGACUGAACACUAAGACAAUCUCUACCAAAAUAAAAAAAAACACUAUCCACGAAGCAGAUUCAAAGAUAUUGCACGCAACAUAAGCGUUGUGCUUGUAGGCCUCCACAGGGCUUUCCGAAACAGAGCGAAUAGUAGAGUAGACAAUCCUUUAACGUCAGUGAGGCUGGGUCCCCAGAUUUACUAACUGAAAUCUUUUGACUCUUUUUUCUAACACAACCAUCGCGACGUUAGCUCAGCGGGUGACGAAUCAGAGGGGUAAUCUCAUUUGAGACUGCCUCUCUUUCUUUUAUAGUAUGUUCGUAUGUUUGGGCGACUGGACGCCGUGUGGUUAGCUGAACAAUUGGAGUAUCCUAGCAGCUACAGCUGCAGAGAGAAGUCUCUGUUUACGUAUUCGCUUUAGUUAGAUGCCGUCGAAUGUCGAAUUCCCGCUUUGACGCAGCAGGCUUGAUUAGCUUGCCUUGCCUAGCCUGAUCAUCAGGAAUAGCGAGACUUCCUAAAACUGUGAAAGCGUCAAGAGGAUUUUGAUAAUCAUACUAUUUUGAAUCCCCUCCCUCCUUGCUGGUUUGUGCUCUCCUUUCCCCUCCAGGUCCCUCGGCCAGGAUGUGAAUGAGCCUUUGUCAGCCACCUCUGACCUUAAUCCUAUGGGCCGACUGGCAGUUGAUUCUAUUGAGAAGAAGGGCCCUCCUCAGAAUCCUAGAAAGAAGUCAGAAUAAGAGUGAAUCCACCGUUUAGACCAUCGGGGAGGCGCUCCUGGGCCUCAGUACACUGAAGACCAACUCAAUCUCGAUUCUCUGAAGCAGCAAACUCUCAAAAAAAUGAAUUGACCAAUUGACGACGCUCCUCAUUCAUUAUAACGAUAUUUGAUAAAUUCGAUUGUUUAACCACGAAGAGUGUAUCUGACGGAGACACUCGCUAGAUCUAGUUAGAGUUCCUCGGCGAAUCGUCUCUUUCUUAAUGAAAUAUCUGUCUAGCCCUUAUCCUGCUAACGACGCCCUUCUUAUCUACGAAAUUUACCCUUCCUUUCCUUCCCCAGCUUUUAGUGAAGUUCCUUCCAUCAACAGUUAAGUCAUUAGUACCAGAGCCUAUUCUUUCAAUUGUGCAAUCAGUUCUUCCACUUGGCUCAAUAGCCGGAGAUGAAAUAGCGAAGGUUACGUUCACAUUUCUAAGCGCGGUUCUUCCUCCAUCAGAUCAGGCAUAAUCAACAGGAGAGAGCCAAGCAAGGGUUACGAGAGCAGUGGAUGAUUUCACAAUUACCCAAACUGGAGCAAGGGUAGCAACGGUUACUGAUUACCUGACUGAACCACCAGGAGCUUCUUCUAUGGCAUCAAUGCCAUUCUCUGUCCAUCAAUCCGAUUUCAUUAAGAAAUUGAAAUCUUUCAUUUUCUCGGGAAUUUUGGUUGUUCUUCGCCUUACCGAGUUGAUAACAUCUACACCGGAAACAAGAACUCUACCAACGGUUAUUGCCAAGAGUUCCUACGUUCACAGCUCUUAUUUUUCCAACAGCUAGGCCAUCCAAGGGGAGGGAUGACAGCCCUAGCCCUGCUAACUUAACUCUUAUGAUGAUUCAAUUGCUUACACCGGCUACUGGUUGAGCUGCUACGAAAGCAGUUACCUUUCUUACAGCAGGGCAGAUGAUUUCACAGUUAGCAAAUCUUUCUUCUGAACUCUCACAAAAGAGCUUACUCUCUUUCGAAACACCGGAUACGGUUAGAUCUAAUUCUAGCACAACCGAUUCCUCUUCUGCCUUUUGACUCUCUCCUGCUCGUACAUUAACUAUAUCUUAUAUGUAGUAUUCCCCUCGUUUCAUGGUUUAUAUAUCCUCCAAGAGCGCUUAUUCUCCAUCAAUGGCGAUAAUGCCGCAUCUAAGAGCCUAUUCAUGUGCAGCCUACUCGGAUUAAGGAAAAUCCGGUGCAGUGCUUGAUAAACUUUCGAUGCCCGCCUGAUGUUCUUCUAGCUGGAAGCAGCCAAUCCAAUCCCAUUAAAGGAUAUUUAACCCUUAGGGCGGAUCCUCCUCUCUCUACUGGGAUUGACUCGCUUAGAAGGAGUCCCAUUCCUUUGGCAAAGGCCCUAACUACAGCUCUGAGUAACUCCUUGUCUCAUUGAUCCAAGUCAUCAAGGAAAGACAGUGACGAUCGGUACGAAAGGGAGGCAUACUAGCAGGGGAUUCGUACUAAGAGCGGUUAUUCCGCAGCGUAUAGGGGAUGCGUUAAAGAGCCGUUAUGUAGCAUCUGAGAACAAGAAAGCAGACAUGCACACGAAAAGACUUGCAAGAGUAAGGUAAGGCUUGACUUUACUAGUCCUCUCGCUACGACCCUUACUCUUAUAACGGGUUACACAUGCCACCCGCUUGCUUCGCUUCGACGUUUGAAUGCCCAAGGUUUAGAAUCCAUGUACAGUCCCAGUCACGAAGAAGCAGUCCCGUCCUCUCUUAAUGAUAUAUCUCUAUCUGUCUCGCCUUAUCCUGCAAACAGCUUAUUGGACAAGGCAAGGAAAGCCUAAACCGUGCGUACCCCUUACUCGUACAAAAACUAUUUCAUUGGCUUAAUGGCAGCAGUAAGAGCGCAUUCCUUGUCCGAUUCUUGACUAUGGAUUCAUGUGUCAAACAGCUCCUUCUCGGCAUCAAGACCGACCCGUCGAAAACAGCCUAACAAGGCAAGGCAAGAACAGUAGAUAUUCCUCCAACAGGGCAUUCGUGAACAAGAGGGCAUUCCCUCACAGCUGAUUCUCAAGCAGCUUCUUCUUGAACUUCCCCUUCUUCCUUAAAAAGGAAAAUCGUCCGCUGAAGGCCUAGAGAGAGGAACAACCCCAGACGCGAAAACAACUCGAAAGGCGAAUCUAUUUCAAUCUACAAUCCCAGACGCGACAGCAACCUAAAACGCGACAUUCCUUGGGAUCAGACAUUGAUACCCCAUCUCAAUCCCAAAUCGUCUGGUAGUGGGAAAUCGUUUGGUAUUAUCUCGAUGGUACAAAUCGUCUGCUGUCAAAAGCUAUUUGGGAUCCAUUCUAUUACGAUUUUUUUUGUCACUUCGGAGCAAGUGAAGUUACUGCAGAAUUGCUUAGACUUGCUUGACUGGACUAGCUGGACUUAGCGGAUUUACCCCCUCUUGCUUUGUCUGCCCCCCUGUUUACCCCCAUAUCCCCGCUGCGUGGGCGUCCAGGAAGUCAACUCAAAACGAAAAUAAAACUACUUAUUAAUGCUUUGGCCGCUGAAGAGGAAGAACAAGAGUCUGGUUGCGCUUCGGGACGACUUCCCCUACCACUGUGAAAUAACACCCUCUUCCCUUAGUAUAGUAAGCUGGCGGGCUUCUUCCUUCACUGAAGAAGGUGGCUAAGACGUGUGGCCUAUUCCAAUAGCUGGCAGACGGGCUAUUAGGCCUAUUCAACAUAUUCCGAUUGUGAUAGAAUUCCAUUGCCUGCUCCUAUGAAUUUCGUGCUUACUUGUAUGCCGAAACUUCGACGGUCAAUAAAUAAGGACUCCUAUCCUAGGUCUGAAACUCGGUCUGCUUGCUCCUACAAAAGCUCAUUAGGUCAAAACGUCGUGAGGGUAUAGUUCCUCACUCGAUCCACCUCCAUCCACUUUGCUUUAUGAGGAUUUUGUCCCUUCAGGCCGAUGCGCAAUCACUCUCGGUCACCGCUACGGGAAUGACGAAUCUUCCUCUCCAACUUUCUUCUAUAGGGCCUUGGUCAACACAUCAGUAGUUGGAGUGCCAAAGACGACCUUACUUAAGGGGUAGGGAGAACUCUUUCCUUCUCUUCUGCUAGCAAGGGUGGCCCAUACAGUUUUUAGCUCUCCACGUCUAUCCCGGAGUACAUCCGCAUGUACGGAGGUGAAUCUAGCCUAAAAGCUAAUCGUUAGAUAUUCGCAAGCAAGAAAAUUGGGAAUGGUCCGUAUCGCAAAGUCAGCUUCAACUUCACAGGCAGCUUGCUUGCUUGAUAGAGUGUGGUGUGCCCUGUCAGUCUGGUGUAGUUGACUCGACCCGCGGCUUCUAGCUCUUGAAGUCAAGUCGAAGUGAAGUCAAAGCUGGUACUUCCGACUGCCUCCAUGCAGAGAAGAGAGAAGUCGGUUCUCCCCCCGCUUCGCUCUCCCCCUCGGGGGGAAUGGAGUAGUUUAGUCUGACAGUAGAGUCGAGGAAGCUUCCGUAGCUAUUCCGUGGCGCCCCUACUCUUGAAAUUCAAGCUUGCCGUCGAAUUCCGUGGCCGUAGGCUUGUUCCUCAUCUACGUCACGGUGGUGUGGAGACGUCCGAAAAGCUCCGAAAGAGAAGGCAGCCUAUAAUAAAAGGUAGUUCGAGUAGGGAAGUCUACGGAAGGAGAGGAACCUUCACUGAUGGACGGUUCCUCGUUGAGUCUACGGAAGGGUGGUGGUCGAGCACUCUUUUAGAGUUCGCAAGCGUAGGGAGCGGAUAAGAGGUGGGUUAGAGAUGUCUUCUUUCCCUUCGGUUCGCUUACUAAUGGGCAACCUAAUAGGGCACUCACACAAGAAAAAAGACGACAACUCUCAUCUCAAAUCAUAGAAUAGACUUUCAAUCCCAGUGGAACCCCCGGAGGGGGUGGUCGAGCCCGUCGGGCGAGGGGGGGAGAUGAAGGCAGGUAUGGGAGGUUGAAUUGAUAGGUCGGGAAAGAAAGAAUAACCCGAGUCCAUCCAUAAUGUGGUGGGGUUGGGAAGCCCACCGGGGUCGAGCAUAUCUCAAUAUCGGCCUAUCCUAUCAAUUCUGUCUGAUGCCAACCUCUAUUGUCUGGUGCAAGGGAGGACUUACAGGCAGGGAAGGCAGGAGCAUAAAGAUUGAACUAGCCCACGCAUCUGCUCCCCUCUCAAUCCACCUAUAACUCCCAUCUCCCAGCAUCUCAUUCCCACCCCGUCGUCGAGAGCAGCCAGCCCGACGUUUUUAUGCGAGUGCCCCAUGAACAUUUUUUCAAUCUCGAAUCUCCGUCUGGUUCCCCGGUGGGGUAUUCAUCCAUUGAUCGACCAACAGAUUAUAGAGAAGCAAAAGUCUCUUGAAUCUCCAUUGGCAGCAAGCAGUUCCCUUUCUUUUCUCGAGGCAGGAGGGAAUGAAAGGCGAAUCAAAGCUACAAUAUGACCUGGAAAAAAGAGACUAACAGCUGCUGAAGGUGAGAUUUUUUGAUCGAUUCAUCAGGGAGGAUUCAAUGAGAGACUAGGAAGACGCCUCCUCGACAUCUCUUUGUCCGCGGUAAGGGUAAUGCCCUAAACCAUAAGUCUGAGUAUGUCCUCUCGGACAACCGACGGUUCUUCGAUUCCUUGGCCCUCUGUUGGUUCUGCUACCCGGACCCCCAAUAAGCCGUGGCUUUCAUCAUUCCCGGUGAUUCGGUGCAGACGCUGUACUUAAGGCUAGAGGGUGAAUCAGUGGUUACAAUAUCCUUUAUGUAAUCACUCCCUAUGCAUUCUUCUGCCAGAUCACAAGCUUUUCCCAGAAUUGUUGGCCCUACCUGAUAGAUGCUUUCGACACUUCGAGUUGGUCUGCCAUAAUAUCCAGGAAAUGUUGGGAGCUGUGUGAUAAAUAGAACAACCGUCGAAUUGGAAAUGCUAUUAAAGCAUCUGCCUCAUUCCAUUUGAAAGUGCAUUCCUAUAACCCCAAUAAGAAAAGGGAAAUACCAACCUUUUCAUAGUUCCUGGGAUUCAAAGAUCAAAAAAGUUCGAGGUAUUUUUAUACAAAACUUAGAUAGAUAUCACACACUUACUUAUAAGUAUUGCUUAUGGGACGAAUAUACACCGAACAGCAUGAAUUGCCCAACUUCCCAUUACUAGCUCGAUCAAUCAAUCCAGUAUUUUCUGCCUUCCCCUUACGCGUUCUCCCGUAAUUCAGUUCCUGGUAUGGGGUAGUAGGGAACCGUCAGGACGCACGAGACGAAUCGACUGCCCCUGACGCUAGCAGGCGCUGGAGAAAGAGAAGCAAUCCCCCUAUUCCCACAACUAAGAAGUAAGAAGCGCUGCUACCAGCCAGUAAGAGAUUGUGCAGAAAGUCGCUAGUGGGAUAGUCUGAUAUUGCCAUGUACGUAUCAGCGGACAGUGGGAGGAGUAGGCAUUAGCAGUUACCGAAAAAGGGCCAGCGGGCACCGAGCAAGGGACACUGCCCGAUUGUGCGGACCGGUCGGGAGCCGAGUCACUAAAGGCCCCUCGUCAAGUAUUGCACCUAGAUCGUCGACGCCUUUAAGGAAGGGAGGGCUGCCGUUCGUCAGUGCUUAACUACUCCAGAGGUCCUCUGUAUCGGGUUCACGCUCGAACCAUACCGAAAUGUAUUGGGAAUUUUUUUUAUGCGGGACUACCAGCCAGGUACAUACGACCAGACGCACUCAAAUCUCGAGUCACGUCCCGACCUACAGCGACCAUUUCGCCUGGACCGGAAGAGGCAUCUAUGAAUUGAUAAAGACUGCCAUAACAUAAGAAAAGAAGAACCUACUAAACUCAAAUAUUGAAGCAUCAUGCCGGGGAAGGAAUUUUCCCUAGCCCGAGCCGCUUCCCCUGUAGUUGUCAGCUCGUUCUUGACAAAUCCGAUCGGGUGUUCAUAAUCUGGAGUAAAAGGAUUCGAACCUUUGCAUGCCGGUACCAAAAACCGAUGCCUUACCACUUGGCUAUACUCCAUACGGUCGGUCCCUGGGGAGAGGGGGAAGGGAGAAGCAGGGCUCGAAGAAAACGAGCCGUGCAAGGACGCGGGGAUAUAGCAAGUAAGCAGCAAGGUUCUCCCUUUAGGACCGACUACAACAAGCUCGCGACUCUAAUAGAAACAAACGGUAAGCUCUCUGCUCUAUUUGCUUGCAAUGCGUUGCCUAUCAAAGUAGGCGAACGCCGUAGCCUCCUCUUGCCCUUGUUACGCAAGACGCCAACAAAGAACCUUGCUUCCGUUGCGCCCUGUAUUCCGAGGCGACCAUUUCGCGCGCUUCGAUCCAUUUCCCGAUCCGAUUCAUCCGAUAACGUACCUAUAUGAGUGGGAUGGAUGGUAAAUCAUUUGCAGUCUUUUUCGGCAGGACCUAGACACGGAGGUUCGGGAAGUAGCGCGUGCCAGCAUUCACUGGUGGAAGGACUGGCAGCAGCGAGAGCAUCAUAGUUGACAUGGUCGGAGCUACAGUCCCCAUAUCCGUCUCUACUCUUUCUGUAAUUGACUCCCUCCCGCUCCCAACCAACCUUUUCCUUUGAAAGGUUUUCCACUAGUGGCUGAGGGAUAUGAAUCUGGAUCCCGAUCUUGUCUCACGGACUAUCCCGUAGUGGUUCUGUGACCGCGCUCGAAAUUGGAUCUAUUUCUUUCACACGGUCAACUGGCAUUGGUUCAACUAACUGGCUGGCUGCUAUUGAUAUCUGAGCCCGAGCCUUUGCUUCCCAUGGUGCCUUUGCCCCCGGAUUUAUUUUUGCAUGGUCAACGAGUUAUGGUCCACCUCCUAUCGGCUACUGAAGCCCGAGUAUCAAACUGCUGAAAGCUCCGGUUCAAAUGCCUCGGUACCCGCUUUAUGGUGCUGGCGGAUCGACAACAGGGUCUGGGGGGUUCCGUAUCAAUCCAUGGGGGCUCUGGUCAUAGCCCCCGCCUCCGCAUCUUUUGUUCCCGCUCUAGCUAACCAAGCUUACACCAUCCUUCUUUGUGCUUCCUGCGCUUCUUAUUAUGGAGCUGUACCUAGUUCCGGGUCAACGAAUGAAAUGAAACAACUGCCUCUCCCUCUCCCGUCUAUCUAAAAGUGUUAUUUCCUCCAGCUCCCGACUCCGCUUCUCCCUCCGAUGCCGGUAGAUAAAUUCCAAGACCAAACCCAUUGAUUCCAUUGGUGAAAAAAUCGCUGAUGCGAACUCGGUAGUGCUACUGAAACCACUUUGUGCAUCUUCUGUUGCCGGGAAAGAAAGACGUGUUGGGUCAGUCCGGCACGUCACGCUUGCUAAUACGGCCCGGCUGCCCCUAUACAUAGUUUGAUCGAUUGACCGACUUAACAUACGCGUUUUCUAGAUGGACAAGCUCUCCUUCUGUGCGCAUCGAUCGGAUUUGCAUGGGGCGUUGCGCGUCGCGUCGGAGAUUGUCUUACAAUAAACAAACGUUUCAAUGGGUGUAGGUACAGGGGGUGUGGCGUACGCCACUGAGUUUCUGGUGUGCAGGAUGCACUUCUCACAUGAUUGUACAGUAGGCGUUGGAGCCCUCAUCUGUAGGUACAUGGAGGUGUGGUGAUCGCAUAUGCGGAGCAGCUUCGUUCGAGAUGCCUUUGACCCGGGACCCACAGUCAGCACGAGAGCGUUAACAUCAAGGACGGAACGAUGACCAUGAUGCGUACAACUCCAAUCGCGAAGCGAAGUCAAAAAAAAACUAACCGAUGAAAGGAGAGAAUGCGGGAGACAGAAUGAUGUCGGGCCAACACAAGAGGUCAGACUAAACAACCCAUUCGACGCGUCGGGGGUACUCGACCACCGGGAGAUAGGGAUUUAGUGACUUACCAACCAACCGGACUAGGAGGGCAAGACAUACCAUACAAAUCACGGCUUCGGCUGCUGCUCCCCUUCCCUAGACCAACUGACCUACCCUCGUCCCUUCCCUACAAGCUGGGUAUCUCUCCCUCCGAGUCGUGCAAGAACUAGAAGGUCUCACAGGGAUUGGGACAACUAUCCAAACUCCAGCACUGACCAGGUGAGAAAGAAGACCGGAUGAGCUGUCAAGCCUAGGUCACUGAUACUAUAUCCCUGUCUUCAUACUAUCUGAUCUGAUCAGUUAGUUGGAGUUUUAGGUCUUUGCCUUAUCUCCCCUAAGCGGAAGAAAAUCUCUUCUUGUUGACCAUCCCUCCUGGCUGUUCAUCCACCUGCACUGGUCGAGUCCAAUUAUUGCAGCUGAUUCGCCAGUCGACUCAUCCCCUUAUUUCGAUGUUGGUGGGUAGUGAGCUAUUGAUGUGGAUGGGCUUGAUGAGGGAUUCGAUGCCUUGCCUCUGCCCGGUACCCAAAAAGCCUAUGCUUCUGCUACUAGUGCCACCGGUUAUUGCGCCGGGUAAACUUCUGCUACUCAUGUUCUACUACUUAUGUUUGUUAUGCCACUAUUUUUUGCUGCUACUAGAACCGCUAUGGUGGUAUUGUCGCCCGCCCCCAUCGCUGGUGUUGGUGCUGGGUCCUGAUCACGAACACGAAGUUUCAAUCUGGAUUAUAAGUUAAGCACCGGCACAUCGAUUUCUCAAUCCAAAAUGGAUUUCCCCCACCUUUCCUUCCAUUAAGGCUUAUAACGGAAAAGAUAUAUUGUAUAACCCUAAAGUGCCAACCAAUUUGUUCGAAUCUCCGAAAUCUAUGCAUACCCUGUUCCCUCCAUUUCCCCCGCUAACCGGUACUACAUUCGCCAACCAAUCCGGAUAAUGGAUGGGGGUGAUGAAUUCCACUUCUAUCAGUUUCUUCAUCUCUUCCUGUCCCUAACGGUCCAGAUAUUUCAUAACCUGUCCCUGCAGUGAUAUGGCAGGAUGCAUUUCUUGAAAUUCCUGCUUUACCGGUUUUGCCCCUCCCUCAUGAGAUAGCUGAUCAUCUUUUUGAUAUUCAAAAGGUACUCUCAUCCAGACAAAAUGGAAGAUCCUCCUUUCAUUUCCAUGUGGGGAGGAGGCAGCUGUGCUGGCUGAUUGGUCCUCAUGUCGAUUGGAAGAAUGUGCAGGACGGUCUGCUGAAAUGUAGGGCUCGGGGGGGACAUAUACUGACUCGGCGAUACGGGAAGUGAUGGUGUUAGUGGGGGCUCCGGAGAACGGGGUGGAGAGACCUUUUUAAGUAUUGAAGAGUCGUCUUCGGGGGCGAGAAGCAUAUAUAUAUAGAAAAAUAUAUAUAUAUAAAAAAAAUAAUAUAUAUAUAUAAUAAUAUAUUUUUUAUAUAAAAUAUUAUUAUAUAAUUUUAUUAUAAAAGAUGAACUCCAAAUCGCUGAUGAGCUACCCGAUUCCCAACCAACAUCUGCGUACGCGAAGAAGGCUUAUUGUUAGUCGCUUGAGAGCUGUCCAUGCCAAGCGUAUGAUCGAUCACACAUCUGCUCUUCUCAUUCUCUUCUCUAUGCUCCAAACACAAAAAAUGAAUAUUCACUGGAAGGGGAAGCAGUACAGUACUAAAUAGUAUGGUUCAAACCAGAUGGAAGGGCAAGCAAGCGGACGUAGCUCUCAAACUACUUCUCUUUGCUCAGGACUCCCUUUGACUUUACUAAUAAGGGGAUCGAACUUUCAGAAGGGUAGGGUGGGCCAGGCAGACAUAGGAACUUCGUAAAGGCAGUCAAAAACAGAGGAUAGAGAGCGCAUGAGCUUUCAUUCUGCUUCUGAAGCUUCAACUGUUCUAACAACACCUCGCACAUGGAGAUGGGCACGUUCCACUCGAAAAUAUACUUCCACUAUUGAGAGAAUUGUGGUUGGUAAGAAGAUUGGGAUCUCGUGUUGUUAUUUCAGUUAGGCUGAGCCGACUCACUUUUUAAAGAAAGAAAACUACCUAUCAUUCAGUUCCGCAGAAGCAGAAAGUGUUUGAACAUUGACUAUUCGACUUAUUAUCACAUUUACUAGAAAAAGAACUGACAUUCUUUCGACGAAUGAUUUUUUUUAAGAAUGGUAAUUGAACUCAAAACAAUAGUCCAAAAAGAAAACGGUAAAACGAAGGCUAUAAGUGGAUUGUGGAAGGUCCCGCGCUACGAGUGAUUGAGACUUGGUGAAUGCCACAUAAGACGGGCUGUAGGAAAGACUCGCUUAUGGAGGGCCUGGUCCUGAGCCUGAGUGAAAAGCCCAUUUAGACACUUCCUUCCCGAAGGAGAACUACUCUCGACGGCCCCUAAAAGACGGGGAAAGACAAUAAGCACACGUUUUGGAUCCAGAUUAGAGGGAAAGUGACUGACGGCAAAAAAGCCAGGUUUUCGUGAAAUGUUCCGUUUCCGAAGUCAAGUGAUGAGUCAAACUCUGUUGAUGCUACAAUGAUCGAUAAAACGUGAUUGUGAUAAGUAUAUUAUGGGAGGUAGAGUUCCGAGGGAGACUUGGUGAAUGCCCAUUGAUGAGGGGGCCUAGGCCUAGCUCAGGGGUCUGGUCAAACCUUCCGGACAAGUGCUUACGCUCAGCCUUUGCUUUGACUGCCCUAAACAUAUGGAGGUUUCGAUUUGCCAGAUUUGCCAGUUCGAGUCCCAAGAGGCUUCUUGCCAUCGCAUCGACUUCCUCAAUCUCAGUUCAUGUGUGCUCUCUUACCGAUCAACUGGAAGGGUCAAAGCAGCUUCCUAUGGAUGGGAGGGGUCUCAGUUCUGCCUUUGAAGCAAGGGGGAAAAAGGUACUCCGUCAUUCAUAGUUCGAGUUCAAACAGUGGUCUUAUCUUCUGAAUCAAAGAACACGGGUCAAAGACUGGUUGAUUGAUUCAUGAUUUACUGAAUCCGUGUCUUCUAGUGAAAGUGAAAGAGUCGAAUAGAACGCAUAAGUCGAAUAGAAAGAUGUUCAUGAUGAGUCGAAAUAGCGUAUAAAUGAGUUGCUAAGCAACGGGGAACGGAACUUCUCUCAAACAUCAGUCUUUGACUACUCAACCAUCGAAAGAAGGACGAAUAGUGGAAUAGGCAGAUGUUGCUGAAGGUCAUUUUGUUGGGGAGUAUGAGGGCAAGAUCGAUUCCUAUUUUCUCAAAAGAAUCUCCAGCUCAACCAUCUGCUUCGGAUAGUAUAUUAAAUGGACGACUGGCUUUCGCAAAUACAGGGGGUUCAUCCCCAGUUGCAUUUGUGGGUCCGUUCUCUUAGGUACCUUCUGUUGAUGCGGGGGACAACGCAAACUGCUUUCUAUGACGAUAUAAAGGGGAAGAGGUGCCGUUACGAGAACAAAGAAUAGAACCUACCUUGGCAAGAAUGAGCGGAAAGCCUCAGCCAGCCUAAGCUCUUUCAUUUCCACAUACGCAUGGGCCUUUGAAGCAAGGGGUCAUGAACGAAGAUAAGAAUCGUUCAAUUCAUUCAGUAGCAUAACAUUAGAAGCGGAUAAGCCGUCACUGCGUCUUGUUGUUAUAAAAGAAGAAGAUUAGCAAAAGACAAGAAGGAAUGAACAGAAAAAGACGAUUGAUUGAUGAAUGAACAAGAUCUAAUGAAUGCUUGAAUCAAAGCAGAGGUUUCAAUCUCAGGCCUUAUUUCUUUGGGGAUGAGAGGAGUGCUCUCUGAACUCACUCACUUUCCGCCUAGUCAUACGGAGUUCUUAGAGUAUAGGAGGAAUUCUUAAAUGAUUAUUGCCGUUAUCUAGUAAGAGUCCCCAUCCGUAUUGUAUUAUAUCACAUAAGUAGCUCCGGAAAGGGGACGACUUCUUUUCAAUAAAAAGUAGAAAGAACAACUCUAUAGAAGGAGAGUCGGAACAUCUUAGUCACUGACUGGUCAACCUUCGGCGGCAGGAUCGUUUCCACUUUGUUCAGCAUAUACUUACUACAGUCAAAGACAGAUCUCGAGAAAGAAGCACAUCACUGGUAAUGAAAGGCAAGCGCUUGUGCUUAAUAGAAUCUAUCUCGUUCGUCUCUCAAUCAAUUAGGUAUUCGAUAAAGAAGAAGAGUUUCCGUGCUCGGCUAUCUUUUGUUAGUUUAAGGAGUUAGAGUUCCAGUCUUUUAGAGAGCUGUCCUUUCCAGUGGGUCUUCCUAUGUUAGAUGGAGAUGAUGUCAAAGCACUAAAAGCAGAGCUUGAAGUUCUGCCUUUUUUGAAGCAAGGACCAUUUUCUUAGUCCUUUAGAACUAGCUAGUAGGGCAUCUUUACGUCAUUAGGAUAGCUGGGUACCGACAUCCAGCAGUAAGUCAGUUUGCGGCACAAGCUAGGUUUUACCGACAACAUACUAUUAAUCUAGAGUAGUACGUAAGGAAGAGUUUCAGGCGAGAGGGCAGGCAAGAAGACAUUCCGCUCAGGGACAUAAAGCACGAAGUAAUGAAUAGUGAAUGUGAAAAAAAAAAGGCUUCAAAGACUUUCUCGAUCAUCAGUCUAGUCUCGUUGAUAGUCAAAAGAGUCAAAGUAGUCGCUCUGUCAGCAAAUCAUCUCUCUUUUUUGCUCUAAGCAGUCGUCCAGUAGACUGAGUAGCCCGAACUGUCAGGCAAGUGUCAGGUGGUUGAGCAUUUAGGGGUGCAAGGAAAGCAGAUGGAAAGUCAGGCAGGGAAGGCAAAACAAUAGGGUAAGGGCUCCGGUUGUUAGUUUUGGGUAACUGUUAAGGCAGUCAAAGUAUAAAGAGUGGACAAAGAAUCCCCGUUCUCAGCUGGUUGUAGCCUCGGAAACCAGAAACCCAAAAAGCCAGUAGCUGAUAAAACCUACUAAGUCAGGGAAAGACGUAAGCAAGCAAAAAGAGCAGGCCGAGCUGUAAAGAAAGAAUAACGAUGUCGGGUCUUCGUCUUCGAGCUGUUCAGUAAGCAAGCAGAAAGGAAAGAUAUUCGGUCAGAAGCAGGUUGUUAUUAGAAAGCUAGAAAGAUAGGGUUCCUGCAGUGAACAGUAAGAUCAAGGACAUAAGCAGGAAAGGAAAGGACAUCACACAGAUAUUCUAUAGAAAAAAAUAUCGACAAGUGGAAUAGCCGAAGAAAGAGCGGCAGAAGGCCUAGUACCACCAGAACAGGAAGAGCAUAAACUCGGUUCCACAGAAAGGAGAGGAAAGAAGACAGGUUCGGAGCCGUAAGUAGCCUAGUCCAAUAUUCGGGGUAGCAAGUCAAGCAAGUAGGGGUUCCACGGUUCAAGGCAAGGUGACGGUAGUCAACAACAGUCAGCAAGCAAAGAGGAUUGGUUUUUCCUGUAAGACCCGUAAGACCAGCAUAGGUCUUAGGUUUUUUAGUAAGAUGCCACAGUCAGCCAGUAAUAAGAUAUAAGCAUGCAGUGGGAAAGUAUAGAAGAAAAUGGUCAAAGUACUUUUUUCUUGCCAAUGUAACCUAAGCAACAUUGUAGUUUCCCAGCCGGAUCUAGGUAUCGUUUCGCUUGUGCUUCUUUCAAGGGAAGCAUUUCGCAUGGAAGGCAAGAAGAAGAGAACUCAAACCUCAGGGAAAAGAGAAGCACUGCCAAUAGGUAUGAACUACUAGUAAACAUAUAUACUCCGGAGACUUAGCUUACCAAUUGAACUAGAUCGCUUUCCUCUCUAUUCAUUCGAACUAAGCUUUACUUUCUUUGCGUGCCUUCACAAGGUUAUCCGCGCUUUCCUUUUCAUUGUAUUUAUCCUCACCUCACUGCUUUCCGCGAGGGUAUGGAUUCCUGUGGUCUAUGGGCUGUCCCCUAUUGUAGGUAUUCCCACGCUGUCCAUUAUGUGCGGGCUUGAAAGAGAGACUCCAAUUCCAAUAAUGGUGCUCACACUACGGUAUGGCCAACUGGUCGGGAUGGCAGGAAAGAAAGUCUAAAUAAAGAAGACCUCCACUCCAAAGUACCGGGCAUUGUCAAGGCCUAGUCCUCCUUUCUUAGGUUAGACACCUACUCCUUCUUUCUUCGCUCGGAAUAGGAAUGAGAUCAGAAAUGCCAUCCUUACCAUAGCUUGAUACGAUACGUGGUGGCUAAGUACAAAAGAAGGUGACUGGAAUAAGAAAAGAAUACACUCUCUUUCUAAAUAGAAAUAGCAAUCCAGGGAAAGCGCACCUUAUCUAUCCUAUCCUCUAGCUUUAGAGGCUGCGACGGUGGAAAUAGAGGAGUCAUCAUCCGAUUGUAUUGUCUCAUCAGGGUUUCCAUCCGAACUAGCUCUUACAGCAAAGAGCAAUAGCUACCUUUUCUCUGUCAGUCCAAAAUCAAAGUCUCUCUCGCUAGCGAAACAUUCUACUCGCUUUCUCUCUUUCUAGCGGAAUUGCUGCUUGAAAGAAUUACCAAAAAGAAAAGAGGAACUUCCUUUGUGAAGAGGCCAGGACAGAUGGCUCUUCCACGGGGGAGAUCUGGUUUAUCCGCCAUCGCUAUCACAAAAAGACUUGAUGAAGUUAUUGUUUUCAUUUCAGUAGAGUGGCAAGAGCUCGUAACCCAGAGGCAUGAAUCCAAAGCUUACUUUGAUAGGCAUAGCAUUUUCCUAUUUCCGCGAGUCAGCCUGAUCCGUGCGCUGAUCCUUCUAUAGUAAGUAGGAAGACAAGAUCGCAAGGGAAUCAGUAGUUCCAUGCCUUCUACUUAGGCAACCCGAAUCCGCGUAUACCUACUCUAGCAAGAGAGCAAACUACCAACGGAUCCUUCCACUUCUGUAACAAAGGCUAAAAGGUGCGAACGAAGAAAGCUUGUUUGGGCUUUGAAAGGCUUCGCACCUACUUCUUGUGUCUCCCGUAAGUAAGAGAGCCGGGCGAUAUGAGGGAUUGACUUUCCUCAGAAAAAAGAGUAUCCGUUUUUUUGGUUCAUACCAGGGGAAUUCUCUAAGCAGAUCGUACUUUCUCUGUCGAAAUGCUUUCCGUAGCUCAGUACUGCUGUACUUACAUCUUGACUUAUUAUCCGGUCUUGUCGAACCAGUGAAUCUCUAUGCUUUCUUUCUUAGGCCGAACGUCAGGAGGGGGACAUGUCCUAUGUCCACUGACUCUGCUUUGAGUACAGUACUAGCUCUUACUCCUCUACUUCAAUGAGCUUUCCUAGUUAGAAAAGGAUGUUUCUUCACUCUUCUCAAGAGAAAGAGAAAGAAUAUGUUAACAGCGCUACGCACCUGUGAAAAUAAAUCUCCCCUGAACUCUUCUCUUUUGGAAUUAGACUGUCUCUCUUCAACAGCGUAUUCUAGCAAACAGCGGAUUCUCUGCAUCUAUAGAAUCUCUUUUCAUUGCAUACGAUUCUCUCCAUCUAUGAGUCUGAGUUUCUUUCCAAUUGAUAGAGGGAAUCUAUCUUUAGAUUGUAGAGGCAUAUUCAUAUGAAGUUAUCCCAAUAGGAAUGUGCAUAUGUAGGUCAAUCAGUUCCUUGCUUGCCUUACCCUUACUCUUCUUCGCAUCUCGAAAGAGAAAUCGCCUUUGAAACGAUAAGCGCUACGCCCCUCGUUGCCUAAUAGUUCUUGCUUCCUUAAUCAAUUACCUGCUGCUCUCCUUGCUGCUUUCCACUAAUGGUAUUCAAGAGUUGGAUAAAGUUUCACUCUCGAUGGCAAGGCUGGGGGAAGAUCGAAACUUCUAAGGGAUUCACCUCCUUCCGGAUUCCUUCUAGCGCUUAAGGUGCGUAGCGGAUUGACUAAGAGAUGGGGCCGGUGUUGGGAUACCUUUGAAGAUGACUCUGAGUAUAGGAAGGAAGAGGUUGGGGCUUUCUUUCUUUUCUCUCCUGUUUAGGAAGAUAGCAGGCAUCAAGACGAAGAGAGAAAUUCCUCUGAAUCAAAAAGGAAGGCUAGCGGUCAGAUCUAUCGGACGAAUCCCCGUGCGGGAAAGAAAGCGAGAAUCAGAAUGACUGUGCCAUUCUUUCCCAUCACUCUGAUUAUCAGUCUUAGAUGCACCAAAAAAGGCUCGAGCGAGAAGGCCUAUCUUUAAGCUAAAAAAAGAUGAGUUCCUGUGGUCUAAGCCCUCAAGUGUCAUCGGCCUUCGGGAUAUAGAAACCUUCUUUCACUUUAUUCAAUUCAAAGAAGCCUCAAGGCGACAUGGUUAGCAAGACAGUCAAGCAGGCAAGUUUGGGGUUUUCCUGCUUAUAAUUCAAUUAGCAAUAAGGGGUGUAUUUUCCACCUGUGCCUGGUGAAUUUCUUGCUGUCCCGGAAAGGGCCUAUAUAGGUACAUAUCUUUCCAUGGUAAGGUCUUCCCCUCCAGCCAGUUCUUGAACAUCUAAGCCAGCAGCUGGGGCUAGAACAAGGAAGUUUGACAGCUUUGACUCUCCCCCUUCGUUCUCUCCCUUUUCUUCUGGGGGAUUACUCGAAUAUGCUUUCUUCUCCUAGGGAAUAGGGUGCAUAGGCACGAAGUGAUUGACCUUCGAUGAGGAGUUGUCGCCUCUUCUAGGUCGGGAAGGGCUGUCAGUCCAUGCGAGUUUCCUGCGCUAACCCCUUUUCUGCGGUUGAAGUUGGAGUUGGAUUCUCUUUGCUGUCAAUCCUGCCGAGGGACUUGCUUCCAUACGAGCGCAUAGAAUAGAAUUGUAAAUGGAAAUAGAAUAGAAUAUAGUCAAUAGAGUCAGUCAAUAUACCUUUUCUUAUUCCAUAGGUGGGUGCGCCUAGAUUCAGCCAAGCCGCCACUUUGCAGUCAAUGACUGAGUGGGCUCAGUUCGAAUGAACUUGGAUCGAUCCAAUCUAACUCUUUUCUUUCUUCACCUUUUCUUGAGGAGUACCCCCUCUUUAGGAUGAAAAGGAAAGAAACCCUUGUGUAGUGAUACACUCUGCCAAAGGUAGUUGUGAGCCUUCUCCCUAUAUGAAGUGCCUAAUUGAUUAUGAAUCUAUCCUCAUUCUAUUCUUUAGUCGAGAAUAGGUUGCAUACGAGGGAGGGCCUUUUCUAUACGAUCGAAUACGGUAUGUUUCUAUUUUCCUUGCAGAGCCAGUACCAGGACUAAGAUAAGCCCUUCUAUCUCUUGGGAGUUCCGCCCAAGGCCAGAGUGUGAGACUAGCCUUACCUAAGGAGAGUUAUGCCCUUGGCGCAAGACAGUGAUCAGUCCAAGUUUGAAAGGUAUCCAAUUCAUACUCAAAAGGCCAAUCCAUCAGGCCCCUUAACAAAAGCAAGUUCAUUUUCAAGUCUUUACAUUAGUGCCUUUGAUUGCCCAUCCGAUCUAGUUUGAGUGGUAGUUCCAAGUGAUCCAAUCUAGGGGAUUUCCUUUUUAGCACUAUUUUUAUAAUGGAUUUCCCUUGUUUGAGUGGAAGUGUCAGUCCCAAGGCCAAGGCAAGUAGAAGAAUCUUUCUAAGAAUCCUCUUUUUUGGUAGGGCUAUAUCGAUUUUUUUCUUCCCUGGUGAGGCUUUCUAUCCUUCUUUCCUUGAUUUGCUUUCUCUCCAGACAAAGAAAGCAGUUAAUGAAGUGAAAAAGCCUUCCCUUCCAGCGUCAGUGUAAGAGUAAGAAGAAAGACGAUGUAAAACCAGUUAUCAAACUUGAGAAAGGAGGAUAGUUACAAUAGAAAAGAUCCCCUAGUCUAUCUAUAGAAUCUCCCCUUGAGCGAAUUGCAGUGAAAAGGGAAGCAAGUCCAAUUGCAAUCCUAAGGUCAAACCCUGAAGUUGCAGUGCCAGUUUCUAGCAAUACAGUAUCAGUGAGCUUUCUCCUUCCCCGGGGAUUGAUUUUGAGUUUCUCUUGGGGGUGUUCUUCCAGCUUGUCCUCUUCCCUACGGUUUUCUUGCUGUCUCUGGGAGGACUAAGGAAAGAUCCUAGUACUCAAGGUAGGGCUCUAGAGAAGAUUCCCUGAUAGAGCUAAGAUAACUAGAUUGAUUUACGCUUUCCUCUUUCUUUUUUAUCAUAUCUCUAUAGAAUUGGAACGAUUUCCUUGCCAGUGAUCAAACCUGAGUCUUUGAAGGCAGUGAUAAAGCUACUCUGAAUAUCGAGCUAGCAGGAGGAGGAGGUCUAUCAGUGGGCCUUUCCUUUCUCCCUUGAAAGCACUAUGAACGAGCUGGCAAGGCCAAUCCAUCAGUCAAGGCAGGCAAAGAAUCAAGCCGGGGGAGAAAUCUCAUUAGCCAUCGAGCUUUUCAUAUUGACUAAUACUGGAAAACCCUUUCCCAGCGGGGUAAAGUGCUAGGUAAAAAGCUAGGGAUAAAGCAUGUGAGAGGGUAAGCAAGAAGGACUAUUCCCUUAUUUCAAGUACUGUAACAUUCUUUCGCUUAUUUCCUGUUUUUUUCCAUGUAUAUGGGGUAUUGAAAGCCAUCCAAUUUCAGUCCAUCUUCUCGCCGAAGAAAGCCUCAAAAGCGCUCAAGGAUAAGUAAGUGAAGACAGUUAGAUGAGGGCAGGGUAAAUCAGAAAAAGGCAAGAAAGCCUGUUUUGGAAAGACUGCAGUAUCGAAUAAGCCAGAAACAGAAGUCUCUCUUUCUUUUCUUCCCUGUAAGCCAGAGCCUGUUGGAAUCAUAAUAAAAGCCCCUGCUUCUUUUUCCACUGCACUGCCAGUUGAAGUUGAAAUUGGAGUAGCUUUGCCCUUAUAUCCAGUCCAUCCCAUGGGAGUUGACUAUCCAGAAGGAGUCUUUGUUUGCCUAUUGUAAGACUCUUUCAAUCUGGCUAAGGCCUUUCAGUGUCCACCCUAAUAUGUUAGUGCUUGGCUCUAUCGAAUGACUUUGUCCCUUACGAGGUACGUCUUCCUUUCUCUUCUCAAAAUCCUAAGCUAUCUUCUAAAAAAAGUGGAUCUUCCUAAUCAAUAUUGCUUGAUAGAAAGGGAGUCUUUUGCCUCCUUCUAAGGUGUCUGUCAGGUUGACGUUUCCUUAUCCCACUCUAGUGCUGGGAGGAAGCCUUCUUUCGCUAUCGGGAUACGUUGGACUGGAAAAAGGCAAUGGCCUCCUGUACUUGGCCCGAGAUUCGUUGCCAAAGCUAAAGCAUUCGGGUAAACAUACAUACCCUAUAGAUUCCUUAGUCUAUGGAUAGUCCCUUACUCUGUAUAUCCUGUCAGUGCCUUACCUUGUCCUUGACUUGCCUUUCUUCCUUAGGGUCAAUCACUUCGUGCCUGUAGUCCCUGUGUAAGAAUCUUUCCUAAGGCAAGCGGGAAGCACUUCCAAUGAGAAUGGGAUAGUUGGCUCUAGGUCAAGCGUAGGAAGGAGUACCCCAUAAGCAAAAGAAGGGAAGUUCUAUCUCAUAAGCGAAAGAGGGGCAUCCACUUUUUCCACCUUCGAGCCAGUUGCUGUCCUUUUCCCUUUUGUUUUGUCAGCCAGUGCUUUUUGAAUAUCACUCUCCGAAAGCGACUCUUUUCUUUUUCACCAGGAAAGCCGGGUGUGGCGAUCCGAUCCCAGUUGAUUGAUCUCGACUUUACCAGCUCAUGAACGGCAUUCGUCAGACGUCGAGGAAACCGCUUCUUUUUCGCUUCAAGCAGAUUUCGAACCGGUGAUUGACAGAAAAAGAGGAUCGAUCGAGAAAAAGGGCACCCUCGGGAAGAGAUCUCCAACUGUCAAAAGUCAGAAGCUGAGAGAUAGCCCUCUGAAGUGGUAGCUUUUUAUCUACUUUCUUUCUUUAAAGGCGUACAUCCAGUCCAAGCAGUUGCUCCCAGCUAGCGGAAAAGGUGAAUGUGAAUAAAUUUAUAUAAGAAAGAUGCUGCCUCUUUCUUGCGUUGAAUAGUAAUCUUGGGUAAUGGGCAUAGGCCCAGAUCAAUAUCUAUUUUGAUUUGAAACUGAUAGAAAGAAAAAGCCCCGCCUCCUGCGGUGGGAAGAGAACGAAAAGUGUUAUUACAAGCUUUGAGAGUCCCGGAGUUGAGCUGUUUGAGUGGACAUGAGUAGUUCUUCACUUCAGAGUUUUCUUUGUUAGGAGUAUUCAUCUCUUAAUAAACUGAACCAGUCGCUUUCUUCUAGGAAGCGGGUCCUUGCCUUCCCUUGAGCGUAACACGGAAUUGAUCGAUUUGAGAAGUUUGCUACUGGCACGCCCCGCAGGUCCUUCUAUUUAGUCCAUGAGGGUUCUCUCGGCGCUGCUUUCAUUCUUGUUCACCAAGACGUAGCUGAUCCGAUCUAAGAAGAUGAUACUGACCGCGCUGAGGAGUUGGGAUCUUGAGGUGACUACCCAGAGGAUGUAGAAACAAUCAAAGAUCUUAUUUAGUGCCUACCUAUAUUCCAUACAUAUAAAAGCAGCGGGCAAGGCUUAAAGUGAGAGCUGCCCGAUCUUGAAGCUUUAGUUGGAGGACGGUAAUCUGCUUCACUUGGUUUGUUGUCGGUAAGAGAUCUCUAAUUCAACAUAUGUCAGAGUGGGAAGGUACGAGCUGAAUAGAGUGCACUAGUCCAUUAAUUCUAGCGACAGCUUUUAUUUAUAGUGUUGGAAGGACCUUGAGAAGGCUUUGGCCUUACCUUCUAGUUCUAAUUCAAAGGCUCGAUCGAGCUCAAUUAAAUUAAUUCAAAUUUCAAUCCCGAAAGUCUUUUAUUUUAUUUUAAGGCGCGUAUACACCUAUUCUCUCUUGAAUUUUUAUUGUCAGUAUACAACCCGUUACCAGAAUGCUCCCAACAACGGGAAAGAGAGCUGGUGUCAUUGGGGAAGCCUUCGUUUAAGUUGCAGGUUUGAUUCGUUCCUUGUGAGCGUUAGUGAGUGGGGAAUUGUAAGCUUUGAGCUUCAACAGGUUAUACUUUAACAUUAGCUUAGCAAACAAAGGGCGACCAGAAAAAAAAAGGCUUUCCUUCCUUUUUCCCUUUGACAUAUAUCCCAAGUACUUCUAAAUAGAACUAGUGCCAAAGGUCAGUCAAUUACUUUAUAAAAGAGAUGCUAUUACGCCUCCUGCGUUGCCAUCUUCACGAAUGAGACUGAACCAUCUUACAUUGUCCGAGCCAAGCCAUCGGAGGAGAGUCAGGCCAUUCCAGGAGAAUGGAAAAUAGCUCAAGUGGGCUGGGGACCAGCCCCGCUAGAUCCAGAGCAUCCGUAUAGGCUUCACCUUGUACUCCGCUUGUCCUCAAAUCAUUCAAAAGGGACUCAAGAAAAGGGAUAUUGUCGCUUUCCCCAUGUAAAGCUUCGGCCGCAGCCAUAACAUCUUCGGGACUCCUGUUAAUCAUCAACUCCCCAAAUUUAUCGUGUAUAUCAGAUUGAAGCUCUACUAUACGUUCACUGGAAGGGUUAAGACCCGGAUGAUCCUAAAAAAUACCAUGAGAAGAACCCUGAGUGCCGGAUGAUUGAAAACUAUAAUCGUUAAUAGUAGUAGUAGUCGUCGUGGGUUCACUAAGUGAAUCAUUCCAAUUAGCGGUCGGAUUCAAAUUAUUCGAAUUACUACUAUUCAAAGAUGAACUAUCAGAAAUGAAGAAGAUCCUGGCGGAAGGAAAGGGAAUCAUAUUUUUUUGACAUUCGAAUUCCCUCCAGACAGCUUAACUCCGUCAAGCCUGUAGGAGUAGUGAAGAAUUAUAGUGAGUUGUGGUUGUUGACCAAGCAAGGUCGCACUGAGACUGAGAACACCAACGGAACACUCUCUUACCCCCACUGACCAGCUAGUGUGCAAUGACGACCGGCCCGCAAGCUACUCGAUUUUAUUUUCUUAGCUGCUCUGGAUUCUAUUCUAGAUGCUACUUACUUACUUUUCUUUCACAAGGUAGCGCAUCUAUAUAGCAUAGCUGAAAGCGGACAAAAAAAGCUGUUCCCAUAGCGUUACGUAGGCUUAGCUUAGCCUCUUUCUCUAUCUAUAUUUAUAUAUGAUAAUAUCACCAGUGGACAGCGAAGAAAAAGAGAGGGUGCACAGAGGAGAGGUUAAUGGUUGAAGGCUGGGCCAAUAAAGAAAUGAAAAGGUGGGCAAGGAAACAAGUUGGCCUUGGUUGAGAAAUUCACUAAAGUUAAUCAUAUACUUAUUAAUUCUUUGAACACCACUACUCUUCUCACUAAGGUUUAUAAUACAGUUAAAGUCUCCUAUAAUUAACCAAGGUUCAUUCUGUGUAGGCAUGAUAUUGAGGAGCUCAAUCCAAAGCUCCUGCUGUUUAUCCUUUUGAGGGUACAUGUAUAAGAAAGUAGCAAACCAGAAAAUACCAUUACCAACUGAAAUUUGACAAUGGAUGAAACGGGGAUGAGUCCUAAGGAUACAAAGAUCAAUGUGGGACUUCCACAACAGGAGAAGCCCACCAGACUGCCCUCUAGAAGGGACUGACAGAUUACAAGCAAAAGGAAAACGGGUUGCUAACAAGCGAGCACCCUUUUCAUCCGUACGGGUGUCCUGGAUGAAUAGUACAUCAGUUCGCAAAAAGCAAAAAUCAAACGUCGGAUUGAGUGGCCCAACCUAACCGGCCACUACCUUGACAAUUCCAAGCUGUAAUCCUCAUGAUUAAUCCUCAGAGGAAGAGAGGUUCUCAACUAUGUCCCUAGAUCGUUUCUUGGGGCUGCGGUAACUAGUCCCUGGGUCAUUAGAAGGUCCAGCAAAGGGGAGGGGUGCACUCAUAAUGGCUUCAUUAGCUAGAUCCAAGGCAGAGUCCUCUUCCUGGAGCAGUAUAUCCAUUGGCAAAAUAUAUGAGCUAUAAAAAUAAGAAUCCAUAAAAAACAUUCCAUUUGACAUUGUCAGAUCCUCUUUAGGUUCCAGAUUACUAAGAUUAUGCAUACGGAUAGAGAUCAUCUAAUUCCAAGAAAUCACCUUCAAGACAGUAUUCAAAAAUAUUCUUUCUUACCAUUUCCGGCUGAGGAGAGUUAACUGGGGAGUCAGAGAUAACUACCACUGGGAUAGCAUCAUUAGCUCUUGGAGAUCCAAUAGGCACCCCUGCUGCAGCUGCACUGGAGCUACCAGCAUAAGCAUUCAUUCCUGCUGCAUCCCUGUAGGAGCGGCCAGCUCUGAGUCCAGAGUGAGAAAUUUGGGAAGACAAUCCUCCACGACCAGGAAACCUGGAUUUUCUUCUCACUGUAGUCCAACCUUGGUCAUCUGGGUUGUUUCCUUGCUCAGCUUCAUUAGCAACAGUAUUGGUGCGACUUGCCAACGGACCCUGAUUAGCACUGGGGAAAAACCAUGAUAACAUCAUCAGAUACAGAACGCUGCAACUCAGGAGUGAUAUGAGUGGUCUCUGGGAUAAUCCUUGGUUCAGAACGGAGUCUCUCAGCCAAAAAGAAGUGCUGAUCAGGCUCCUUUCUAGGGCAGUCUUCAAAGAAAUGAUCAAUUCCUCCACAGUAGAAGCAACACUCAAAGAAAGAUUCAUAAUUAAGGUAGAUUGUGACACUCUCGUUAGCCCAUUCCAGUUCAAGGCACCUCUUUAAGGGACGAGAGAGAUCCAGCUGCACACAGGCCCGAGCGAAGACACAAUGUGUCCCCUCCAAGGAAGCAUGAUCCACUUUAACAAACUGACCUACCACAGAAACUAGCUCAGCCAAGAUUCUUGCAUCCCACAUCUGAAGGGGGAAGCCUAACCCACACAAGAACACUUGUUACUCGAGCUCUGGCCGGGGUCCCCCUCCGGAGGGAAAAAAUCUGGCCCUUGAUAAACCAAGGUCGGUUCUACAGCACAUAAAGCAAGUCCUCCUCGCACGUAAACUCAACCUUAUACCAGUCUCGCCCAUAGUGGAUGAUGGAGACAUCUCCUUGCAGACCGGACGAAUUCAACAAACAAUCUUUAUUUGUUGCUCCCAGUUAUGGUGAAUUAUUUGUUCAAAGUUCCAAUGCAUAUUACAAAAGUCUUUUGUUGAUUAUCUGCAGUUGUUUUGCAUUCAUUUAGGUGUGGUAGUGGCUAGUUUGGAGAAGGGACUUUUAUUUCAUAACCUCUGCCACAGACAGUUGAAAAGCUAUCACAUGAUCUCGUUGCGUCAUCAUAUUAUCUUUCUUACAGAAAGAAAUUUGUAACAUUAUCUAUCGCCUAGAAGUGAAAUAUGUGCGUCAGUCUAUACACUUACUAGUUACUAUUGUCAGCAUCUAUUGCAUCCCUAUGCCAAAGAUUCUGUCAUUUGCUAUUUGUGUUGUGUAUGGUGUGUUGAUUUUAAGGUUCUGUUGCGUAGCAUUUUAUGAUAUCACUAAUAUAAUAUAUACACUCUUGAAGGUAACUUAAAGAGAGUUGGUUGACAUCUAAUCUUUCAUGUUCAUGCUGCAUAGUUAUAUCCUCAUCAAGUGUGGUUGAAUCUUGUGAAAAAGAAUUAAUGGUUGAAGUCACAGGUUCUUGCUGAUAUCUUCCCAGAGAAACGCCUCUCUGGAAGCUACAAAGGUGUAUCACACACUGGGUGUUAAAGUGCUUGCCUGAUCUUUUGUAGGUGUGAUGCUAAAUUUCCUUUUGUUUCUGUGUUAAAGCGGUUGAACCGCAGAGACAUAACAUUUCCGAACGGCAAGGUUCUUUAUUGAUGGAGUUUUCUUGGCUGCCCCAUUUAGUCUACUAUUCAACCAUUCAUUCUUAUUGAAUCUCUUCUGCAUCGACAUUCAUUGAAUCAGGAUAUUCCGAGAAAGUGGUCCCUCUGGAUGAUUCGGCCACAGACUGAACAUCAUCCUCUUCUUGCUGAAGCAGAUGCUUCCCACACUCCAGAUCUAGACAUAAACUACAGCUAAAGUGACCCUCGGAGUAAUCCUGUCUUGAAGCGGGUUCAAAAGAUCAACUCUAUAGUAUAGGGUUUCGGUUGGUUGUUCCAAAGCAGUUCAAAAGCUUAGCCGAUGACUCUCUCUCUUUAAUAGAUUCCCAACCUUGCAACUUACUCAUUUAGUGAAGAUCUAUCGACCUUUUAUUUUUGUAAGGCUCAGCUUUCUACAGACCGAGGGGUGGAGGAUCGUUUUGAGUCUUAUGUUCUGGCGGGUAUCCAAUCCAUUAGCUGAGAUGUCAAGCCUACACCUUUGUCUAUUACACCGAGAAGAAUUAGUAGAAUGAAGAUGAGGAGUAAGAGCUACCCCACAGCAUAUUACUAGCUUCUUGGCAUAUAGAUCACGGCUGAACGCGGAGAUCAUAAUGGGGGGCGUGGUACCUAGCCCCGGUCAAUGAGCAUGCCCCCGCUCUGACCCCUCUCGCGUGAACGGUAAACGCGUCUAACCUAUCAUAAAAAAAGAGAAAAAAAAGGGAAGCAGCGCCCUAUCAUCUAAACCUUCUAACAUGGUAGACAGGCGAACUGGGGGAGAUCCAAUUAGCCAUGUGGCCCUGCCGAGCCAUUCCGACAGCUAGUCGUUACACUUCGGAGCUUGCCUGAAGCUUAAUUCAUUAGUUUUGCUUGCGAGGUCUCAAACUAACAGAGGCACAGAUGCGAAGGCCGCAGGAAAACGUCCAGUAGGGAUCCGCUCUACCAUAAAGUUUUCACUUCACUUUCUCGACCACUGCGUGGACAUCUGCCUCGCCCGCCUACCCCUUACUCUACCAUUAUUAGAGGGCUAUUCCAUUAGAGAGGUAUGACCCCUCGAACAAAAGACAGACUUGUGAGCAUUUCAGUAUACCACUUCUCAAAGAAAUAUCGGAAGAAUAUAUUUAUCACCUAACUCCUAGAUGUUAUAUUCCUAACCUAAGGAUUCCCCUCUUAAAGCACCUUCGUGAGAAUCUCCUUAUCGCUUAGAUGUCACUUUAUUCCGAAAGUACGAGUUCAGAGAUAGGAUCUUAGCCGCUGCAUCCGAUGCCGCUACUGGAGAAGUCAGAGUCAAAACAGUCCCUAUACUCUUCCAUUCUUGCAUGACUGGACCACUAAUCCUACGUAAACUGCAUCACUUGAUCCGGAGACCGCUGUAUCACAUCCAGAUAAAGGUGGUGGGAUCACUAACUCUGUAUAUAAGCUGUAGAAUGCUCGGCCGCUCUAGUACACAUGCUAGUACACCGAAGCGAAGUCGUCAAGCAAGAGUCUCCUUAGGUCCUCAAUCCUCUGGGCGACGCUCGUAUGUGGAUAAAUGGAAGGAGCUCCUUCAAACAGAGGGAAGGAAAGCCCUGGCUCUAACGCUCUGCUCUGGUCACCGAUGGCUAAGUCAGACGUUGUGAAACCGGCUCUGGCCUUCGCUUCUUUACUUCGAAUUCCGAUGAUCUUUGACUUUCCCCCCAUUAUACAUAUUUAUGUAGAAGAAUAGAAUUCGAAUCAAUGAAUUGAGCCUCUGUUCGCCUACCUUGUUGGAGUUUUCUGCAAGAAUUUCUGUAUUUCAUAGAGAUGGGGUUGGUGUGCAGUGUACUAUGGUACAAUAUCUCAAAGGGAAGCUUGCUUUCCUGUUCUAAUACGAGUUCUUUCCCCUUGAAAGUCGGAUAGUCGGUCGAUUCUCGCCCAGUAGAACUCAGAGCGCGAAGAGCUGCGGCUUGUUCUGAGUCGGUCCACGGUAGCCUACCUAAGACCCUUUCCCUACUUUCAAUGUUGGAGAAGCCAACUCACGUCUGAGUUCUUUCUUUCAUUCUUUCAAGUCAGCAAGUCGAAGCUCAAGGACGAAUGAGUUCUUGAGUCAGCAAGCUUUCUCCUCUUUGGCCCCCUUUCCAGCACCAAGGUACCAAAAAAAGCGAAGCGUAGCGACGAAAUCGAAGAAGAGAAGGAGAAGGGAGCUUACUUCGCUUAGAGAGACUGGAGAUCGUAGUCUCAAUCCUAACCUCAUAGAAGGUCUUUUCAUGGUAUGCCUUCCUGGCUCGUAUGAUUGUGUUGUCUUCCUCACGGGUAUUCCCAUAUCGGGAUCGGGGACCAAGACGAAGCGUAGUACCAUACCCGAACCUACCUCUCGCUAGUCUUACUGAUUUUUCCGACUUGGUGGUGGAAAAGGGAAUAAAGCAUGAUUUCGAACUACACUAAGGUGCAGAUAAACUCGUUAGCGGGAAGAACAACGACUAGCAGUACGAGGAGGCGAUUCAGCAAGAGAGGCACACCUCCGCUAUUGACCCGAUCAACUUGUUUUGACUCGACAAAACCCAAUCUACUCGUAUCUGUUGCUCCCCUUUGAAAAUCGAGUUCAUAAAAUGAGUUUUUCUCUUUGAAAAGGUGGAGAGUUUUCGUAUCUUCUCCCGAGAAGGAAUGACCUAAGUUAAGUAAGUGGUCAUCAGUUGUAUCUUCCCAGAGAGAUAGCUAGGCUCGCAGGCACAGCCCUCUGUUGUAAAGGUAUUUUCCUCGCAUGAGCAAAGAGCAAGCAGCUUACUUACCUAAGAAAAAAGGGCAGGAUUUGAUUCAUAAACUCUUGGAUAGAGUGGUUGGUUUGGGGCGUCAGAUGAGGGAUUAGCUUCAUUGAACUGAAAGGGCUGGUCGAAAGCUAAAGCAGUACGAGGAAAUCAGAGAAAAAGGGCAAGUAGGUCGGCUUCAAAAAGGGCUAGGGUUGCUUUCUCUGUUGGUUGAAUUCGCCACUAGGUGGAAUCAGACCUUCGGCUCUCGAUUGCUGCUUGAUUACCUAUGUCGCUUGCGUUAAGCUUUCUUUCUGCCGCUUUCAGUUCCGCACCAAAUCGUAGCAAAGCGCAGAUGCGGUAGCCAUUUUUGAAAGCUGCCCGUUAGCUUAGUAGCUGCGAGACCUGUCAAGUUCCGCUCUUCCCACUUCAUCCUGCAAGCCUAUACUUCUUGCUUUGAUGGCUGUCACUGCAAUCGUUGGAAUUGGUUGGUCGCUUGCUUGAUUGGAAGGACUGCCGCUUUUCUCUCUUCGCUUAGCUUGACUGAUCGUGUAGCAACGAGCUGCUUGAAUCUGAAACCUGGCGCAUUCAACCCUAACAAGCAUGAUCGGCCAUUUCCCGAUUGAACCAACACAGCUGUUCCGCUUCCCCCCCACCUACCUUCCCUGAACGAGCUCUUUCUAUCCGUUUCUUUCCCUUACUUCCCUAAAAGCUGGAUCUAUCUCUUCCUCCGAGUCGUGCCUCACCAAAACUCGUGAUUUUCUGACAGUCGUGACAUCGCUCCGCCAGACCCAGUGUGGACCAGGAGGGUAGUGACACUUGUCGUUCAAGAUAAAGGGGAACGAUCCGCUUUGCGAACCACCACCAGUGAAAUUAGUCGUCCCUUUCCAUCCUCCUAUUUGUAGCUCCACCUGGUAAACUGGAGCUUUUAUGGACAAGCUACUCUGGAGACUGGGCACUAACCCAGAGUGCCUGCUCAAGUAAUGAAAGACAAGUGCUUCCCACAGGAAUCACCGCUAGCGGCUACAGUUAAACCAUCUGCCUCCUUCGACUGGAGGUCAAUAGCGGCGGCCAAAUCGAUAGUCCUUGAGGGGAUCUCUUACUUCAUUGGAACGGGAACUGACACAAAACUAUGGAUAGAUCCCUGGUUGAACGGCUCACCGUUGAUCCACCAGCCAUCUAGGUCCCACCCGACCGCAGUGGAAAGGUUUCAGUCAGUUAGCUCAAUCAUAAAUAGAUAAACCGACGAGUGGGAUAGGAACCAGAUUCUCCACCGAUGGAAUGAGGACAUAGCAAAUCAGAUCCUAGCUAGAGAGCGGCCCCUUUCGAACCAGAGUGUCUUCACUGGGGGGAAUUGGCUUCUAUUCGGUAUUUGGUUAGUAACGCUUUGCUUACCUUGAAGAGCCCUUCAGUGAUCUUUCUUGGGAAAGGUUUCCGAUCCGCGAGCACCCUGCACACUGGAUCGUAGGCAGCAGUGGCCGACCAGUAGGUCUUUUGGGCAUUCGGAUUCGGAAGUUAGAGACUCAAGAGGUUGCUUGCCUGUGACUGGCUUAUUGCUCUUAUGGUAGGGCAGUAGCAAGAAGCCUCCAUAGGGGCUUUAAUGCGACUCCUAUGACUACUCAAUCGAUUAGCAUAAAAAAAGGGAAGAGGAUUUAUCCCGGUAACCUAGCUCGCUUCGCCGCAUUCGGAAGGAGAAAGGUUUGUUCUCUAAUGUGAUAUAUAAAAAAGUAAUUAAAGCUUGCUUGAAAACCUCGUUAUUACAGAGCGGUGGCUCUGGAACAUUUUACAGAGAUAAGAUAACUGUCUUAGUACUGCUUUAAGUGGCAGUAUCCUAUGCAACUCUCCCUAUGCUUAAUCUCUUCAAUAAUUGCAGACACCCUAUCUUUAGGUUUCAGUUUCAUUCACUCUUUUCCAUCUCGGCCUUUCCAUUUCCUCCCAUUUAUUUCAACUAUUUCUUUUGAUAAAAACGAGAAAAUAACUCCCACACGUCGAACAGGAAAACAUCUUCACUUAAAAUCGGGAGCCGGGAGGGCGGCGAAGCCAGUCUUGUGGAGCACCUUCCUUCAGUUAAGGUGUGAGCUAGGUAUGUGUCUGGCGCUGGAAAGCCUUAGAGAGCAGCUUUGUCUUAAGCAUAGAGCUGGGAAGGGCCAUCUUAGGAAGCGGAUCUCUUUGCUGAGGAAGGCCAUAUCCUAAGAAGCACUGAAUUAGACCCCUUGGGAAAGCCCUAAAGGCAGAAGGGGCCCUUGCUUCAAAAAAGAUCAUGUUGCACGCUUUGGAGCGAAGAAUUUUGUAGAUAACGAUCAUGCUCGUGCCGACCGCGCGUUAGGUGAAAAUGGACAUCACCGAAAGGAAAGACCACAAGACCGGGGCUGGCGCGAGGCAGGAAGCUACGAUGCCGCGUUACGAUCUGGUGCGACGAUUUCCGAUAACGCAUUCGAACGAUUGUCACUGAUUUGAUUGGACUUCGUAUCUAAGGCACUUGUUCCGCUCCAAAAACCGAUGCCUUACCACUUGGACUCCAUGCGCAGUCUGAGAUAUAAAACCACCUGACCUUUCUGAGUCGCUUACUUUAGCUUCCCCUCCCACCGUCCAUGGAAAAGAAUUCCUUUAUUCUUCAGCCUUAAAAGCUUGUUGUUAUUCCUUCCCCGAGCAAACCUUCUCUGAGCCAACAGCCCGAUCCAUCUUAGUUCGAUUAGGAAGUCCACGCACAACGAGAGCGAAGUCAUGCGAACUCAGAAGCAGCAGCAGCAUUUGUUCCGUUUCUGGCUGGCCUAUAUUGCUUUCUCAUCGCGGUAUACUUGAAAUCAAUCUUUGCCUAUCCGAUGGAAAGCGAAUCGAAGUUGCUUGCGCGCUUCUUUGCAGUGCUGUUCUCUACUGCAUCUUAUCUAGGACCCGAUGCUUCGUCUCUUGUUGCUGCUUCGGCGGAUGCACUUUGUCUAGGAACCCAUUUAUCUUAUUAAGUAUCAACCGAUGGAAGGGGGUCUCCCUGUGCUUCAGAUAGGGACAGAGCUCGAAACUCCCCAGCGAAUGAGGUAAAGACAGAAUGAACAGUUGGUCGGGCAAGGAUUCCGGUUGAAGCAGAUCCAUCCUAUGCCUCAUCAGUCUCUGGCGCGCGUUGAGCUUUUUUCUUCCUUUCCGUCUUUAAACCCACCUCCCUAUACUGCGAAAUGAGUUUCAUAAUCAGUUGCAAAAGAACUAGAAUGAACACCAUCUGGAGCUAUGUGAAGUCUCACUGGUUAACUUCCUGGUUUUCGAUAUGGGUAUAUAUAUAUAUAUAUAAAGGUAUCUCAAUUCACUUAUUGUUAAGCAUACCGGCGUCUGCACGGGAAUGGAAGGCUGCUGCUCUGUCUGCCAUCGAGUUAUCGGUUUCACAAUAGCAUUUCUCUUUUGCAGGUCAUUCAAUAUCUGGUUCGAAAGGACCAUGGAGGGCGAAUCGAGUCUCAAAUGGGCAUCUGAUACAUGGGGGGGUUCCACCACUCUUCCUUCUGGGUAACUGACAAAUGUUCCCUCAUUCGACUCACCAUCUCUUUCAUCUUUGGUCUUCGCUCAGGUAGGUCUUCCUUUUCCCAAGCACAGACUAAGAGCACAGCUUGGUCCCAACAAUCAAUCUUUAGGAAGAAAGCAUCGACAUUGCGUGGUGUAUGACGCUCGCCGAGCGGGAGAGAAAGUGAGAGAGAGUGCAUAGUGCGGAUAGCGAAUAAAAGGCCGUUGAGCGUGUUGGAUAUGGGUUAGGAAUUGCACCACUGCGUCCUUUUCCUUCUCCAGAGAAGGAGUCCUUUGGCUCAAAAGCAUCCUCACACGCUGUGUCAUCUGCUAAGGGAAGAGUGAGGCUAGAGUCAUAUAGUAAGAAAGAACACGCCUGCUUUUUGUUCGUAGGAUAACUCUUGCCUUGCCCCUUUGCGACGUGGAUGCGACGACUCUUUCCUUUGAAUGAAAGACUGGCGGGAUCGGCUUGGAUCAAAAGCCCUUCUAUUACACUCACUUUUUCUCUACUUAAUAGGUUGCUAAAAAGAUGGGGUGCAACUGGUCCCCGAGCAACAACCUAGUUGGGCUUUGGUUUCUUUAGGACUAGAAGCCCGUUAACCCCGAGAUUCAUAGCGCAGCCCCUACAUUUGCUAUUCUGAGUCUAUGCUCUGUCCCUAUCUGAAGCAGCAGACGUUAACAAGCGGACGUAAGAAAAUGUUACUGAAAGGAUAACGUCUGCACCGUCUUAUCUAUAGCCGCUCUUUCCUAUUGAGGUUCUUUGUAAGAGAGCCAUCUUAUGAGUGAGAGGCAUCAGACGCUAGCUCAGAUGAUAAGACGUAGCAGCUGUUAGCUUUUAGCUUCUUCAAUGUCUUCCCUCUCAUAGAUGAGGAGACGCGGACGUUAAGACAAGAGACUCUAGCUGCAGCAGCUUGCCCUUCCCUGGCUACUGGUCCCAAGGCAUCGCUCUUAGUAGGAGGACAUCUUAUUCAAGAACAAAUUGAGUAAUAGACUAGCGCCUCUAGUCUUAUUUCCCUCGGGGAGGGAGCCUUUAUCCGACCAAAAACAACCUAGUGUAUGGGCCAAAAAGAACUACUUCUAUUUAUUGCACGAAAUGUGCAGCUACUAGAGGGGCUGUCCUACAAAGGAAAUGCACCAAUGACUGCCUAUAGCAGAUAGUCAAAAGGAUGAACAACCUAUUUUGUUACACUCACUUUUCUCUACUUAAUAGGUUGCUAAAAAGAUAGGCGGAUACUAAGCAAGGAGCAACCCAUUAUAUAUAUUACCACCUAUUUUUGUACAAAAUCCGUUCUUGAAUAAGAGAGGUUCUUACUAUAAGAGAAUUCCUACCCUACCCGGGAGAUGACCCUUAUCCCACUAGCUCCAGAGGUUUGGAUUACUCAAUCACAUAUUGGACUAGGGAAGCCCCUCUUCUUCUAUUGCUUUGCUCGGGGGCUAGCAGCUCGUCCUCCAGACGCAGACGGGGCAGAGCUCCUACUAAUAGAUAGAAGGUAAGAACUGGGAUCCUGAUUUCACACUAUACGAAAGGCAAAGCGAAAGACCACUUAGUUAACCACCAGCCAAGCAAAGAGAAGAAGCUACUCACCGUUGAGGGCGAGGAGCUAUUCUUUUGUACAUAUACUCGAUCUGGAUCUACUAAAAGAGGAAUGACUGACUUCGGAGCUUACCAUACCAUUUUGCCAAAGGAAAGAGAGUAUGCAAGAUGGUAUGAGACUCUAUUAACAUACAGACCUUUUUCCAAAGAAAGAGAGUAUGCUAUAAUGGUCUGCAUCUGCUAACUAGCUACUAGAAAAGUAGGCCCUUAUCUCAUUCCUAACUUAGUCUUUCAUGUCGGGCCGGGGAAGAACCACUUUAUUUAGUUAGUUCACGAGUUAGCAAGAUCAAUAGGGAAAGAGCGGAUAAAAGAGCGGAGAUAUCGGUUGCGGUUGCCGCUGCAUAGCUUCCUGUCGGAGAGGAAUGCCAAAUACAAGCUACCUAGCUCAUAUGAGAAAGGGAGGACCUUAGCCCAAGCCUUUCCAAUGGAGCGAAGGGAGGCAAACUCCCGUAUCAAGCAAGAAGCACACUGAAGGCUCGAGAGAGAGACCUCUUGAUGCCUGGAAGAAAGUAGAUCCUUUGGGGGGAUCACAGACAGGAUAGGCGCCCUGCCUAUCCUGUCUUUCCUCUGGGGAAUGGAUUGAGUCUUCUGGGAACUAUUAGCCAAAGGUCUAGGUGUAGUUAUCAACUCUGCUACUGAACUAUCUGCUAGCAGCUUUGUUCCAAACCUUGAUGUCGAGUCAGUUCCUCCGUAAGCUACUGGUUCAGCUACAAAGCAAGACUCCUGAGAGCAUAUUUCACUCCUUUCCUAGGUUGCCACUCCUCUGCCGACUAUCUCUUUGUGGAAAGUGACAAUUCAAAUAACUAAGUAGUUUCCUGUGACUAGCGCUAUCAGUUCCAAACUUUCCUGCAUCUCUUUCAGUUGAGGUGGAAUCUAUAGAAUAAGACUUUCCCUUGGUUGGAACAAAACCGGAUAUCCUGAUCUUGGAUCCAGGUACUUUUUUUGAUUCUAAUACAGAUUCAGUUUGAAGAUCUUUAUUCGGUUGAGCUAGCUUCUUCGCUGGCAGGGCAGGACUAUUACUGUUGCCCCUAUCGGGCAGGUUUCAGGGGAGUACCCCCGAACCCCCUUAGUUACACUCCGGACUACCACUCUCCGAAACGGAAAGAGAAAUACAACUUAUUUCAUUAUUUAAAAUAGAGUCAACCCAUGCGCCUUUCGCGGGGUGAGCAAAAAGCCUUUCCCUGGAUCCUGGUAUGAACUCACAAAAAAGCAUUUACCCGUCGCCUGCUUCAUCUGCAGAGCUUCCUCUUGUUCACAGCAAAGAGAGCAGAUUCGUUCAAGCAAGCUAAUCACAUUCCCCUUUCUAGGGUAGGGGUAGGGUACUCUUUCAUUACUAUCUUUUGCCACUCCUACAGCUGAGUCAACUACCUGUCUUGGAGCGAGGGCUAGCCUUAUCUCCUGUGAUAUAAUAAUGAAUAACUACGUGAACGAUCGAUUUCUCAUCUAUAAGGAUGCCUUUAUAGACGUGAAGAUUGAGUAGUCACAGACCUCGUUGGAUACCGCGAAGAUUAAGUCUCUUUAGUGACAGGAAGAUCCUUGGAGCAUAGCCUAGCAAACUAUGCUUGAGAGACCCAAGCUUCUACUUCACUGCCCUUCUUUUCGAUAGAAUGACCAUGAUAGGGGGAUAAGGAAUGCCGGCCGGGGUGCCCGUCUUAAGCUUUAACCAAAACCUUACUGGAGACUUAUCUUUCUUUCCGUCCUUAACCGACUCCAAAGGAUACGGGAAAGCCUAGGAAUGGCUGAACUUAACCCAAUCUUCGCAAGAAGAGGCAAUGUCAAUUGUAUCUGUGCUCCAUUAGGCUGGAUUCGCUUGCCUUGCCUUACUAGCAAAUGUGUAGAUCUAGUAGGUACAUAAACAAAGAACGAAAGAAGGAAAGCACUUUUAGAUCGGUCGUGAACCAGAAAGAAUGAGCCGCUUCAAUACCAAAAGGAAGAAAGAAGCACUUGCUUCUUGAGCUGGUACAACAACUCCAGCAAAGCAAGAAGGAUUAGCCGAUUAGAAGGCAUGGCCAAGGGUACUAAAAGCAGAACCCCAGUCCCAAGCUAUAGGACGACAAAUGAAUUAGGCGCUGACUCCAAGACUGAUACGAUAGGCUUUGAGUCAUCAGUUUUAGCCCCUAGACGAGAGGGCUAUGGGUAUAGACCCGAAAGCACCUUCACUGGCCAUGGACUACUCAAUCAAUCGGACAACCCAGCCCUCGCUUCACCACUUCCAAGACUGAAAAUCCAAUGAUAGAAGAAUCAACUGCUGCUCCUGCGCUUACUCCAAUCAAAAGGAGUGAACAUGAACCUGACUUCGAAGACUCCCGGGCAGAGGCUAGCCUCACACACGAAUACAAAAAGACUGACAAAGCAGACAACUCAAGGGAAGAAGCUAGCACCGACUCUAAAGUUAGGACGGAAUGGAAUGCUUUCGGGGCUGCUUAACGAAUCCUUACCACAACCGGAAAACGAGUUACUCGCUCAGGAAAAUCAGCACUUAAGGCGGGAGAGGAAUGGAGUAACUCGACUGGUUGGAGAGGGGUGAAGCUUACAUACAGUACUAUUAUGAGUGCCCAGAGGGAAGUAUUCAUGAAGGAAGAGCCAAUCAUCAUAUCUUUGGGGUCUUCCCCCUUCAGUCUCUCAAGAAAUAGAACUUCCCUCUCUGGAUGGCGAUCUGUCGAUAUUUCUGAUAUAACCAUCGCAUCUUAGGGCUAGUUCAGUGUAGUAUAGUUCUAAAACAACUCGUCCUUGUCCAGUAACCAUUCUGAGUGUGUAUGAGACUAGGCGAAAGCCCCUUGAUCGGCCUCUCAACCGGAACUCCAAGCAGACCCCGACUAAGCAUGUGGCAAUCCAAUCUUUUGAUAACGGCUACCGAACAUAUUAAUCAAAGGCUCUGACAAGACCUAUAGUUGCUUGUGAGCUAUACUUCCCCGUCUUUGAUCGGCCAGCUGCAAUCCUUGACAAAAGAUCUCCCUUUGUUGCACCAGGAAUCCUCGGCUCUUAACGAAUAAUGAUGAUAGGCAGGAGCAAGGUUUUUCCUCACUGCUUGAAGCGCGUUGCGUUAAAUGUGCGUAUAUUGCUCUUUGCAGAGCAUUCUAGAGUUGAGCUGAGCUUGUCCCCGGAAAUAAGGGUUUCUAUGUUACUUCAUUCCCGGGAAAUGAAAUUGAAGCUUUGGGUCAUUAUUAAUAUACAUAUUUGUCGGAUGUCCAAUAUGGUCGAGAAAGACUCCGUACAAGCAGUAUGGGAAGAGAGUUCGAAGUAUGCAGCAAUCCGACCUAUAAAAAAAAAGGAGCUGUCUGUAGCGCUUCCGCCAUCCCCCAGAGUGACAAUUCAACAUUUUUGAUUUAGCCCUCCGAACUCAAAAAUGGCGAGCGAGCUGACGGAAGCGUGGUAACCCCGAGGGGGCUGUUUGCCAGUUUCUUUCGCACUUAGAUCUCCGCCCAUGCAAGAAAAAAAAGCAUUUGGACCGGCCCUAAGAAAAAGGGAAUCUGUGACUCUCCCCUGCUGCACCACUCCUCUUUGCUUUCUUGCUUCCUUAUUCCAGAUUCGCUAAACAGAAGAUCUAGAUUUCAAAGAAGGGAAGCUAGGAGGUGAGUAGCCAAGAUUCUUUUAUCACCCCAAGGAAGCUUUGAAGCUAUUCGUCUUUCCUUUCCUAAACAUAAGGAGAUUCAAAAAGGGUCUACUAAGAGGAGGCAACCCGCCUACAGAAUAAGUAAGCCCGACCGGCGAACUCUUCGUCUGUUUGACACCGAGGAUCCCCUUUUAUACCGUUAGAAUGAGUCAAGGAAAUCCUCUGUUAUCAAAUCUGCUCACGAAUCGGCUGUUUGAAAGAAUAAGCUGUUUUCGGAAUAACCGCUCUUAGUACGAAUCCCCUCUUUAGGAAAGGAAUGGCUAUAUGCUUAACACAGGGAAGUCGGACUGACGUACCUCGAAAUCCAUAGUCGAAGAAGUCGACAGGAAAGAGAGAAGUCGAAGUGGACAAAUCAAUCCGGGAGGAAUUUUUCAAGUAGAAGAAGGAUUACUGUAAGAUGGAAUGCUGUCAGGCAGAAAUGCGCAUAAGGAGCUCUUUGAAGGGGGCAAGGAAGUCAAAUUGUUGAUGCAGAGAGAAGGACAGGAAUCAAUAAAGGAAGAAAACACUCUUACUGCAAGAAUGCCUUGUCCGGUCUGUUUAUUAGUGAAAGCGCAAUCACAACUGUCUCACGAAAGAAGGGUCUCAAGUAGUGUGUUCAUGGUCACUCCAAAGAUAGGAUUUGCGACAUAUACUAUUGAAGUAUAGCUUUCCGUAGAUUCCCUUCUCUUCCUGGGGAAAUUGCCUAAUCUUAUAUAAUUAAAGGAAAAGGAAGCGUCUUUCUUGUUUUGAAUCACCAGUAGGAAGCUUAAGGAGUAGUAGUUGAUAGCCGGUGGUAGGGUAGAUAGCUAGCUUUGAUAAACGUUCUUCCCGAAAUAGAUGGUUGGGGUAGCAUUGGGAAUUGGUUAACCCGAAAGCCCUAAGAAAUGCAUGGGAAUGGAAAUCGGAAAGCUGACAAGGGAAUAGAAAGAAGUAUAUUUACACCGGGUAAGAUCCAAGCACCGGUUACAUUCAAAAUUUUGAUAUAGAUAUUGGAAGAGAGGAUAAUUACGAGAAUCUGUGUAUAGUGUCCGGAUACAAGCUUCAUUAUUGAAUCAGCAACUUUUGAAUCAAAGCGAUAGGCCCCUUAUUCAAAUCUAGACAUAGUGGGAAUACCCGGUUUAAAGAGAAGGAGGUUUGACAUUACAUUAGAAUCAGCUGCACAUUAAUCUUCCUCUAUUCUAUCAAUGAAAUUUCUUUUUUACGUCCACAUGUCUGCUUUCAAAAGUCAGGCAGGGAGCCAGAAUCGGUUUUGAAAGAAUGGCUUUUCUUCAAAUCAUCCGCUGCUAGUGCUUGAGAAUGAGUUGCCGCUUUGUUUGGUCUUGGAGGAAGAGAAGGGCUUCUGGAGCCUUUGGAGAGAGAAGAGGGGGAGGACAAGAUAAAGAUCGUUUUUGUAGCAUCCGAUUUGUAACUACUCGUAUCAGCUCAACCAGUAAUUAGUGCCUUUCGGAACUCUAUUACCUUCCCUUCUUCCUUGACUGUUGAUGCGACGGUAACUAGAUAUUUCUUUUGAAUUGACACAAUUUCAAUUUGAAAAGGAAGUCAGGUAAGGCACUAGUCUCCUUUUUGAGAAUAAACUGCUAUUGAAUCCACAGCUAGUCUUUCUCUUGUGAACGACUCCGCAGCAAGAAGAGUAAGCGCUCUUUUCAAUAUCCGGUGUGUUCGUAGGAGCUCUAAGCCUAUCCGCUGUUGAAUAACCGGUGUGCAGAUGAAUAACCGCCGGUGCACUAAUAGGAGUAGACAUUGGAAUAAGAGCUGUUGUCGGACGUUAAUCAGUAACCGGUGUGAUGUUAGCAAUUGAAUGCGUAUCGGCUGUGAUCCUUUCUGCUGUGAUUGAAUCAGUAAGCGCUGCAGAUCUGAUCGUAUAAAGAAUGACCCUCAUUCGAUCUCAGAUGGGAUGAAUACAAAGGAAGGCAGGGAGUAGCACUAGUAUGUAUCAGGGACAAAUGCCACAGAAGAAGGAGAAGUAGCUGCUCUCGAAUGCCCUCUUGCUGUUCUCGAAUAAGCUGUUUUCGACGCUAACUCGAAAUUUCAUAAGAUAAGAAAGAUGAAAUUUUUGAAAUAAGAUCGGACGAUUCUUUACCUUCAGCUUAGAUUCGCAUGAGGACGAUUUCCGCCUCUAGUAAGAAGGAGAUCGGACAUGAUCAAUAGUAGAUAGAAUAAGUAGACAGGAAAGAGGGAAGCGACGGAAGAGGGAAGGAAGUCAGUUGAAUUUGGUAAAUCGUAUAAUAAGAGAAAGGCUGCACAUAAAAAGAAAAGGGGAGUGAGUGGGCUACUGGCCCUAGCACACUUAGAUAAGGCACGGAACUAAUAGCAAUUGAAGAAGAAUCCGCAGUAGAAGAAGGUACAGCUAUUACAGACUCGGUUGUUAAAGAAUAAGCUGUUGGGGGAAUACCCGCAGUAAGGACACUAGUCUCGGGGGCAUGCCCAGAAUCGGAUUGAUGGCAGAGAAUGCGCAAAGUGACAAAUGUGAGAAUCAGCAGCAGGAGCAGUAGGAGGAAAGCGAAUAGUGCCUCACUUGCCUGAAAGCAGGAAGCAUCAUAUUUGAUUAUACGAAUACAAGCUGCUUGAGAAUCAGCUGUUGUCGCAAUUGAAUCAGAAGGAACUGCACAUUCACAAUGGCAAGAGCAAGACAUUUCGACGAAUGGGUUGUUCUCAGAGAUGCUACAUAAGCGCUGUUACGACUAAUCCGUAUAUAAGAAAGGAUGCUAGAGACUUCAGCUGCACAUGAAUCAGCAACUUUUGAAUCAAAGCGAUAGGCCCCUUUAAGAAUCCUUUCUAUAAGUGAUUCUUCGCUGUCUUGAUGGCUGCUAUCUUCCUAAAAAGGAGGGUAUAGAGACUUGACUGCCACCUUUUGUCACUUCACUACCUAAAGAGAUGGUAUCGGUAAAAGAGCAACUAAGGAAGAGCUAUAAGGGAGAGCCUCUUUGGUAGGCAUGGAACUCACUCGCUCUACUAGGCCCCCUAGGCUUUGAAGUUCAGAGUUCUUCCUUCAAGUUAUUCUAACAGUUGAAAGAAUGGCACAGUCUAAAAAAAGUGAUGUUAUACUAUGAAGGAAGAGUCGUAAGGUUUACGAAGUCCUUACCCCGACUUAUCCUAGUGCUACUCCUACAACAGCUAUCUACUAGCAAGACUACUGUAAGAAGGAAAGUAAUCCUAGCACUACUUAAAGUUAAGCAUGUCUAUCGGUCGAUUUCCCUCAUGCAGGAAAUCGAACGAGAUCUUCUUAUUCAUUCGUGGAACUCUUUUCGUUUAGGGCGAAUGCGGCCUACUUUAUAGGGCGAGAGCUAAAGCCCAUGCAGUCUGAAAUCUGUAUCCGAAGGGGACAGACUUGUCGGCAACCAACUUCACUCCAGUUGGUUCGGAUAGGCUGCGACCUCCAUCACUUUUUGAUACGUACAUGGAUUGAAUGGAUGCAUUUCCUGCCUAAGAUUGGUCCUUCUCAAGCACCCAACUCCUAAUAUCAAUAUCUCAGGGCUAGAGAUGCGAUACGGGGAAUGGAACCUCUUAGUACCGGGCAAGGGGCUAUUUCCAUUUCUUCACAUCCCACCCAACCCAGCUAUCUUGUCUCGUAGAUAGCAAGGUCAGUCGAUUCUUGCUCAUUACAAGGCAAGGAAAUUCCUCCUUCCUAAGGCAGUAGAUUCGGGAUCUAAAACAGAUUUUCUAUGCCACUAGAAAGCAUCUGGCUAGGAAUCCGUAGAGUUAGCUGCCAGUUCGAUCCCACAGCUUCAUGCCCUUCUUUAAAGGCAGAGUUUCAUUGAACAGCUGAUCUUGGACUUUCAAUCAUUGAGUUCAGAUUCAGUCAGCUUGGCUUUUUUCUUCAGAACCUUGUGACUUUUCAGCUACCCUUGCCUGAAAGCGGAAGAGGGGGGCUACUCCCCUGGAAUGGAUGAUUUCACUCAAUGGGCAAGGCAGGAGCGGUAUAAGAGAAAGACGUCAGUGCUGCUUUUGCUGUUACAGAAUCUGGUCUUAGCUUAGCUGCAAUCCUUCCCGCUGACGUUCGACUAGCUUUCCUUUCACGUGGUUCAGUCUUGGUGUGAACAAAAGGCGUAAGCGCAGUUCUCUCGUUCCGGCUUAGCCUACCAUGGGAAGGGACGAGCGGUGGCAGUAGGAAUGGAUUUGGUAAUUAUGUUAAGACAAGAGAGGAUCCGUUCGCAUACGAGUGAUAGCUGUCCCUUCUCCAUAGGAAUGUGAUCAUAGGAUGAUGGAUACUUUAGCUAUUCAUCUUCCCCGGCCGGGCUUCUCCAAGAGCCGAUUGGGGGCUUUAAAGGAUUUUCGCAAAGAGGCGAUUUGAUCACAGCUGAACCGGUCCACUAGAAUGGUUGGAGCAACAGGUCCUUGGUCUCUGUCUCAGCUAGCUGCAGUAAUAGGAACUCAAAGCCUCGUCAUCCGCGGAAAAGAAAACUCUUGCGUAGCCUUCAUACCCGGAUUUCCGGCACAACAAAAAGCAAAGGUUCCCAACCAAACUCUCUUCAAUAUAGCUAGGUCUGUCAGUUGAUGUUAUGUUACGCAGAGCCAGAAGGCAUGAAACAAGAAAGCUUAGCGGGAUAGCAGGAAAAGCAAGCCAAAAGGAACCUUAAUGACCAAUCACCACUAACGGACAGACCCGAAGCUUAUGAGAACGUAGUGACCCGGAAAGAUGAAUAGAACCGAACUAGCAACAAGAAUUGCCAAUGGGAGUUUUUGAAGAGAACCCAUGAUUCUGAAGAUGACAAAGAAAGCGUUGAUUUGGGAUCUUAUUUCAAUUGUAUCAGUAAUUACAUGCAAACGGUAUAUGUGACAUGAGAAAGUAUCCUCAAUCAAUCUAAUCUACGAGGUAAUGUGUUACGGUGUCACUACUUCUAGAAUCUAGAGGUAGGCAAGAUGGUACUGAGUAGAAAGAAACAACUUCAUGGUUCAUCAAAUAUGAUUCAUUUUUUGUAUUGGGCUUGGAGUAGCUCUGUCUAUGAAAACCAGUAUCUAGUGUGGCCGUUGGAGAUUUAGUAAGUCUUUCCUUUUAUCAAAUAGGGCUGACUCGCAGCAAGUGCAAUUGAUGGUUCUUAACCCAGCCCGACUGUGAAAAUGUUUAAAUCUAUCUCCUCCUCGCUAUGCUCGGCUCACUCAAUUCCUUACAGUCGACUAGCUGUGUGCUCUUCAAUCCAGCCAUUCCUGCCAUUGAAGAAGACUGAGACUUGAGGCAAAAAACCCCCGUUUAUGACCCGCUUUUGGAAGUAUAGCAAGUGUGCCGGAAGUGAGAAAGGCUGCUUGAUUGCAAGAAAGAAAGCUGCUAAAGCAGUAAGAUCUAUUGUAUAUGAUGUAAUGGAUGGUCGGGCUCAACAGCACCUCUUCACCCCUCUAGGUCGUGGCCGAAAGCUCAUACAGUCGAGUUACUUCGAAACCUCUCGUUGGCUGAAUGAAGCCCUUUUUACCAUGUUCAGCAGAGCAGAGUACCGUGGAGGGAUUAGCCGCAUUCCUCUUCAUCACGCUAACAGCCUAAACUCUUCCUACCUUUGAAUCAUUCCUAUGGUGUAGCUACCCCUCUUUGAUCCAAUCAAUAAUUCAAAAAAGAAGAGAGCCAAAGAACCUACUUCUCUUAACCAGAAAUGCGAUUGGGAAUGAGUUACUUCAGGUGCAGCCAAUCAAAGGAAGAAAGAGCAAUGUGGCAAAACAAGUAAUGCCAUCUAACUCGACUGUAUAGAAGAGCAACUGACAGCCUAGUUCUAUUUCUGAGAGAUAGCUGGUAUCGAAGGUCGACGUUUUUAGCAGCAAGAGAUUGGUGCUAGAGGAAGGGCCCUCCUCUUUUAAGGUUCCUUUAUAGAUCUGAGAGAGAGAGAAAAGAAUGGAAAAAAAGGGGCUCCAACGGGAGCAAAUCCUACAUGCCUUUUUAGAGCUUGGUCUCGGGCAUCUUCUCUCCAAAGCCCGCUCUCCUCUGGUUUCAAUCUCAUCAGGGCUUCCCUAGCCUGUUGAUAAUUUAGGUCCUGUAGAUACUCGUACAACAUCUCCUAUUCAUAGAUCUGCGCCUGCCUUUAUACAGUUAGAUACGAAAUUAUCAAUCUUUGAAACAGGGAUUAAAGUGGUGGAUCUUUUAGCUCCUUAUCGCCGUGGAGGAAAAAUCGGACUAUUUGGGGGAGCUGGAGUGGGUAAAACAGUACUCAUCAUGGAAUUGAUCAAUAACAUUGCCAAAGCUCAUGGAGGCGUAUCCGUAUUUGGCGGAGUAGGCGAACGUACUCGUGAAGGAAAUGAUCUUUACAUGGAAAUGAAAGAAUCCGGAGUGAUUAAUGAAAAAAAUAUUGCGGAAUCAAAAGUAGCUCUAGUCUAUGGUCAAAUGAAUGAACCGCCGGGAGCUCGUAUGAGAGUUGGUUUAACUGCCCUAACCAUGGCGGAAUAUUUCCGGGAUGUUAAUGAACAAGACGUGCUUCUAUUCAUCGACAAUAUUUUUCGUUUCGUCCAAGCAGGAUCAGAAGUAUCCGCCUUAUUAGGGAGAAUGCCUUCCGCAGUGGGUUAUCAACCUACCCUUAGUACAGAAAUGGGUUCUUUGCAAGAAAGAAUUACCUCUACCAAAGAGGGAUCUAUAACUUCGAUCCAAGCGGUUUAUGUACCUGCGGACGAUUUGACCGACCCUGCUCCUGCCACGACAUUUGCACAUUUAGAUGCUACUACCGUACUAUCAAGAGUAUUAGCUGCUAAAGGUAUUUAUCCAGCAGUGGAUCCGUUAGAUUCAACGUCAACUAUGUUACAACCUCGAAUCGUUGGUGAGGAACAUUAUGAAACUGCGCAAAGAGUUAAGCAAACUUCACAACGUUACAAAGAACUUCAGGACAUUAUAGCUAUCCUUGGGUUGGACGAAUUAUCCGAAGAAGAUCGUUUAACUGUAGCAAGAGCACGAAAAAUUGAGCGUUUCUUAUCACAACCCUUCUUCGUGGCAGGAUAAGCAGCGAGAGCAAUUGAGCCGUAAACAAAGACGGAUUUUCGUGACCAGAGACUCUUGUUUGAGAGUAGAGCUCAGGUCAUCAUAUCGAUCAGGCAGGGCGCAUUCUCAACUAGCUGAUUCCGUAGCUGCAAAGGAAACAGAUAGGCAGGAAGGGCUGAAGACAGAAGAGGAAAAGUUCUAGCGGGGAAGAGGGACUCCAUCGGGGACCGAAAAAGAGAUGAAGAAAGAGCCUACCUAAAAGAGGAAGAUGGAACCCUCCCGUCAGUCUCAGAGGCAGCAUCAUCUAAGGGGUAUAGAAGAGAUUCAGAAGCACUAUGCCCUGAAGCGAGAGGACCAGAUCUCCCUGAGACCGAUAAAGCUAGCGAUGUUCAGAAGACAAAGCAUGCUUAGAAAGCUAGAGCACAGUACGCCUAUAUAUAGGAUGCGCGAUCCAUGAGAGCCCAUUCAAUUGAGAGAAAGGGUCCCCUUUGGAUGAAAAAAUGUACUCCUAUGAUUCAAUUACCUUUGAUGAAAGACUAUCUUUUUUCUCUUUACCGACAAUAACCAUUGAGCUGUUCUAUCUCCUAUGAUGAAAGGUUUCCGCGGACUGGGGAAGAAGGACUCGUGGAAUCAUCAUUCAUUGGUUUCAGCAUGAGUCGCUUUCGCAGCCAUCCAUUCAAUCAGAAAAGAAAGAACCCGAGCCCGAGCAGUUGGCAGUGAUUUGAGAAGAAACUUUCAGACAACAGGGAGUAGGAAGCCAAGCAUGCAUGUGUCCCGGGUGGUUUUCUCCUUUAUUGAAGAGGGCUUCUCAGGUUCUUGGCUAGUGCUCUCGGGGAAGGGAAAGAGUGGUUCCAUGGAUCUUCGGCUACUCCGGGAAGCAAUAGAUAGCUGUGAAUGAUGGAUCAAUAGGGACCUUAUUACCCGUGGGCUUUUCCAUAAUAUGCUCUUCAUCUUUGCUUUCAGUUCAGGAUAGAGGUUAAGAAAGAGGUGAAUCAGCAUGUGAAAAGCAUCAAUGAAAUAUUUUGUGGACAAUGAAUGGAUAGCGCACGGUUCUUCAUAAGUCCGAUAGCACGAACGAUAGAUUGUACAUCUUCCUACCAGUGCUUGUUUAGUUGUCACAAUCUCUAUUCCGCAUCUUAGUCUUUUUUCAUGUUGUUGGAAUCUCGAAUCAUCCGUUGAUUAUACUUUCUAUAGGAGCUCCCCCUGCAAAAGAUUGGCUUUUCCUUUCGACGUGCUCUUUCUCCGGCACUAACUUCUUAGCCUUCGGAAAUAGAAGGAGAUUCUUUAACCAGAAAGAAUUCAGUUCAGAUGUAGGAUACCUAUCCAGAAGUUUUCGCAACUCAAUCAUGUAUGAUGGAAUCAUCAAAGAUUUGAUCUUUUCUAACUCUGUCUGUAACUCACUAGAGGCUCGGGAAACAAAGAGAAGAUGUAUACGAACGAGAUAUCCAGCAACAAGAAGAAGGAAAAGGAUUGAAUAGAGGAACUCCCGAGCAUUUGUUGAUCUCAGAUGUGUCCAUAUCAAUGGAACGGGUGACUCAUUAUUUCGAUGAAUCAUUUCUUCGGACAGAAGAAGAUUCUGUAAACACUUACUCGAAAUCUCACUUAUCAGAGUCCAUUGUGGAAGAAUCUUCUGAGGAAUUGGCCAUGAUAUAUCUGAUCCAUGCAUAAUAUCAUUUAAAAUGGAUACAAAUUUUUGACUGCUACUUAGUAUCGGCAAUGGGUCUGAAAAAGUAUCUAAAAGGGUCAAAUUUAGAUAUUUGCACCCUGUCGAAGUAAGGAACCAUGGCAUAUAUGUUUGGAACAGAUUCCAUUUUGAGAGAUUUGAAAAAGCACUAUCUCGUUGAAAGAUUCUAUACAUCUGCCCUUUCUCAACGCAUUUCUUUAGACAAAGACUCCGUUUUUUCCUCUUUCCGGAUGGUCAAUAUUUCUCAGAACAUGGAGUGUGAAUCAAACCCAUGUUUGAAUUGAAACUGAGAUACUGAUACAAGUUCUUCCCUUCUGAAUCAGAUAGAUUCAUAUCUGAAAGAGGCUGACAAUAAGUUCUUUCAAAAUUGACUAUUUGUUCCUCUGUUAGAGGUGUUGCAGAAAUGUCUGCGAUCGAGUAAAUAGCUCUACGAACGAAUGGAUCGGAUCGAAAAUGGAAAGAUUUGUACAAGUUAUACGUUUCGUCACCACUUUGUGGAAAAUAGUUAGGUAUUCAAAAAUUUUAUACCUUUAACUUGGGGCUCCAAAAAAACAUUUUUUUCUUUAUUAACCUCCUCCUUGAUCUGCAGGAGGUCAAAUUCAAGUUGCAAUUCCACUUUGUUUUGUUAAGUUUUUUUUUUUGAUUCGACAUAACAUAACAAGAACAGAAUCACGCUCUGUAGGAUUUGAACCUACGACAUCGGGUUUUGGAGACCCACGUUCUACCGAACUGAACUAAGAGCGCUUUCUUACGACAGGAGAAAAAGCUGUAAAGAAGAAAAGGAUGAUUUUUGUACCGCAUGCAUAUAGUCUAAUUAAACUCAAAAUUUUGUCCAAUUUUCAUCGAUCUCAAUUGAUCCCUCGUUACUGCCCAUAGGAUAAGUAAUGGGUAGGGAUGACAGGAUUUGAACCUUUGAAUAAUUUGGAACCCCAAUCAAACGCGCUACCAAGCUGCGCUACAUCCCUUUUCAAAAUUGUUGUACAGUGUCAUUGUCAAAAAUCCCUGUCUUGUUUUCCACAUCGUUAUUUUUUCCUCCAUCUAUAUACAAUAUCUUUCUCUUGCCAUUUGUUCUUUUUUUUGGUCUAAAUAUUCUUAUUCUUCUCAUUUUUUGAUUUUUUAUUAAAAAAAAAUCAUCAUCCCGAUCCCGCCGCUCCUACCAACGAACAUAGAAGUUUCGAGGGUUUCCCGAUAGAAAGAUUUGCAUGCGAGAGAGAUCCCAAUUCCGUGUAUCCGGUUAAGCAAGCCCUGCCGCCAGCUUCCACCCAUUCAAGAAGGUCCUGAUCCGAGUGUUUAAUAAUUACUGCAUGCGUUAUAUAUAAAGGGAGAGAGAGGAGUAAUCCGACCCAGAAACAGGACGGAAACAACUACAACCAAACAACUUACAAAAGCAACAUAUCUUCUGAAGAUCGGAACAUCUGGGGUGACUUAAGAAAUUUCACUCGAACUACAACUGAUCCUCCGUCAACUACCUUCCACUUACUUGUUAUUUCGUUCGUGACCCAUACCCAUGAGUCACUUCACUCUCUUUAGAGUACAAAAACAAAGAAAGAAGCGAAGAAAAAGAAGACGUAUGCGAACCCAUACACAUACACCGAACCGAGCCCAUACCCCAUACACAUACACCGAACCAGGACGGAACCACCAACACCCGAAAGGGAGUUACACCAGAAGUCGGAAGAGAAGAGGAUUCUUAAUCUGAGAUGAGAAGGUCUAUUGGUACAAUCAGAAAGCGUCCUCACGAAAAAAAUUUCUAUUCGUAGAUCUACGAUUGCCGGGUAUUCCCACAUUGAAUCGAACAAGAGUCUCUUUCCUGAAAGCAAGACGACGGAACUCGUAAGGUCUGUCAUCUCAAAAGUGUGAUUCAUCCUUUGCUAUCAAGAAUCAGGAAUAGCGGGACGGGAAGCUAUUAACAUCUUAUCUCACUGUACUGUGCAUACAAGAUCUACAAAGCUUCCACUAAAAGCACUUCUUACUCUAUAUUAUAUUCAGCUGUUAUCAUCUAUCUGCAUCUCUUAUCAAUGGAGAAUUUCCGUACAAUGAUGUUAGAAAUCGCUGAUGUACGAUCAGUCCUUAGUAGCUUAGCGGAUCGGAACCUUCUACAUACGCCUCUUCCUCCGUAUGGGUUGAGAUGCUCGCCAAUGCUCGAAAAUGAGAAGCGAAUAGCAGCUGGACCACCAGCCUUUGGUUCUCUGACGGCCAUGAUUAAAGAAGCGCUCGAUUACAGUACACAGGGGGUUCGUGUACUUUGCUUUGGGGUCACAACACGGAGAAAAGGAAGAGGUGGACUUGGACGUUCCGGGGUAUUACUCCCCCUAGCAGUCUAUCCAGCCCAGCCUUGUCCAGUAACCACUCUGAGGGGGCGUAAUCUGCUAUGCCGAAACGGAUUGAUCCUUAAUAUAAUAACAGAGCAAGCACAUCAGCACAAGACGGCGGACAUCGGCCCUGCAACUCUGGCUGGAAGCUUCGAAACUACAGGGCCGCCUGGUAACCUCCGGUGGUAGGUUACCCCCUCUAAGAAAGGGAAGUAGGCAUGCCAAGGAUGAACGACGGUGGCUCCAUACGGGGGAAGACGGUUCUUAGGGCAAAGACAGAAGGUGGCAUGGGACACUUUUUCAUCUUUUCCGCACUUGUCCGCUAUUUAGAGUUGAAAAGCACUUCCUCUUAUUAGCGACAACGGAAAAAGAAGAUAGAAGGCUUUCGGGCGUAGAAGGUUUUGUUUUUUUCACAGUUUUGACUGCGGGAUCGUUUCGCCAUUGUGGUUCAAUAGAGGGAUUCCCCUCUCCUUAGGGAAGCUUUCCCCCCUAUGAGCAACCCUGUGGCUGUGGUCGACCAGACCGGACAGGAAAGGUUUAUUAACCGACUUACUGGCUGGCCUACCAAGCAGCAAGACAAGAACCAAGCAUUACCCUCGCCCAACAAGUCUUCCCAUGCCAAUCCGAACUCAAAUCAACUAUUCCAUACUGGGGUUGAUUGGGUUCUCUUCUGUCCCCCUAAGAACCCCCCGGUGGUGGACCGGAGCAGAGUGUAUGAAUCUCUUAGACGGAACACCAGUUUCUUUCCCCGAUACACUGCUAACUCGUAAAGAGUAUGGUUCCUCAUAAGCGGUUUGAUGGAGUACUUGUCCCCAUGAGCAGCAUAAUAUUUCAUUAAUAGAAUACCAUCGAAUCGUGAGAAGUUAUGGAAGUCAACCGUUCGAAUGUCAGUUUCAACAGCAACCACUGCAGCUAAACGCUCUAGAAAGUCGAACAACAUUCGAUUACUCCUUUCUUCAAAUGAAGGUAUUACAAAUAUGUGAUCUUCACUGAAAUAUGUUUCAAUUUCAUAAUCAGGCUUGGAACCCACAUCUUCACCCGGCUUAACCACUAAGAAACCCGCAGCGUAAGGCACAUGGACAUCAUUUAUUAGAACAGUCUCCGUAUCGGCUACAAUGAAAGGCCGCCUUGCCUUACUCGUAGGUUUGAGUGCAGGUACAUGAUCGGGAUAACGACGCUUCCUACCCAUAGCUUUCACUUCUCGUGGUGAACCACCAACUAUGCAGGCGUUAAUUAAUUGCCAUAUUUUGCUAUAAAUUUCAUCGGAGCUAAGAGGUAACUCUUUUUCUAGGGAUUCCAGCCUACCUGAAAGAUACACUCGAAUGUAUACACCUGAUAGCAAAGCUUUAUCGUAAUCCUCAGCUUUUCAAAUUAUUAAUUUCCUAAUAAUAGCAUAUACAUCCAUGUUAGGCACUGCAUUCCCGCUAGAAUCAUUUAAAGAAAUAGCAUUACCUAUUGUAAAGGAAACAUCUCCUGUUGGUAUUUUCAUGACAUAACUAAUAGUAAACUUACCAUACUGAAACCCAGUAUUGUAAACGUACUUCAUUAACAGUCGCAUUACUGCCAAUGUUAUAACUUCAAUGUCUGCACAUUGCGGGUAAGGCUCUUUAAAUUUGACUUCAGCUAUUCUCAAUCCUAAAUAUGGAUCCUUGCAUUUUUCCCAAUCGAUUAACUGCUGUAAACGGUUCCAAUAACCAUUGAACAUAGAAUAAACACUAUUUAUAAAUGUAUGUUUCAUUGCUAUCAUAUUACUUUAGUAGUGCACGCUGUAGUUACACCCGAGAUUCCCCCAUCUCGAGAGAUCUGCCUUAAAUUCAUUCCACUUCUCAGCAUGACGUUUCCCACCAUCCGAUGGCAUCUUAAAAUGAGCUUCACCGCACACAGUAUUGCAAUAUUUCUCGUAACAACUCACUGUAGCAGAUAUAUUUCUAUCCCAUUUGAUUCUCUCUGUUUUACUCAAAUCCUUAGGCAUGAGAUAAUCCAAAAAAUAUCUAAUAUCCUCACCUGGAAUAGGAUCUUCCACCCAGUGAAAGACAUAAUUGCUUGGGUUCUUCGGCAACCGCUCUUCUAUUUUGCGUGCAGAAGCCUUUUCUUCAGGUGAGUCUGAUAAAUCCAUGUAAAACGGGAAGUCUGGCAAGAUCAGAUUCCUAUUAAUAAACUGAUUUAUGAAUCGAAGUGGAGCACCCAUAUUUACAAAUACACCUGUAUAGAUUUCGGGAACCAUUCUUGCGUAAAGAGCAGUGGUUAUGAAAUUAUCGUGUACCGUGUACACCGGCGCUCCUUGAAUCAAAAGAAGUUCCUCUACCACUUUCAUAGCUAUAUAGGCAUCUUUCUGAUGAAUAAAGUUGACGCAGGUAGCCACUUUAGUCUUGCGACUAUCCCUAUCCGGCGUAGGCACUCGGAGAGUAACCCGACGUCUCUUCUUGCUUACCCUAUCAUAAAGCCAUAUAUCCGUUGCUUUGCUACGCAUAUAGUCCUGCACAGUAGUGAUGUAAGGUAUACUAUAGAACACAGGUUUAUCCAAUUUUGAACAAAACCAACCGAUUAGGUUAAUCAAAUUGAGCAAAUUGACUAUGUCUGGAUAUUUCAAGCUCAAAAAUUCAUAGCAAAGUACAGCGAGGCCAUAGCUAUCCUUAUGACUUAGCAAUGAUCCAUAAUGAUCCAUUAUAUCCUUAGCCAUGCUCGAGACUGUCUUACCAUAUAUUAAUGGCAUAAACAAUCCUUUGACGAGCUUUCUCGUUAACAUAGAAAGUAUGACUGCAUACUUAUUAGCAUCCAAUCUUGUAACCAAGAACUUCUUAAGCUCUUCCUGCAAGCACAUGUACACAUCUUGGAUUUGACCGUCUGAUGAUGGAAGAAGAUUCGUUCGCCUACCCAUUUCUUGGUUAAGCAAGAGAUAACUCAUAAUUUGAUAAGCACUCGCAGAAGCAUCUUGUGUCACUGGAACCUUAUGAUAAUUACUAACUAUAUCCUUAGACAGGAUCUUGGCUAGGAACUGAAAUGGAUCACUAGCUUGCACUGCAAAUUUCAUUAAACUUUCGUCCGAAGCUAACAUUAGACUCUGGUGUUCGUUAUACCAUUUAAAUGCAUCAUCUAAGUUAAAGAACUUCUUAUACUUAAAGGCUGCUGCACAUGCUAAGUCUUGACUUAUAGUCUUAGCCAACUGGCUGUUUAGUGCUUUAGGUUGACCGGCAAACACUAUUAAACUUCGUGACAAAUCACGCUCAUGAAAAUGCAAUACACCUGAGCGGUAGAUUCGACCACGGAAGUCCAUGAAGGCAGGCAAAUCAAAUUGAUAACCAUCGUAUGCAGACGCAAGUCUUAUUACGAAUUCUUCAUACCUAGCACGCUGCACCCGCUUAACUAAUUCCUUUAUCAAAACGUGACAGCUACAAGCAUUCUGAACACCUUUGUCACUGAAGUAACUGAACCUCAAUAGGUCAGAGGCUUCUUUCAGAUUCACGUACGCUAGAUUUCUUGGCAUAAGAAGACCCAAUUCAACUAAGCGAUUACGAUUUUGAAGAAUGAACUCCAAUACCUUAUUGUUUAUCUCAAACACUUGAGACUGAAGACUAUUCAAUAUAGUGCACAUACGCUUGUACCCUGAAUAUUUCAAAGUGACAUAGAAAUGGCUCAAGUCACGAGAAGUUAAUAUACGAAACCUAUUAUAGAUGUCUAAGGUAGGUCCGCUUAAGUAACCCCCUGAAAGAUCCGUUAACAUUGUUGGUGACUCUUCAGUUGAAUUCCAAGGUAACGGAUUGCAAACCAUCGGAAGAUUGAGUUUUAUAGGAAGCAGACUGAAGUCAAAAUUACACAUCGCAUAACAAUUUAUUGGUAUAUAGCCCUUACCUUUCUUAUUAACCACCGGUACUUCUGUAAAGCUCACUUCACUUGACAAAUGUAUAAGACCUCUUUCCACCAAGAAAUUGACCAAGUGGACCCCGAUCGCAUAAUGAGUCCUAGUAACUUUGACUUUUCCCUUCUUGGUAGCUCCUUUGGAAUCGAACUUCACUGCAUCCUUAUCUGAUUCAGCCUUACUAGUGACGACUCCUUCCACCUUACCACUACCCGCUGCUUUUAUUAACAUAAAUCUUGCUUGAUCUCGUACAGCAGAAUCAAGCUGUUCCAACAAAGUAGAUACCCUAACUACAGAUAAAUCCCGAACACAGUUGAACACCAACCCUAGUACAUGAAUAAUGAUAGCCUCAAGCAUAUAGUGACCAAACUGAUUAAGCAUAGGUAAAUACUCCGUUGAUAGGUGAGUCUUUAGAUAUUCCUUUGCAGUAGGCAAAUCUUUACUAAUCAAUAGCUUGAUCAAGUUAGGACUUGAAUUAUAGAUACUUCGCUCAUCGAACUUCAUUGUCAAUUCUUCAAUAGUCAUCUGUAAAUCAAUCAACUCUGUCUCGGUAAACAAAAUUUCUCCUUUUUUAUUCUUCUUUGAAUUCAACAACUUGAUAACUUCAUCCUGAUACUGUAAAACAUUAGAACUCUUUGAUUUAGAAAUACCCGACAGCUUACUGUAGUAAUUAGUCCAGAACUCAUCAAUAAUACGGGACUUACUUAGUCUGACAUCAUUUGUGGACUGACUUCCAUCAUUUUAUUUUAUCCCAGAAGAAUAAUAUCUAUAAAUUAGACUGAAAAAAACUCGAAUUAUUAACUAUUAUUUUUAUAGUUCUUUGCUCACUAACAAUUCAAAUUCACUUCCAUCUGUGCUACUAUUACAAUAAAAUAAAUUAAAAUAUCGUAUAAUCGAAUUCUCCUGCACGUGUGAUAAACUUAUCUGGUAAGAAAAGCGCAUGUUUAAGGCCUUGCUGGGCCAGUGCAUGGUUUGUGCAAUCAUGUGUUAUGUGUUUUUUCCUGUUUAAUGAGCCGGGCCUACGUGUAGAGCAUUGGCUCCAGCGUCCAAUGGGUGCACCUGACUGUUGUUCUCCCAGUCCAGUUGGACUAGAAGUCACAAAAAUUCAUUGGUGGGGAGCGUCGACUGAGGUCUCCCUAGUGACGGCAUGUGCCACAUAAUAGCUUUUUAGUGAAAAUCGAAUUUUCUUCUUCUAUUUUAUUUCUUAUCCCUAAAGAGGGGUUUUGGGAUAUUUAUUCUACAGUAUCCUCCCGUUGCCUUACCCUGGAUAAAAAAUAUCCCUCUCUCUAACGGAUGAGAUAGGAAACACUCAACUAUACUCAUUGUAGAGAGAGACCGGCUAUUGGGAUUUCCGGGGAGGAGUACUGUUGAUUUUGAUCCCUCAAAAGAGAUAAGUAUACUUUUUUUCCCAUAAGAGGUAUAAAUUAUAUAGAAAGUACUCUAAAUAAGAUAUUUAUUAUUCCUAAAGAGGGAUCCAAUAGUAGUGGUACUUUAUCGAGGCUACUGCACUACCUUCGGCUUCAUCAGUCUUCUUUGCCUGCUCUAAUCCCUUACCCGUGGGCAUCCAUUUGACUGUAGAUCUUGUUUCUUGAGGCUUCUCCGGUCCCUUUUUUGCCGUGCCGCGAGUGCACGAAGGGCGGGAGAGGGGAAGAGCGGAUCUCCCGAGACAGGCUGCUUUCUAAAUUGAGUUGUAUCGUGGAAAAUGCUGUGAUUCUCAAUUUAGUUAAAUCAUUCUUGUCUAUUAAGAUUGUGUCUUAUAAUGGUGAUGAUUGCUCGUUGCCUACCGGAAUCCCGCAAGCAAACCUCAUUACAUCAGUGCUUUUGUUUUUUGUAUUGGAUGAUUUUGAUCGAUGGUUUGUUUCUUCUUAUCCCUAUCGUUAUGCUCGCUUUUACGAACAAGGUGUCAUAGCACUGCCUCGCCCGGAGGAUUCCAAUGUGCUUUCGCUGAAAAAAAUCGAGUCAAUCCUUCGUGAACUCCAUUUUGCUGCAAAAGUCACAGUGGUGGUCCGAGGUGGGUUGCCUAUCCCUUGUCGUGGAGGACGAUUGUUUGUGGAUGAAGGUGGACAAAUCUAUUUCAUUGAUCAAUGAUUGAUUGAGUGGUCAGAGAGAAGGAUUCCGUGUAGGCUCUUUCUGUAUUGUCGUACGUAAUUGUGGGUUCCAUAUUAUUGUUUUUAGUUAGUUAGGAAGGAGCCUUUCGUUGUGAGAGCGCUGGCUCUUGUCAUGGUGAGUUACUUACUUCCAUGAUAAGGGAAGGGACUCUGGAUCCUAACCACCUUUCUUUUCUUUUUCUUUUCUAAGUGCCGUGGGUCAGUCAUCCAUUCGUACGAUAUUAGUUAUGGAAGGAAAGAGGGGAGUUGGCUGAUAAAGAUGGACAGUAACGAUUGCGUAAUAUCAAUUUUUCGGCCUCGUCAUCGAAAGCGGCUUCCAAUUGCUCGGAAAUUCUCAGCUAUAUGGGGGACUUGGAUGGUGAGCAAAAACAAUUGAUCAAGAAGUUGGUAAACUUUCGCAUGAUCGAUGGUAAAAGAACGAGAGUUCGUGCUAUUGUUUAUAAAACUUUUCAUCGCCCAGCUCGAACUGAACGCGAUGUAAUCAAACUUAUGGUUGACGCCGUAGAAAAUAUAAAGCCCAUAUGCGAAGUGGUAAAAGUAGGAGUCGCAGGUACUAUUUAUGAUGUCCCUGGGAUUGUUGCCAGGGAUCGUCAACAAACCUUAGCUAUUCGUUGGAUCCUUGGAGCAGCUUUCAAACGACGUAUAAGCUACAGGAUAAGCUUAGAGAAAUGUUCAUUUGCUGAGAUACUGGAUGCUUACCGAAAGAGGGGAAUUGCACGUAAGAGAAGGGAGAAUCUUCAUGGACUGGCUUCCACCAAUCGAAGUUUCGCGCAUUUCAGAUGGUGGUAAAGUGAUACCACAUAAGGAGCUCUUCCUCAUUCAGUCAUAUUCUUAAGUAAGAAAUGUUUGACCCUUUUCCUUUUUUCAUCUUCAUAUAGAAAGAAAGUCGGCCUUCCUCAUACUCCCCCCUUCAUUCAUUGAGUUGGAGGAAUCCACAGGAGGCCCGCCCGUUAUGCAUUGCAUAAAAGAACCUUUCUUUUUAUGAAGACUCUUUUUUCAGCCUCAGGUCGAAUGAAUACGAAAGGGAGAUCAAUCAAAUAAAUAGGCCAUGAAUGAAGAAGUGGAAGUGGUGGGCCUUUCACCUUCUUUCUAGUGACUCGUGGAGCUGAUAAAUCUACUUCAAAGGGAGGGAAGCUAGGAGUGCUAGUCCGAAAGGGGGGUGUUCUCCUUUUUUUUCAUUCAAUCAUUUCUGCUUGACUUUAGCCUUACUUAUAAGAAAAGAAGCAAGGAAUGAUGCUAGUCUGAAGGCUAACAGCUAAAUAUAGAGCUUGAUGUUAUAUCUGACAUAGUUGGUCAAAAGUCCAUUUUGAUUUAUAUAUGAUCGAACUUCCGCGAGUUCGUUUUCGGUCAUCCUGCAUUUCUUUACUUCACCGACCUUCGCAGAUUAGGCUAAUCGUAUUAUUAAAGGAAGGAAAAAUGGAUACGCGGUAUUCUAUAAUGAACAUUGUAACGUUAGAGUUUCUUUAGUAGGCCACAGCAGAUCGAAAAGUGGCUAAUUUAGCUCAGUCGACGUUCUCGUAUGGGUAGCCCCCAGUUGUUAUCAUCGCGUAAGGGGUCGUGGAAGGAAGAGUUGGGUUCGAAUCCCCCACCUUUUUUUUUUCAGCCCCUAACAGGGCCCCCCUCUGAUAAGGAAGGAAAGUUCAUUCACACUUUAAUGACAAAUCCGGUCCGAUGGCUGUUCUCCACUAACCACAAGGAUAUCGGUACUCUAUAUUUCAUCUUCAGUGCCAUUGCUGGAGUGAUGGGCACAUGCUUCUCAGUACUGAUUCGUAUUGAAUUAGCCCGACCCGGCGAUCAAAUUCUUGGUGGGAAUCAUCAACUUUAUAAUGUUUUAAUAACGGCUCACGCUUCUUUAAUGAUAUUUUUUAUGGUUAUGCCGGCGAUGAUAGGUGGAUCUGGUAAUUGGUCUGUUCCGAUUCUGAUAGGUGCACCUGACAUGGCAUUUCCACGAUCAAAUAAUAUAUCAUUCUGGUUGUUGCCACCAAGUCUCUUGCUCCUAUUAAGCCCAGCCUUAGUAGAAGUGGGUACCGGCACUGGGUGGACGGUCUAUCCGCCCUUAAGUGGUAUUACCAGCCAUUCUGGAGGAGCAGUUGAUUCAGCAAUUUCUAGUCCUCAUCUAUCAGGUGUUUCAUCCAUUUUAGGUUCCAUCAAUUUUAUAACAACUAUCUCCAACAUGCGUGGACCUGGAAUGACUAUGCAUAGAUCACCCCUUUUUGUGUGGUCCGUUCUAGUGACAGCAUUCCUACUUUUAUUAUCACUUCCGGUACUGGCAGGGGCAAUUACUAUGUUAUUAACCGAUCGAAACUUUAAUACAACCUUUUCUGAUCCUGCUGGAGGGGGAGACCCCAUAUUAUACCAGCAUCUCUUUCGGUUCUUCGGUCAUCCAGAGGUGUAUAUUCCCAUUCUGCCUGGAUCCGGUAUUAUUAGUCAUAUCGUAUCGACCUUUUCGGGAAAACCGGUCUUCGGGUAUUUAGGCAUGGUUUAUGCCAUGAUCAGUAUAGGUGUUCCUGGAUCUCUUGUUCGGGCUCAUCAUAUGUUUACUGUGGGCUUAGACGUUGAUACGCGUGCCUACUUCACCGCAGCUACCAUGAUCAUAGCUGUCCCCACUGGAAUCAAAAUCUUUAGUUGGAUCGCUACCAUGUGGGGAGGUUCGAUACAAUACAAAACACCCAUGUUAUUUGCUGUAGGGUCCAUCUUUUUGUUCACCAUAGGAGGGCUCACUGGAAUAGUUCUAGCAAAUUCUGGGCUAGACAUUGCUCUACAUGAUACUUAUUAUGUGGUUGCACAUUUCCAUUAUGUACUUUCUAUGGGAGCCGUUUUUGCUUUAUUUGCAGGAUUUUACUAUUGGGUGGGUAAAAUCUUUGGUCGGACAUACCCUGAAACUUUAGGCCAAAUCCAUUUUUGGAUCACUUCUUUCGGGGUUAAUCCGACCCUCUUUCCCAUGCAUUUCUUAGGGCUUUCGGGUAUGCCACGUCGCAUUCCAGAUUAUCCAGAUGCUUACGCCGGAUGGAAUGCUCUGAGCAGUUUCGGCUCUUAUAUAUCCGUAGUUGGGAUUCGUCGUUUCUUCGUGGUCGUAACAAUCACUUCAAGCAGUGGAAAGAACAAAAGAUGUGCUCCAAGUCCUUGGGCUGUUGAACAGAAUCCAACCACACCGGAAUGGAUGGUACAAAGUCCUCCAGCCUUUCAUACUUUUGGAGAACUUCCUGCUAUCAAGGAGACGAAAAGCUAUGUGAAGUAAAAGAAGAAAAGGUCGCCGACUGCUACUAAGAUAAGAACCUAACAGAACUUUUCAAAAUGUGGGUUCUAAAACCACUUGUGUAGGUCGGGGUUGAGAAUUGGAGGGCCGACGAGGCUAGGGCCCUAUUUUCCAUUUUUUUUUCCGGUAUGCGUUCGCGCUCGCAAACAUCGCGAACAUAAACACUAAACAUCAGUAUCAUGGAUAGCACCUCACUUGAUCUUACUCUUUACACGAUGACUGCCCUUUUGGGUUUUUUGACCUUAUUAUCUAUUUGCCGAAGAGGUUCAUUCUCCUCACUCAGGAAACGAGAAAGGGAGGAGGGCCCUUCAUUCGAGCCCGAUUCUCUUUUAAGACCAGAUCCCCUUGUUGCACAUGUCUGAUCUUUACCUUCUUAUGGAAAGCUUUGGCAAUCCUCCUUUGAUAACCCUGGGUAUGGUGGAGUGCCUUCAUCCUCUGUUCUGCUAUCAGAUUUAGUUGCUCAAACCUGCCCCUUGCUUUUCCAUUCUGCUUCCGGUAUUUCGGAUUCCAGGGCGACCCUAAGGGAUGGAACUUCCAAUUCAACAGGUAGCACUGCUUCCAUCCCAUAAAUCAGGGAGUAUGGAGUAGCGCCGGUGGAAGUCCGAAUGGAGGUCCGAUACCCCCACAGGGCCAGUGGCAACUUUUCGGGCCAAUCUCGAUAUGUGUCUGUCAUCUUCCGCAGGAUCUUACCUAUUUUUUGAUUUGCUGCCUCCACUGCUCCAUUGGUCUGAGGCCUGUACGGCGAGGAUUUGUGCUGUUGUAUCUGAUACCGAAUGCACAGCUGCUCAACUUCUUUUUUUGAAGUGAGAUCCCAGAUCUGAAAUUAGCUCGUGCGGUACUCCAUAUCUGCAGAUUUUUUGUCUUUAAUGAACUUGGCCACUUUUGCCGAUGUCAGUGUUCGAUAAGAUGCCGCUUCCACCCAUUUGGUAAAGAAAGAAAUUGCCACUAAGAUGUAUUCGUGUCCAUUUGAUGCUUUGGGUGUCACCUUUCCGAUGAUGUCAAUUCCCCAUGUGCAAAAUGGCCAUGGAGAGGUAAGAUUGUGAAGUAAGGCCGGAGGCACAUGAAUCGACGUUUGCAUGAAUCUGACACUUGUGGCACUUUUCACGUACUGAUGGCAAUCGUUCUCCAUUGUUAUCCAGUAAAAGCCUAGCCUCCAGAUCUUUUGGCCAACAUUAUCCCAUUCAUGUGGGGACCACAGACCCCAUUGUUGACAUCUUCCAGAAUCUUUUCUGCUUUUUCCUCUUUCAAACAUAAAAGUGGAAUCCCAUCGUAGGAGCGUUUAUAGAGACCGCCCCCGCACACAACGAAUUGCAUUGCCAACCUUCUGAUUGUCUUCUUAUCAUUUUCCGUUGCAUGUUUGGGAUACGUUUGGUGUUCAAUAUAUUACCUGAUGUCAGUAAACCAUGGUUUACCUUCGGGUGCCCUUUCAAUGGCCCAAAUAUCACUAUUGAACAUGCCGGGAGUAAACUCAACUAUUUCUAUUAGGUUGCAAUACACCGGGCUGCUUCUUUGUUCUAUGGUGAUUGGGCGGACUUUCACUCCCUCCGGAAUGUUUAUCAUGGAGGCCAGUGUUGCCAAUGCAUCUGCGAACUUCUUUUUUUUUUUUUAUCUGGGUAGUGGAGUGAAACUUAUUUUCUUGAAUUGCUGAGUGAGCUUUUCAAGAUAAGCAUGGUAUGGCAAAAGUUUUUUCUUGGUUUUCCACUUCCCUUGAGUUUGGCAGAUGAUAAGCGCCGAAUCCCCAAAUACUUCGAUUUCUUCUAUUCCCAGGGUCAAGGCAGCCUCUAGUCCAUGGAUACAUGCUUAAUAUUCUGUGGUAUUGUUAGUUCCUUAAAAGUGUAGCUUAAUGGCAAUGGGGGUGUGCGAUUCAUCAGGUGCAAUCAGCAAUGCCCCUACUCCGUACCCAUUUUGAUUAGCCGCGCCAUCAAAGUCAAAUUUCCAUGCCCUGCCCUCCUCUUCUGUGACAGCUAUUUCCUCGUCUGGGAAGCAAUCCUUAAACUAAUGUUCCUCCUUGAGAGGGUGUUCAGCAAGGUGUUCUGCUAUUGCCCUUCCCUUAAUGAAAUUUUUGGGUUACAUACGUGAUGUCGAAUUCAGACAGAAGCAGUAACCAUCUUGCGGUCCUUCCCGUUAAGGCGGGUUUCUCGAACAAAUACUUUUUUUGGGGGUCCAUGCGAGCUAUUAAAUGUACCGGGUAAGAAAGCAUGUAAUGCCUCAAUUUCCGCGUUGCCCAAACCAAAGCCAAGCAGGUUUUCUCCAAAUUGGUAUACGGUAUACCUGGUCUCGUAGUCAGUCAUUUUCUUACUAAGGUAGUAUAUGGCCCUUUCCUUCCGUCUGUCUUUGUCGUAUUGAGCACCCCAUAGUGGUUUCAGUGACUGAUAGGUAUAGUAAUAAUUCCUGGCGUUGGAGGCACUAGAAUUGGUGGACUCUGGAGGUAUUCCUUUAUUUUGUCAAAAGCUUUCUGGCGGGCUUCAUCCCAUUUUCCUGCGUCAUUUUUCUUUAGAAGCUUGUGUAUAGGCUCGCAAGUGGAGGUUAAUUGAGAUAUGAAGCGGCUAAUGUAUUGCACGCGACCGAGAAACCCCCGAAUUUCUUUCUCGGUUCGUGGAGGUGGCAUUUCUUGGGUGGCCUUGACUUUUGCAGGGUCGACCUCUUUACCUCUUUGACUGACGAAAAACCCUUAAAGUUUUCCUGAUGUGACACCAAAGGCGCAUUUUUGGGGAUUAAGCCUCAACUGGUACUGACGUAUUCGGUCAAAGAAUCUCCUUAAUGCCGCACAGUGUUCAUCUCUGCCCCUAGACUUCACUAUCAUGUCAUCAACAUAUACUUCUACUUUAUUUUUCAUCAUGUCAUGCAACAAGGUUGUAGCUGCCCUUUGAUAUGUUACCCCGGCUUUUUUAAGGCCGAAAGGCAUGACACGGUAGCAAAAUCUUCCCCACUGGGGAAUAUAUAGGUUUUCUGCAUAUCUUCUGGCGCCAUCUUUAUUUGAUUGUACCCUGAUAAGCCAUCCAUGAAGGAUAAUAAUUCAUGCCCCGCUUUAUUGUCAACCAAGAUGUCAAUGUGUGGCAAAGGGAAAUCAUCCUUGGGACCGGCUUUGUUGAGGUCGCGAAAGUCAACGCACAUGCGGACUCUGCCGUCCUUUUUCGGGACAGGAACUAUGUUGGCUAACCAUUCGGGGUAUUCCGUCACUACAAGAAAUCCUGCCUUUAGCUGCUUCUCUACUUCCUCUUUGAUUUUCAACGUCCAUUCGGGCCUCAUUCUCCUCAGUUUCUGCUUGACUGGCUUGGCAUCAGGAUACAAAGGGAUUUUAUGCUGAACUAUGUCUGUGCUGAGUCCAGGCAUAUCAUCGUAGGACCAUGCAAAGACAUCCUUGUAUUCUUUCAAAAGGUCAAUCAGGCUUGUUCGUUCUUCGAGAGUCAAAGUGGUUCCUACCCUAACCUCUUGGGGUUCGUCUGCGGUCCCUAAAUGAAUGGGUUGGGUUUCUUCCAUGACGGGUUGAGCCUUCCUUUCCUCUGAUCUCUCCACCAUUUCCAAGAGUUCAGGAGGAGUUUCACAAUAGGUUUAUUCCUCAUCUACCUGCAUGAGGCAGUGAUCAUUGGAAGGGGAGCUAAGGUCUGCUAUUUGUUUUCCUUUUUUUUUCAAGAUUUUAAGCAUCUCAUCAUCAUCAUCAACAAACUCCGACACGUAAGCAAACCUAGAUUGAAUUUCAUUGCAAACCACAAGUUCCUUGAUUACAGACUCUCUGGCCUCCAGGGCCGACUCGACUUCAGAAAUGAUAACAGACACUGACGGGACAUACACAUCAUUAUUUUGGACAGACUUCAUACCAUCCUCCGAAGAGGUUACAUUAAACAGGGACUCAACAGACUUGACUAAGACUGGUUCAGAUAGAACACUGACAGACUUCAGCUGAGGAAGAGAAGACCAAUUGCGUGGUGCUCCAUCGGCUGGGAUGAUGAGAGUGGAUGGGGAAUCUAACCCAAAACGGCUGGCUAGCUCGUGCAAUCAACUAUAACUAUUUUGAAAAUCAAAAUAGUCAAAUAGUUAUCUCCGACACUUCUCCGAUCAAGGAGAGAAAGAUUUAAUUAGAGAUAUCCCAAUACCCAUAAUAUAAUAAUAGUUAGAACUCUCUUCAACCGGCUCUUUUUAAGCUAGAUAAACAGGCUGAACUUAAUUGUUACAUUGAGUUGGGGAAGCCUCCUGUUCUUCCUACCCUGUUGAAAAAGAGACAACUCCCUGCUCCUCUUCUUCGUAUGAAAUAGUAGUGCCUACCUUUCAUUUCGUCGAAUUGGUUCUAUCUCUUGACUACUUCUCCUCUUUAGAUUCAGCUGCUUAUGCUGCCUCUUCCGAUGGGGACGCUGAUAAUGACCUAUCUUCCUUACCAGGUGGAUUUGACAAAUCAUUCCUUUCAAAACCGGUUUGGGGCACUGAAGACGAACAGAAAGUGAAAAAGACUCCCCUUUUUCACUCAGUUAUUCCAUUUUUUGCACGACAAGCAGUCGAGAAACAAAUGAUCGAUGCCUUCAAUCGGCGGGGCCUCGCUACAUUAAAAACCUAGAUAACCCACUAGUUUAGCCUUUGGAUACAGAGUACUCUGGGAAAGGAAUACAAGGACUCUCUCAAACCAGAAAGAAAUGUCACGUACGGCACUUCCUAGCCAGCUCCUGACAGAGUCGGAUAGCUCCCUCCAGCCGUCAAUUACAGGCUUCGGUACUAAGCUCACUGCUCCGGGUAAAGAAAGGAAAGCCGUCCCUCUUCCAUUCGGAGCAAGCAUCGUAAUCGUACCGCUAUAAAACUUUCCAUAGGAGGAAAGGUCUCCUCUACUGCCCAUUCGCCGUCCUUGGUGAGUCCGGUUUUCUGUGCUACGUUAUUCUUAGAUCCAGCGAAAUCAUUGGUUUCAGAGUCCACUGUCUUUGUUGUCUCAAUGAACACAAACCCGAUUGUAAACUUUAAUGUUUACACAAUAAUCUCAAAUCAAAGCCUCUUUUGUCAAUCCGGGGCAAUACGAGUGGCAUAAGCUAUUUCUUAGAAACGGGCUUUCGAUAAGCAAUUGGAGGACUACCGAUUGACUGAUUGACCCCGGGAGUCAAGAAUCUAGGUUCGACGAGCUCUUAUUCGCCCCUGGCGGACCUGUAUACUCUUGUCCUGUUGGGUAGAAAGGACACGGGGAGCCGCCGCUCCGUUGGGUGGUAUUCCGAGGCAAGCUAGAGGUAGGUCUAAAAGACUAUUCCGUCAGGCUUGCCUCAGUCAAUCAGAAAGGCAAAUGAGAUUAUAUCUCGGGGAAGGCAGCAUCUUUUGCCAGCGCUUUGGCAUCAUCCUUUCCUUCAAUAACUUAAAAUAGCCGACGGUCAGUGGGGUAGGUAAAGUAGUAACCGUGGAAAGGGCACAGACAGAAAACCACUCCACUGGGUAGUGUUCCGAGGAGAUCGGUCUUAAAGAUUCGAUUGCUUCAUAAGGUCCAGGAAGGGGAACUAUUCCUGUUUCAGUCAAAAAGACAAAGUAAGGGGUUGUCUCAGGGCAGGGAGCACACACGGUAUCCUUUCCGGCGCUUUCCAUCAAAAAAGGGCACACAGGGAACUGCUAUAUGAUGUUCCGAAAAGGUUGGUCUCACUCACUCUACUUCGGUUCCUUCAUCAAGGAAAGGAGUAAAGUGCGCCCUAGAAAGGCGCGAAAGUGGGCGGCUUGCCCCUAGACCAUAGAAUAGAGCCAACGGUGCUGCUUCGGACUAGGUAAGGUGUCGAACCUCAUGUUUUCGAUCUCAGUAGCUUCAUCUUCUGGAUUUGGUAAAAAAGAAACUCAAUCCUCUGCCCUAGAUUCAGCUAAAAAGCUAGCUCUCGCUUCAUCUGAUGCUUCAUAAGUUUUAGAUUUGAAAAAGCCCUCCUUCCUAAACAAGUCAAAAGACUCAGAAUCGGGAUCACGGUUGUUGGAACUCUUCCCCUCUUCAGCGUCUGGUUCGGCUUUAGCUUUUUCUGAUACGGAUGCUUCUGUUUCUGCUUAAGCUUCUGCUUCUUUUGAUGCUGAUGCUUUAGUGGCAGCUGCGUCUGUUUCGGCGGAUGAUUCGGAUUCUGCGGAUGCGGAUGCUUCUGUUCGCGCUUAGCUUCUUUGUCUUGUUUGUGUUGUAAAGUGCGCGCUAAAGCUACAGCUAUGUGUUUGCUUUGGAAUCGAAUAAGGCUUACUCACUUGUUCCUGAUGGAUCAGCACCAGUCACCUUCCCUCCUUUCAUGGAAAUAGGCUUAUUCUUCAUGACAAGCCUUUUCGUUAGCAAUCAAUGAACUUCCCCCUCCACCGCGAUAAGCUGACAGCUCACCGGGCAAUGCACUAAGCCCGAGAGCAGCCUAUCCGGUUUUGUCUACUUUCUGAUCUCAUUUUUGUAAAAAACGAGUCAAAUAAGGCAUUUCCCUUCGGAAAAGCCAAUCAAAAAAUGAUUCACAAAUACACAAAACGAAGAUGAGUUGAUCUUAAGCGCGAUAAGCUCCGAGCUCACCAGGCAAUGCCCUACGCACGGAUAGCUGCAUAAUGGAAUACUUUGCUUUGUGAUCCAUUAUUUCACAAAGAGAAGCCUUCCACCCUUUUUCCUUUCGUAGAGCAGAGUCAGAAAAAGAAGCGUUUUCGUAAAAAGCGCGAUAAGCUUUAAGCGAACUAGCCCUCUUCGUGCACACAGAUGCCCUAGCACCCUCCACCCGAAACGCCUUAAGCGCGAAAAGCUGCGGAAGCAGCGAAAGAAUACAAGAAAGAAACCAUAUCACCAGAUAAAUACGUUGAUCAAAGAACAGACCCCUAAGAACGAAGGGAGUGGUUCGAUUCCCUUUAGCGGGGCUUCAAAGCGUUACGCUCGUGCUUCUUUCGAGGAAGCUAGCUAGCGGACUCAUUCAAUACCCCUAUCUAUUGAGCUACCUUUUGUUCAAUUGGAUACUCCUACUCUGUUGAAGCCUGCCAUGGAAGGGAAAAAGCUCCCGCGGAGUCCAAAUAUUGGAAAGCUUUUUAGAAUUUAGAGCAUAAAGGCAGUGAUGACGAAUGGAAGCACUUGUGCCACAAGCAAUUGAAGAGAAGUCCACCUUCAGGUGCAGAGGGACCUGGAUAAACGUUAACUGGGGAGGCCUCUUCCUUACACUCCGAAUCAGCUGGUCCAACGCUUAGAUCUUGUAAAGUUAUUUCAUGCAGUUCCUUCUUUGCCCCUCGGUUCACCUUUGUUGCUAGAGAUAGCCGGUUGGCAAAGCCAACAGGGAUAGGAUGCCGCGACAAAAAAUCCAGUUGGAGUCUAUCGGAGAGCAACUACAAAGCAAAUGGGGCUGAUUAGAGAAGGCACUUUUUAUCCUUCACCACUGGUACACUUCUUUUUUCUUGGUUAGCGCUCAUGUUUUCCUUGCGCGCUCCUGUGUUCAGUGCCCCCCUUCUUCUCGCAGAAAUUGGAUAUCAGAGUCAUGCAGUCCCAUUUUCAGUCCCAUUUUCUGGCUGCAAGGCCCGGCCCGAGUAGUCAAUGGUUGCUACCGCUCACUGCGCUUCUCUGUACCAUUUAUAGUCAAAAUAGAUGCUGGGCAUAUCUACUGACCCGACGAAGCUGACGUAAUUCUAUCCAUCCAUAGCUGUCUGUACCACUACCUCUAUCCAGCAGAUCCAGCGCCAACCGAUCUAUAUCUAGCUUUGGCCGGCCGGGCCAACCCACCUAUACAGAGCUGACGCCAUGCCCACCUAACCACGAAAGCAUCCAAUAUUUCAAGAGCUGUAUGCCAGGCCGCAGAUCCAACACUCCGCCUGGAGGGCAACCACCAAAGCACCUUCCUACAGUACACCUUCAUCUGGGACACGCACCUGCAUUCAGCCCUUCCAUCGAUGUGAGCGCGUCACCAGAUAGUCGAGUUGAACCGCUUACAGCGCCUUCAUCCCCUUCGGUCGAUCAACCCUAUAAGACGAAAGCAGCUAAGAGGUAUAAUCCCCUCACCUGCUGAUGCGGAUUAUGAUUCCGAUUUCAAUAUUGAUUCAAGCCCAACUCCGCUACCUCGGAUUCAGAGAUUUUUGAAGGGACAUUCCAGCUGGAAAUCUAGCCAGAUAUUCAGUUCUUGUACGAAACCCAAGAAAAGAACUAACUAAAUUUUUUCAUUCCUUCCCUCAUAUAAGAACUAUUAGCGAGCAUGCAACUCAAAGGAGAAUCUGGUGGGUCACCCGGUGAAUUGAUUACAGUAUCUGCUAUGUCUAUAGAUAAUCAAUGAAUUUCUUUCCCUGAUAGUUCUAUUCCAGUUCCCAGCCAGCUUUUUGGAGUGUUAAGGGUUGCAGCCAUAAUUUCCCCUUCCGCCAGCAAGCAAGUUAGGGAUAAUAGCUGGUUAUAGGUCAAAAGCUCCUUCUAUUCUAAUUCUAAUUCUAGGUCCAGGGAAAAUGGAAUCCAUCCAGUUCUUUUCAAGCCUGCAGAAUCAAGGGGCAUUGGCAAUAUCCCACAAGCCAAGCGGGAAGCAUAACUGUUUGAAAUAUACUUUCAAGCCUUAUCUGAGUUUCUUAACUUAAUAAGCUAGCGUCCUGUAAGGCUUUCCUUUCCAUCCAAUUCUUCUGCCUUUGAGCCAAUCCAAUACCAGUCCAGUAGUGCCAUUCCAAAAAGGAGAAGUCUCUGUCCUUACCUUCGACGGUAACCCCGCCGUCUCUUUUCCGGCAGUCCCUUUUUCAAGCGAGCAGAAAAUGGAGGCAUUCAACUUCUCUCAAGCCGGGAAAAAGGCAAAAGCUCUACUAGCUUCCUUCUUAUACAGUCAUAUGUUAGUAGGCCUAGAUUAGCCAGUGAGAAAGCAAGUGAAAUCAAGUUCUUUUCUUUUAUCCGUGCAUAUUACCUAUUAUUCUUAUCUGGAUGACUAAUAUUUUCUUUCGUAUUUUCCUAUAUAAUAGACUUUCUUUCCUCUCUUCCCUUAUAGAAUAGAAAAUAGAAUACGCUUUUUUUUACUCAAUGAAUUAGAAUCUAUUUUCUCUUCCUCUAUGGCUAAAUUCGAAUAUGGAUUCGAAAGGCUUUUUUAUCCUAGGAUAGGGCUGUUUGUUCUUCACUCCUCUGUCCUGCUCAUGAUUUCGGGUAUGGUUACCAAGUCAAAAGUCAAAAUGUUCGAGUUCUUUCACCCCUUAGUCUGUUACGGCGAGUGAGGAAGCCUUUCAAGCAGGCCUUUCCUUUAUUCAAGUAAGUUGUCAAGCAGACCACUUCUGGAUGCUCCCUCUUUUUCUUUUUAGGGUCCCUAGAGCCCCUCGCAGGUACUAAAAGUUGGAAUCGCUUUUCUUUUCCCCUCAAAAUAGUAUCAAGCCAAAGUUUCUUUUCCAGGUGGAAGGGCUCACUCUUUUCCUCUAGAGAAUUCUUUCCCAACUAGUUCAUGAGUUGCCUUCUUUCGAUUUUGAGUUCGGAAAGAUCUCGUUUCAGUCCAUUCUGAAUCUCUAGCUUUUGAGACAGUUCUAAAAUCGGAGUUAGGGGUCCAGUUGAAGUUGGAGUGGAUGGAGAUUGAGUUGGAGUUUCAUUCUAGCCAAUUACAGUGGUUUGAUAAGUGGCAAUUGCCUACGCCGUUAGUCUUUACUAAUAUGAAGGUUAUUAUUCACUUGGAGUAUUAUAAGAAUGUUCUUUUUAAAUAAAAUAUUGAUUGUAAGUAUUUUAUACUUUUAUACAAAAAUUACUAGUACAUACAUAAUAUAUAAAAACAAACUAGUCUAAUAGGAAAAGAAUCAGUAGAACACUCUUUAUAAGCAGUAGUUGCCCAUCCAAUUGUAGUACUUCUCGCUGGGGGUAUCUUACAUCCAGUCCAGUCAUUGGUAGUUUCCCUCUAGGCGGUUUGACAGUUGGCUUCAAUACAGUCUUUUCUUUUGCCCUUCCAUUAACAGAGUGUGAGAUUGCCAUCUUACCCAUUGAAAAUGACUCCCUUCUUGCCAGUGCUUUGCCAGACAUUUCCAAUCACCUUGGGGGGACGAACAAGUGAUAGAGCUUUUUGGGGAUAGCCUGCUAGUAGGCCAGUUCAAGUGCUCAUCUAAUCUCUUAAUUGAGUGCCCCAGCUAAGGCAUUUAAGGAAAGUCAGUCUCCACUUAGCCCCUGGUAAGUAAAUAAGUCAACCUUUCUUUUAUUUUAUCCAAUAGAAAGAGGUCAUGUCAUCUAGAUCUCCCCGAUCUGAUCGAUCCAAACGAGCAAAGAGUUUGAGAGCACUCUCUUUUCUAGUCCCUUACUAGCAUGUCCGAUUUCAAGUGAGGAUAUUCCUAGCUGAUUUAUGAUAUUCAUCUUAGUCUCCCUAGCGCCUUCAGUCUGUAAGCCUAUGGCAGUUCUAGUUCUUUUGCAAUCCAUCCAGUUCUUAAGGCAAGCCCUGCCAGUCCUAAUAGAAUCCCCUCUCCCUGCUAGUUCAGUGAGAUAGCUAAAAGAUAACUGGACUAGGUUGGAGUUUUCUUGCCUUGCCAUUCAUUCAGUACUAAGUGCUUCCAUUGCGAAGCCCCUUCGAUUUUUAAUCCUUUGCACUCCAAUAGGAGUGCUUCUUAUAUCCAGUUUCAGUCUCCUUCUUUCUGCUUGCCAUCUAGCACCUUUGCCUUGCGAUCCCGUGGGAGUACCUCUCCUAAUAAGCCCUAUUUGUUAAGCUUUUUUUAAGUAAUACCUUGCAGCCAUUGUUCAUUUCUUGCCAUCUCGAAAAGUCCUUCUGAUUCCUGCUAUUCCUACGCUCUCAAGUCUGGAAAGCACUACUCGAAAGCCGGGAAAGACAAGCCAACAGUGGAUAUAGCAACUUUUUUAGAAGCAGGGUAAAGGGCCUAAUUUUUAGCCAGUUCCGUUGCAUCAAGUUCCAUCCCAGCGAUUGGGAGUUUCCUUCCUGCCAGACCUAAAAUCAUCUAAUCUAAUGACUUCUCCUGGCGAGCGAGAACAAGUCCUAAGGUAAGCUCAUGUCGAUUCAGCCAAGUCAGUUUAGUAAGUUCCAGUUUCGUUGCAUGGCGAUCCUUCGAUAGCAGGCUAGUUCAAUUCUGUUGGAGUUGCAGUCAUUAGGCGAAAAAUGAAAUAAGCCAGUAAGCUCUUUUCGGGUAAGGAAGUUAUCAAACCAGUUCAAGUGUGAGUUGCCAGUCAUCCAAUUUCGUUCUCUCUGCCAUUCCAUAUGCUCUAACGCUCUCCCCAGAGCUAUUCUUAUUAGUGCUUCCAUUUUCAAGUGAAUAUGUAGCAUAUCCUCAGCCAUCUAGGUGAAAGGCUAGGGGCUAGGGUAAAAAGGUUAGAUCAAGGUUAAGGUAAAGGGGGGGCUCGGUAAAGAGCUAGAGCUAAGGAUGACUCUCCUUGGUUGGAAGAAUUUAUUUCAUUUGUAUUUGAAUAUGCGCUUUCUCUCCGCAGUAAAGAGUGUGGUACGCCUAAGCACUGGAAUUGGUUCAUCUCUUGCAACAGAGCCAGUUGGAGAAAAAAAAGUCAGCCCUUGUGCCUUAAAGUAAGAAAAAAAGCGACGGGAUAGGGAUCUUUGGGAAGACAGUAUAAUACCUUUUUCUAGUCUAGUUUCAUUCGUAACUCUCUUACUUUACUUAGAGAAGUAGGUAUUUUAUAUAAAAAGGUAAGAACGCAUUUUUUUUAUGUUCCCUCUUUUUUUCAGUCGAGGUCUUUCAUACCUUGGAUUCUUUCCCUAGACUUAGGACAGGACAUGGUUCCGUUCCCUCGAGGUGCAUAAGCCGUUGGGAGUGUCUUUGGAUUGGAUGUGGGUCACAACGAAACGAGCUAAAUGGGCUAAACGAACGUAAGGAGCGAAAGGGGUCGGCUACAAGCCAACGAGCGAAUGAGCUAACGAUCUGACAGAGCUAAAAACCUAGCAAGACUACCAAUAAUAGAAUAGUGCUAAGGCGGAUACUUUGGAUAGCAGUUAUAGCAGAGAGUUUUCAAAGUUCCAGUCCUACUUAAAGUGAGUGAGUUUUUUUUUUAUGAGAUGAGUAUGACUUAAGGAAGUAGUGGGCUUUUUCGGAGCUUCUCUUUCCCGUGUAAUAUGUAUGUAUAAGAUCUCGAUUGUAGAGAAAAAAAGGCUGAUAGGCUUGUUUAUAGCCUGUAUAGUUGAACAAAUUUGAACUUGUGUUUCCGAUGCCUGCUGCACUGUCAAGUGCCUUUAGAGGUAGAACCUUGCGCCUAUCCUUUGCCUUUUUUAAUCCCUUCGUCGUAAUGCGAGCCAAUUUCUUUCCUUUUCGCUGAAGGUUAAAAAAACAAAAAAGUAGGAAAAAUAGGUAGAAAAGAUGUAAUAGAGUGUAGGCAAGUUUUCAAGCGAAAGAGGGAGUCUUUUUUGCAAGCUAGGAAGUUUUCAAUCCUUUACAUUAGUCUUAGGCAAGUUAGCCUGUUUUUGGAAAGCCAGUUUGAAAUUAGGUAUUCAAAAUUCCUUUUCGAAGGGGCAAUGAAGUAAGUAAGCGCAAGUGAGUUUGAAAGCACACUUUUCUAGCCAGCGGGUAAGAUAGCAAACCAGACUGGAAAGAGCGCUAACGGUAUAACGGAUAAGAGUACCAGUAGUUCUGAGUCUCAUUCCCCAGAGUAAAAGGAAGAGAUAGGGAAUCUAUUCUAUCCUUAGGCUAAUGGUUUGCAGGCCAUUUCUCUUCGAUGUAGUUUGAGUUCACUUAUAUGCGGUUUUCUGGGUUCUACCUUCCGGUACGUUUUUCAAAAGGAAAGUGGAUUCGUCGAUCCAGCCAAGCUAACUGGGAGUUCUAUGAGGAGUUGCUAGUGUCAUUCUAUUUACAUUAGGUUCUUUCUCUAGUAGCAUUUCAGGUAAAACUUCCAUUGCUAGGAGGCUAGCAAAAAUAGCCAGUUGCUAUUUUUCAUAAGCAGAAACAAGGGGUACUAUCCAAUUGCAAGGUAAUGAUUUGUUGAAGCUAGUACUCAUUCCUUCUGUCUUUACCAAAGCAAGUCGCCACUUUAGAUAGUAGCUGGCCCACCGAAUGGAAAGAUUUUCUUCAUGAUCUGAUCCCCUAGGGAAAGGAACUGCUCACCCGAACUACUUUGCUUACUGAACUGCUCACCGGAACUACUUUACCUUUAUGAACAAAGCAGGAGUUUCAAAAAACGUUCAAAGGUUGGAUUGCCUUCUCCUGGGUACUCUCUCUUGAAUAAGGAGAGAUCUUCCAACUCGGCAAUUCAAAGAGAGAGAUUGAUUGAAUUGAUGCCAACGAACGAGCCGAGAAAGGAGAGGAAAAGAAUGAUUUUCCAUGGGCCUUACCUUUUGGGCUAAACUAAAGGUGGGGUAGGAAGAAAAGAGACUAAAGAGCUGUGCGGCGAGGGUUUCGCUCGCUGAAAGAAAGGCUUCUUUAUUGAGUUGAGCAUAGAAUCACGCCGCUGGAUUGUCUCAAUCACUACCUUUCCCUGAGAUGGAAAGAAUUCCCUUUUUGGAAAGUGCUAAUUGAGCCGUAGAUUGUGAGUGAGCUUACUGAUUGAUUCAAAGCUCUCAUGAGAUCUUGUUGGCAUGCCUACCAAAUGGUGAGAAAGUAACAGGAAACCCUUCCUCUAACUCCCCGACUGGAAAGACUUGGUUUGCGUGCCUGAUCUUCUUCUGCCCUAUAUCUUCUAUCUUAAUAAAAAGCCUUACUAAACGAGGUUUACUGGUCCUCCGAAAGCGUGGAUUUCUUUUUUCCUAAAUGAAAGGAAGAGUCAAUUCCUUUGUCGAAGCAUCAGUCUCAGCCGAACCAACAACUCCAGUUUUUCCCAAGUCUUCAGAUAGAGAUGAAUGCUCCGCCUCAGAUGAGCGGAUGAGAUAAUUUGUCUGCUUUCGGGGUAUGUGUCUUUUCCCUUUCCCAGAGAUGUUUGUGAUCAAAUUUGGGCGGAAGAAGAUAUUACACCGGAGUAAGGUAUGGUAGCAUCGGUAGAAGUACAGCUCGUCCUGACCCGUUCACGGGUGACGACAUAAGGUUUGACGAGCAUGAUUGUGAUAAAUGGAUUCGAUUCGCCUUAUAGCGAGGAGCUCGGCGAGCGGAGGAAUGGCUCGACUACUCUCUUCUGGUCCGAGCACCGUUGGCCUUAUCUUCCUCUUUUCUCCUGAAGCGGGAAAAGUUCGUCCCGGGUUCACCCGUAAAGUGAGUGAGAAGAUCCUCCCCCCAAAAAAAGGAUAUUCCCGAUCCUAGCCUCCAAUCAAUAGAGAAAAGGAUCUUCCUGAUCCUAGGGUUCUUGGUUAAAAGGUAAAAGAGCAUACCCCAGAAUAUCACCUAGUAGAGUGGCUACCCUUGCUCUUUCAACCAUGGUAUACCCCAAUGAUCCUUUCGCUUCGGUUGAUGUAGUAGUAGUGUCACACCCGUCUCCUAUAAGACUCUCAAGGAGUCUAUUUUCGACUAACCCUGUAUUAGUUAUUUCAAUGCUUUGGAGCCGGGGCGAGCAGAGUAUGCUCAGCUUACUAGCCCUAAUACACUAGGGUAGAAGACAGCACGUACAGGCCCGACAUGAACGAAGCAGAUGGAUAGCCCAGGAAUAGCUCCCCUUCCUUGUUUAGGCAGGCCUACUUCCCUUCCGCUUCCCUUUCCCCACCCACCGCCCUCGGUUCCCGGGAUCACUAAUCACUAACAGAAUUGGAAGCUUUAUCGGAACCAAAAUCAACUUCGGCUAUAGGAUGGGAAUUGUACCUGAUGUCAAGUUCAGCUCAAGACGGUCGCUCAAUUGCACCUUCGCGCACCAUUCUUCUGAGCUGCUUAGCGAGCGUAGCCUCUCUUCGUCAUUGAGAAUUUCUUCUGUUCUCGACCGACCCAUUGGCCUUUGCUAUCGCAUUUUCUCUCUUUCGCGCUGCCUGCAGAACGUAGUGUAGUUCCUUUGUUCUUUUCCACUCACUACUUGAUGAAUCGCGUUAAAGCACAUAUCAGCCCCUCUCGAGCAUCUUUGAGUUGAGCUUGCUUAGCAGGGUGUGUUUUGAUAUCGCCGGAAAGCCUUUCUUCUCCUUUCUCUCCUGGAAAGGAUUUAUCACAGUACUAUAAAAAGAAAGCUAAUGUCUGGGGAAGAGUCGUCAUCACAGGAAUGUCCCUUUUGUUUUGCAUUUGAUGAAUCCUGGCUAUUUGAGCCCACAUCAAAUUCGUGAGAAAGGACUGGAGCUGCUGGUUAAGAAAAGAAGAGAAAUGCAUUUUUUGAUGAAAUUAAGAGAUUGCCGGGACCUUCGCUCUACUGCUAGCUGGCUCUAAACCUACCUUUUCCUUCCCCACCUCUUCUGAACCUUACCCGUAUCAAUGGAAUGAACCUCAGAGCGUAUCAAGGUUUUAAGCAAUAAAACCAUAUCGAGCGAAGAACAAUACCGGGGAGCUGUAUUGAAUCAUACCGAACCAGUCCUUACAUUUAUUUGUGGCCAUAGAGGAGCCGUAUGAAGCUGAAGUUUCAUGUACGUUGUAAUAGCGAUGGGAACAGUGAUGUUAUUAUCGACUAUGAUUAUCUAAUAGUUCAAGUACAGUUGAUAUAGUUGAAGCACAGUCAAAAUAUGGUUUUUGGGGGUGGAAUCUGUGGCGUCAACCUAUAGGGUUUAUUGUUUUUCUAAUUUCUUCUCUAGCCGAAUGUGAGAGAUUGCCAUUUGAUUUACCGGAAGCAGAGGAGGAAUUAGUAGCAGGUUAUCAAACCGAAUAUUCAGGUAUCAAAUUUGGUUUAUUUUAUAUUGCUUCUUACCUAAAUCUAUUACUUUCUUCAUUAUUUGUAACAGUUCUUUACUUGGGUGGGUGGAAUUUUUCUAUUCCGUACAUAUCUAUUCCUGAACUUUUCGGAAUAAAUAAAAUGGCCGGAGUUUUUGGAAUGACAAUUGGUAUCUUUAUUACAUUAGCUAAAGCUUAUUUGUUUCUGUUUAUUCCUAUCACAACAAGAUGGACUUUGCCUAGGAUAAGAAUGGACCAACUAUUAAAUCUUGGAUGGAAAUUUCUUUUACCUAUUUCUUUAGGUAAUCUAUUAUUGACAACUUCUUCCCAACUUGUUUCACUAUAAAUAAGAAAAUACGAUAACGAUAUUCCAGAUUCAUAACCUCUUUCAAACAAGAGAAAGAAACAUAAAUUUAUUCCUGGAUAUUUACAAUAUGUUCUCUAUGGUGACCGGGUUCAUGAAUUAUAGUCAACAAACAAUACGAGCUGCAAGGUAUAUUGGUCAAAGUUUCGUAAUUACCUUAUCCCACACAAAUCGUUUACCUAUAACUAUUCAAUAUCCUUAUGAAAAAUCGAUCACAUCAGAACGUUUCCGUGGUCGAAUCCACUUUGAAUUUGAUAAAUGUAUUGCUUGUGAAGUAUGUGUUCGUGUAUGCCCGAUAGAUCUACCCGUUGUUGAUUGGAGAUUUGAAAGAGAUAUUAAAAAAAAACAAUUGCUUAAUUAUAGUAUUGAUUUUGGGGUCUGUAUAUUUUGUGGUAAUUGUGUCGAGUAUUGUCCAACAAACUGUUUAUCAAUGACUGAAGAAUAUGAACUUUCUACUUCUGAUCGUCACGAAUUGAAUUAUAAUCAAAUCGCUUUGGGUCGGUUACCAAUGUCAAUAAUUGGAGAUUACACAAUUCAAACAGUUAUGAAUUCGACUCAAAUCAAAAUAGACAAAGAUAAACCCUUUGAUUCAAGAACGAUUACCAAUUACUAAGAUUUUGUUUUGAUAUAAAAGACCCAAGCUCUUUUUAUUUUGUUUGGUCAGUAACUACAAAUAAUAACUAAUAAUUAUUGAUUGUUGAGAAUUAUUCUUUGAUUUAAACUGAGAAUAUAUUUUUCGUGAUGAUUUCGAAAUAUACAAUCCCCAUUACUCUUUUCUCGAUAAUUUUAUCUAUAUCUACAUUAAUCCAUAUAAAAAAAAAGUUUGAAUUCAAUUAGGAAUGUAUCAUAUACAAGAAAAAAAAGGGGUAACCCCUUUUCCUUUCCUGGACCAUUCAGUAAGGUCAUGAAAUAUUUCGACUUAUUUAUUAAUUUCUCAUUUUCAUAAUGGAUUUACCUGGACCAAUACAUGAUAUUCUUGUAGUAUUUUUUGGAUCAGUUCUUGUAUUAGGAGGUCUGGGAGUAGUAUUACUUACCAAUCCCAUUUUUUCUGUGUGUGUCAGUUGGCUAGCGAAGUAGGGACAGAGAAAGCUUUUUCAUUCAUUCAAUCUCGGCUAUUUGCUACGGUUCUUUGAAUCCUCCUUUUAUAGUUCUCUGUCUUUAUCCCAGGUGCUCAAGCCAUUUUCUUCAAUCUGCACUGAGCGAGUCAAGAUAAGCGUCAUGAUCUGCAAGAGCUGAGGUGUUCCGAAGUUUGCUUAGUGCCGAUAAGGAACGAACGAAGCCACUUCGCAAGCAGCAAAAAGCUCUCAUUUAAGAAAUUGGAAGCAGGAAUGAAGAAGGGGGCACAGUCAGACUUUCGUCUCAGACUGCCUUAGACAAUGAAACUGUUCAGAUAUCCUCGCAUAUUCAGAAUCUUGCCCCUCAGCUCGCUACUAAAAGGGGGCAUCAUCUCCAAAGGAUCUCGCUUUUCCAAAGCAGCUCGCAAUACUCACCGAUAGCGCCUCUAUUAACCAUUAACCGUUACCACUCGCAAAGUCGGGAGGAAGGCCCGCCCCUCAAAGUCGCUUCAAGCCGUACUGAAUCUAUAGUUGAUAAUCAGUCUGUCUUGUUCAAGAAAGAGUUUCGAGGCCUACGAUACACUGAAUCUAGUUCCGUUCCUUAUAGUCGAGUGGCUUCCAUCUCCUCUCCUUAUAGUCGAGUGGCUUCCAUCUCCUCUCCUUUUAGUCGAGAUCUUUUAGAACCUUCACCUUUGAGUCGAGUUGCUUCCUUCGCUCAUUCACCUUACUGGGUGGGGUCUCUUUCACAUCCUUUGUUUAGUUAUCUACUUCACUUUCGAUAACCUCGGCAAAAAAGCUUAAUUCUCUCUUCAUUCAGAUAGAUCCUCUGCUUGCGUAGUCUUCUCUAUCCUUAUUCCCUGUGACGGUUGACCGACCCGCGUAAGGUGCCGGUCCCUGCCUUAAGCUUUUCAGCCUAAAUCUCUUUCUUAUUGAAUGUAUAUCUAUCUCCCUAUUCGUAUGGUCAAGUCCCGUAAAGUUCGUUCCGCUUGCUCCUGGCUGGUGCGCUCUACGGCUAACUUUCUAUCUUGACUGCAUCCAAAAAGAAUGGGUUUAUGCAAUUUCAGACUAAGGAUGUGGAACAGAGCCAGCCGCCUACCUACUUCUGAAAGUUAUUUCCUCUUUCUUUCCCCGCAGCUAUUCGUUACGUUUUGUUUUCAAUUCAAUUGAGCGUCAAUCUGCACUGAGCGAGUCAAAGAGAGGCGUCAGUUGACUCCACUUUCGGCGUUCAGCCUACUUCUUUCUCGUCUUUCCUUAUUCAUUAGGUGGGGUAUAUGUGCCAUUUCAGAGCCGCUAAACCGAGUCAAUUCAAGAGAAGCUAAAGCGUGGGUGACGGAACGGAAUUCACUUUCUUUCGCCCAGUUGCAAGCUACUCAACCUAUGGAAUAACCUAUCUUGCAGAUCCUGUUACGUCGAGUCUCUCUCUCUAUUGCAUAUCCUUCGGCUAAAUAAGCUCUUUUAUGCACCUCCAGUUAGUCAAGUAGCUCUCUUUCAGAUCCUGACGGAACUAGAUGAGACUAAGCAAGCACGGUGGACUUCUCUUCUUUUCUUUGCCGAGUUCGACAAGGUGAUCGAAUACAAGCCAGGACAAGAAAGUAGCCGACCCACUCUACUAAGUAGGAAGGCUGAGCUUGCUGCCAUCAAGAUGGAGGAGGUAGCUUACGGUGAGUCAACUCAUUUGCACCAUCCCUGACCGCAUUAGGUAUAAGGUUUGUCAAAAUAUCUCUUUAUUUGCCAACAAGAGCUUAAUGAUAGCUACUAAGGAUCAAUAAGGCUUGGAUGGGCUGCUCCAAGGGAAAUCGAAUCCAAGGGAAAUCGAAUGUUUGUGCCUAAGUGGUACCUUCUUCGUAAGGAUGUGACAGAGAAGCAAAAGGAGGAUUGCUAGAGCCGCAGCUACCUGUGAAAGACCGUGGGCAAGCAUAUAUCAAUGGACUGAAUCUCAGCUCUGCCCAAGGUGGGUUUUGCACUUGGUCAUGGUGAUAUGCUUGAUAAAGGUUUGUUUCGUCGAUAGCAUUUUCUGAUUUGGGAUGCGUAGUAGCUGUUGUCACAGUAGGGGUCCUAAGGCGGGAAUUGUCCUAAAGUAGCCAUAGCGUUGAUUGCUCUCCUUGUUCUAUUGUAUGGGCGAAUUAUCUUAAUGAAAGCCUUCUUUUUGGCUCUCGUGUGAGGGUUGUCAUAACUUGUGUCUAUCUGCUGUUAAAUUACUUUAUAGAGUCCUAAGGGUAGUAUCAAAGAUAAGGGAUUCAAGCCGUAUUUGUUUUGAUUAGCUGUCCCAGGGAAAGGAGUAAGUAUUGGCUGUUGGCAUGUCCGAGCUAAGAUUGGUUGAGGCGGGUAAAGACGGUUGCGUAGCUUACUUGGUAAAGUACUCCUUUAGUUUAGCGGUCAUGGAUCGAUUCUAGGUGGUUAACUUGUAUACCCCUAUUCUCAGAGUUCACGUUCUGAUCUAGCAAAUCCACUUUUCAGAUGAGUUCCAUAGUUUUGGACAGGACAGGUGGGAACCAGGAGGUAAAGCGUCUGUUAAAGCAAUCGGGCAAAUGCGUGUAUACUAGCUUACUAGCUUUAGUAGCUUGUGUACUAGCCUGUUAAAGGAAGCAGGGGUACGCUGAUUUGGGAUGCUAACUAAGUAGAUGCGGAAGCGAGGUGCGAAAAGGAGCUCGAUGAGCCUGAAGUCCAGAUGUGCAUCGACAACCGUCUCUUCGAUCUGAAAUAUGCUUUGCAUACGACCCCAGUUUCCUCUUUCGCCAUGCUAUCUUCGUUGGCAAACGGGUGGGUUAGAGCGAGCGCUGGCAGAGCGCAAUGCUGAUCAAACAGCCCGGGAUACUCGCCGCUUCGGUGUUUCGAGCAAGGGUUGUCGCCCUAAAGAGCAGACAGCCGUCGCUGACACAGACGCACCCCAGAAGCAGACGAAAAAGAAAUCCGACAAAGACAAGCCGAAGGAGAAUCUUUCUUCAACUGCGCCCGAGGCUCAAGAGGCCUUGUUGGAGAAGCUGUUACUAUCGAAACUAUACAACAAGCCUAAAAUCAAGAGUCUUCUGUUCCUCUCUCCUCGGUCUAGCCGGUAAAGGCUGAUCGCGGUAAGGGCUGGUUACGAUUGAAAAUACACACUAUUUAAGCGCUUAAGCUUACCAUGAUGAUUGCAGAAGAGGAAGUACGACGAGUACGGUAUGAAAUAGGUUGGCAAAGAACACAGAGUCGUUUUAAGGUCUAAAAACCCGACAGAACUCUUUCUUUCCAGGAAGCCUAUCCCUCUUUUUAUGUAUGAUACCAGUCGAGUACAAAAACGUAGCAACAAUUGCUUGUAAUUGGCCGUUUCCCUUCAUCGACAAAAUACGUUUCCAGCGAGAGAACAGGCUCAGACGGGAGCAGAGCCGAAAGGAGAUCCAUACGUUGAUCCAGUCAAAGAACUAGUGGAUCCCAAACAAGAGUUUGAUUCGUUUGUCUCGAAGAGUAAGAUAAAGGCCUAUUCAACCAACUACUCUUUCUCAACUUUAGGGAUAUUUCAUACUUAUUCCAACUACGGUAAGGAGCUUAAGAACUACAUGAUUCGCCCACUCGUCCCGGAAAGAAUACAAAUUUUUGAAAAAACAAGGUAGGUUUACCGGAUUGAGCUUUAAGCCUAGAACGCCAGAAUGGAUAGACUACCUUUUUUAUUGCCGCCUACCUCUUCCUCAAGCUCUGUCUCCCACUUCUCUGUCACUGCUUGAAAAGAGCUUUUCACCUGAAGAGAGAGAGCCCGCUAUAAGCCCGUGAUCGGACCUUCUUACCAAGAGGGAGAGCCCACCUUUUCGCUUACUGCCUAACUCAAGCUUGUCCAUAGAACGAGCUCCGCUAAGCGACUAGUUUACUGUUGAGAGGUAGCGAAGAGGACAGAUAGGCUAAAGAGAGGUUAGCGCUAGCUAGUGUUAGAGAGCUUGCUGGAUGAGAGCAGAGCAGACUAAUUAGAGGAAGGCGCGAAGCGUAGUAACUUCCGGAAUGAAUGAGUGCAGCAAAGUCUCUUAUCUUCCCCCUACGCCCUAAGAAGGAAAAACUGAGCAAGAUAGCUUCAGCUUCCAUUGAGCGUUGAGAGAGAAAUCGAGAUGUGAGAAAAAGAAUAGCUUUUCUUCAGCUCUUCACUAGCCAUUGCCAAUCCUGUUCUCGAUGGGAAAGCUUUACCUUAAGUGGAGUGGCCAGGCUCUGAUCUGAUUCCUCUUCGCGACUCUGAACGAAUGCUGUCGGCAUUCAAUCAUACAUAUACGAAGUGUGCCGCGAGUCACCUUAGAGAAAGAGAAAGGAACUUAUAAUGAUUGCUAGCAGAUGUUAUGAAAGAAGGGAUAGAAGGAGAAGAGACUGGGGAAUGCUUUUUCACUAUACGAGAAUUCCUCUGAUUCCUCCAUUCCAACCAGGUUUUCAGGAAUAAGCACUGCAAGAAUGGCGAUACCCCCUGCAGUUACCUCUAAAAGGAAUGAUCUCGGGCAUCAAUCUAAAGAGAGUUUGGUAGCUUUCCGGGAAAUUGCCUUAUCUUAUUAAAGGAAAAGGAAGAACUCGCUUUCGCUAGGCACCAAGGCUUCUUACCCUUCUGCUUCUUACCCUUCUGCUUCUUACCCUUGGUAGUGUGCUUGUACAGAGUAGUUUGUUUCACCUCUAAUACCGUUUUGGAAUCAGUAAGAGUUCGCAUCACUGUUUCCUCAGGAAGCAACGCAGUAGACAGCGAUUUCAUCUCAUGACGCAGUUUAGCAAUUUCUGACUCCAUACUAGCAAUACGCUGAGCAUAUUCUUUCUCUUUCUUUUCAAAGAUCUCUUUAAUGAAAGCAUUUUCCUCCUUCAGAAUCUUCAAUUCCAAUUUUAGAAUAGAGCUUUCUUGACCACCGAAGUCUAUUACAUCCUUAGGUUGUGUGUCUACCCAAACAUUGUUAUCAUCAUACACAGGGUCCCUUUUUGUAUCCGCUUGGAUUCCAAGGCUUACUUGGAAAGACUUUUUGGCUAUGUUUAGGGUAUGCCAAUCAAUUCUGAAGUUACCUUUUUCAAAGAGCUGAUUCGGUCACAGGAUUCUCUAACAGGAUUCGUUCAAACAGAAAGAGAACUGCUCCUGCUUCUUAUAAAAGAGAAUCUCUCUUUCAACUCUAGCCAUUCUUGGCUUGGUCACAUGCAACCAUCAAGAAAGAAGCAAGCAUUUAACAAGAAAGCAUCAACCGGAUUCAUUGAACUUAAAAAGCAUUUCGACAUAAAGCAUUUUCACUCGAGCUGAAACAAUUGAUGAAUUACCCGAGGCUUUCCCAGGGGCGGCUGGGCUUGGGUGGGCCUCUUUCUCUUCCUUGCUCUUCGAUAAGGGCGUUGGGCGUCUUACAGAAGAAGAAGGAAAUAAAGUAGGUCAUCCCAUUAUUGCUAAUAAGAAAUUCACGUCCGUCUCUGUGCCUUUUCUGCCUUUGAGAAUGCCCAUUGCUCGGACCUCCUUCUUUUAUUUCAAUAUAAGUUAAAGGCGCUUGUCCGUUGGGGGGUCAUUCCCUCUAGCCGAACGUAGUUUGCGAGUUGGGUCGUUGACUUAUUGGCCUUUCAUCGAAGAGAUCGCGCAUGGGGAGUGAACCUUAUCCCUUUUUUGGAACUUCACCGAGGACAUCGCAUGCUAGAAAGAAUGUCCUUUCUGCGCGUCAUUACGGUUACCUGUUCACUAGUAAUCUGGUCGAAAAAGAUCCAAAAACUAGAACGUCGGUAACAAUCCCGAUCAAUUAGAGGAACGGAGAACUCAUCUCCCACAAUAAGCAACUAUAUAACUCUAAGGAUCGUGUCAUACUGCCUUUCGCUGUGCAACUUCCACCAGCAGUAUGACCUUCUGAAUGCUGCUAGGUUCGGGCCCCAUUCGAUUCCUUUAGAAAAGGAACUUUUAUAUAAAAGGAAGCCGAACCCACCUUCGAUGAUCUUAGACUUCACGUUCUCUUAAAAUUCCAAAUAUCAAUAAAGCUAUCUCAGCUCGACUGUCAUUUUGAAAGCCGAGUCUUCGAGAGGUCUACCGUCUACCGCAUUCACAGACCCUCCUCCUAUCUACCUCCUAUGGGUCCGCGGAUUGCUGCCUGGGGCGAGGCGUGCCUACCACUUACUGUCUGACGGACAAAGGGGCCUACUCCAAGACCCGGGCAACACAAUGUUUCCUCCACUCCGAAGGUCACACUUGCCCUCCGAAAGCCAUUCGUGAGAGGCCGCCCACUAUACUCUCGCUUCGAGCCUUUAUUCGCAGGAGGAUGGCUUGAGACCAAGAUCCCACCCCCAAAGGCCGAUAUCACGUAACCAAAAACCAACUGCCGGUCUGAGCCCGCCAGAAACCCAAUUCGAUUCCAUUGCUUGGCGGCUAGCGUUCCAUUGCUAGGCUUCUAUGCUGGCUGCCGGCUACUAGGAUCAGUGGUUUUCACCCGCACCGAGGUCCCACUUCGGUGACAACACGGCCUCGACCCUCAGUCUUCUACGACCACAGCGGACCGCCGAGGUUCUAUACUAAAGUACGCCCCCUUAAUGAAGGUGUUCGCCUUUAGGACUCACGGUUCAAACGGGAUGCAACCAAGCUCCGUCCCAGGGAUUGCAAGCAACUCGAGCCGCUACGUCGCUCCAAAGACCUCUGCCUACACUCAUGCCAUCUUCCAAGCAAUUCGUUCUCCUCGGCCGCCUUUAAGGCCGCACCCCCCGAUAGAUCCUGGAUAGCCCCGGCGCGGAAAGAACAUGAACGCAUCCGUUUUCUUUCUGUUUGGAUGGCCAGCGGUUCCCGCGUAGACAGGCCCCAGUAGAGUCCGGCUGAGAAGGAUCACCUUUACAAUUCCCAACACAACCCAGAUAAGUGGGCAAGACGCUUCUGCAGGCAGAGGAAGAAAAUCUUCGGCCAAUAUGAGGUCCCCCAUACCUGCACCUGCAGGGCGCCCAAGACAGACACAGAGGUCUCUUUUUUCGGAUUUCGUUUCUCGGAUUAGGGAAAUCCGUGGAGAGAUCGUAGAAGCAGAGAUUCGCCUCGACAGCAAGAAUUUGAAAGGUGACUCAAGGUUAUAAUCCCGACCAGCAGUAUUAAGGGUCACGUUGUCGGAUCCUUUUAGGGGUUUCGAUUUAUCAACUUCUUUCGAAGCCGUGGUUAGUGAUAUCUGGACACUUUUCCAGCCCAACUACUCCGGGGAUAACCGGAAUAGAGCUCCGAGUAUACCUACGAGUCGUUCUAUCUCGUCAUGGGUUUGGCAGCAAGCACCGUACGCUCCUGGGGCGGGACCAAGCCCAUACUUUUGACACCCUUUUCUAUUGAAAUCCCGCUCCUUGGGACCACAGAGCUGCGAAGAUGGGGGGGCUCCUGCGGGUCUACCAUUGGCCAUUCAUUGGGUUACUGGUUCCCGCACGGUCGUCCAUCGGCUUGACCACAGUACGGAUUACCGGAUCGAUAGACUUAAGACACGACCCUGCACUGAGAUAGUUACAUUACUAACAUUUUGAAUUCACUGCAGAACGAGAAGACUAGGAACAAGGAAGAACAAGCAUUGCCGCUUUCCUGCAUUACUCCGUCUGUCCAAUGCCAGUUUGUAACUGAUAUGGACAAUGGGGGUGAUGAGCCAUCCGCAAUACGGUAGCAGUAAGCACGGCUGUCCACCAGAGCCGUCGGAUUCCGUCGGUCGAUCGUCUGGUUCGAAUACCUACCUCUCGCGGAAGGAUUCAGUAAUCGAACGAUGCUGUCGGCAGCGCUUGCGCACCCCAAAGAAUGGAUCCAAUCCAUCCCAAGCACAGCACCAAGUGCCCGCCCGUCUGGCCUCUUAAUAGAAGGAGGUCCUUUUGCGGACCUGCCGAUCUAUACGCUCCCACUCUUUCAAGCAGAAUACUACCGGCUACAGAUCAAAGCACGAUAGCUUAGCCAAACCAAUCCUCACUUACCGACCCUUAAGAAAAAUGACAACUCAAGGGCGUGCCGCCGAGCUCCGGAAUCUCUUCCGCGAUAAGCUAAGAUUGGCCCAACCACGCAAAGGCGAUUUCGAGCACUCACUAUAAUUAUUUUCAAAAAAACUAGGAACAGAGGUCAGAUCCAAAUCCAAUUAGAAAAUAAGGAAAAAAGAAAUAAAAAAAGAACAAGAAAAAACUUGUUUGUACGAGAUUCAACAACCAAUUUAGAUAACCAGACACAUUUAAAGCAAAGAGCGAAUUGACCACUUCCACACAGGACUAGUUUGUAGUUCGAGGUCUGUCCCCCUUGUCGAUUUAGCAAACCAAUGCCUUAAGCCACUCAGCCAUCCUUCCUACCGUAUGGGUGUACUCAGAUAAGAAGUCAGGGAAGUACAGCUAUACGGAAUACGAUGAGAAGUAGAGCAGGCGAAGCGAAGCGAUAACGGAUCUUACUGUCUGGAGAUCGGGUUACGUCGCUAAGGAAGCUGCAGGAUCCCAUGAAUUCGAAGAUUGCCUGCGGAAGUGGAAUAAGCCGAAAAAUGAUGCCUCUCCCUUCUGUCUUGGCUACCAUGCUCUUGCGCUAGAGCAAUGCGAACAGCUUCUUCUCAAGCAGGGGAUUCAAUAAGAGUGGAUUCUGGGCAUCUGGCAUUUGUCCUGAGAACAGCUCCUUCUCUGCUCAGAGUAAAAGAGGCAAAGUGCUAACUACUAAGGAAAGAAAUUCCAUUCCCUAGGGCAGAUCUUCCUCUACUGGGAUUGACUCGCUUAGAAGGGGUCCCAUUCCAUUCCUUUGGCAAAGACCCGCUCUGACUAACUCCUUCUCUCAUUGAUCCGAAAAGAAAGGCAUAAGUCCCACAUCUCUUAGGCGCCAAGAGUCUCAGAUGUCCAUUCAAAACCAAUAGUAGCUCGGCAUCGGGAAUCACUGACUUUAUAAGAGAAUGGUCUCUUUGCUCUUCGCCCCUUGUCCAUUCCGCGCUUACUUGCCAAAGCUUGUCCACCCACCGCCCAUGCCCCUCUUCCUUCUGAAAAAAAAAGUCAGCCCCUAUACUUCUUUCUUACCUAACAGCCUCGUAGACGCGGGGAAUCGCUAAAAGUAUGUUUGAACGGUAAGGAAAGAGUCAGUUCGAGUCACUCUGCCUCUCUUAUACACUAUUUUCAGUUCCUUCCUUGGCUGACUUUUAUUAACAUAAAAUCUCUGUCUCGCCUUUAUCCCGCUUCUCCUAAGUUCCCUAAACCCCAACCUUCAAAGACUAAAACUCUUUCCCUUGUCUACUAAAAAAAGACACUACAAGAUCAGAUGAACUUCUCGAUUUCGAUUAUACGUCGUUCCUCUCUAUUAUUUUGGGGGCGCCCUCCUCGGUGACAAGAAUACGUUUCCAUGCAUCUUACUUAGAUUUUAAGAGCAAUAGCAUUCAAGGUGACUAUAACGCUUAAGACCGAUGAUCCAACCAAGACCGCGAUGGCCUUAGCUUUAGCGGCCCUAGUUGAUUGACUUGCUACCGCUAACUCGCUGUGCGCUCCCCCCGGCGCUUCGACAACAUUACCGCCUACAUCUGUACUACUUAUUCCGUCCUGAAUAGAAGCAUGGAGAGUCCGCCUUAGAUCGUCAAAAUCUAAAGCGGGCACGAACGGUUGAUUUAUUGUUGUACCAUGCUCUGGCAGGGCGGUCAACCAAAUGAAAAAGCCAAUGAAUAGAGGCGGCAAUAGAAGAUUCAAGACUGAUAACAAGACUCCCUUCGGAAUAGGCAAGACUACGGGAUUACGAAUCGCAACAUAAGGAUGAUUCGGAGAAAGAUUCACCUCUGGCAGAUUGGAGGAGAGAUUCCACUUUUGCAUUAAGAUAUACCGCUUGGGGACUUUUUCCCCAACGAAAUGACCCAAGCCUCGUUUGGGGGAACUAAGGUUGAGGUGCCCCCACUCUCCUCCUUCAAUAGGGCGGUAGAAGAUAGUGGGCCCGAUCGAGACCUUGACAACCCUUAUGGCCUUGAUCCCUUUCCCGCGGGGGAGUGCUCUAUUCAAUAAGUGCCCCUUGAGCCCUUUCUGGCCUGCCCAGAAAGCCCUUUGCGCGGUACUUUCGACCAAGAAAGAAUAGGUCAUGCUGGUAGCCGGAGGCAUCCCUCUCUUCAGGCUAGGUGGGUCCCCCCGUUCCGGCUCCCAUCUUGAGAAGAGAUCGUGAUUGCGACUGUCCGUCAAAAUCAGUCGCAAUCUUUUGGCAUAAUACUGGAGCAGCUGCUUUGAGUCUGCGCGCGCGCUAACCCGAGCGGGACUCAAAAUCUUCCCCCUCCGAUUAAACAUAUCUUCCCCUCCUUUGAGGGAUUGAAUAUUCAUCUCUUUGUUAGGAAUAUAAAAAGUGGCAAACAUUUCGAUCCUUCCUUUUACUAGUCUUCACGGCUGGAAUCAUAAAUGCAUUGUCUCCUUUUUUUUUGUUUCUUUGCUACCCCUGCUACCUCUCAUACCUGUUUCCUUCUGUAGUAUGAGUUGAGAAGAAAACGGAUUCAAUCCAGCCGUAGGUAGGGACGCCCACGGCUACCUUGUUUCGAACGAAUCGGAGAAGGGAUUGCACCCCACCCCUAGGAACGGGAACGGAGUUUGUCAGAGCUCGGGUAAGCAUUUUCUGACCGGCACGCUGGACCCUUCUAACAGAGGAAAGUCCUUUCCGACGGGUUUUUCGUAUUAGGCCAGGUCACUCUCAGCUAUACGACUGACACAAUUAGACUGAGGUAUGGCUGAUAAGAAAGCGUAGUGGCUAGCUACCGCUGAUUGCUUCGGGAAUCAUCCUCCAUGGUGACUGCAUGGAGGCCGGCUUGUCGAGGCCAACACCAUCCAGCCUGGUAUCGGAAUCGAGCGUGCAGGAACCGAGAUGCCGAGUUGUGGUCAGCGCGAACCGAAAUGAGGAAGAAGUCCCGACCAUCUCGAUUCCGGUGUGCAGAGGCCAGCUUUCCGCUCAGUACUUUAGGGCUCGGACAAGCAACGAGCCGGCUUCACGGCGCCCGAGGUGGCUUCCGCUCAGGAACAGAACAGGAAAAGGAAGUAGUAAUCCCGCAAAAUACACUACUCUCAAAAUAUAGACAAAGCUGUUCCCUUCUAAUGUAUGCCCCCGGUAAGGGGGGAAAUAUAUGACAUACACCUUUAUCCUUUCGUGUGAGAAAGAGAGAAGAAUUUUUUGAUGAGAACUUCUUCUUCUUCUCAUAGCACGAAUCCGGAUAAAAGACAUAAGACACGCGCGGGUCACUAUCUGUUCUUCGACCGCAAGAGGAGCUGAUUGAGAUUGUUUGAGCAACUCGCGUAAUCGUUGACCUCUUUCCAAUUGAUUCUGAAUAGCUUUAUCGAGAUCAGAAGCGAAUUGUGCAAAGGCUUCUAACUCUGCGAAUUGAGCUAGUUCCAAUUUUGAUUUGCCGGCUACUAGUUUCAUGGCUUUAAUUUGAGCUGCAGAUCCUACUCUGGAAACAGAAAUAAAAAAAUGAAUAGCAGGUCGGAUUCCAGCAUUGAAUAGAUCGGCGGAUAAGAAUAUUUUUCCAUCUGUAAUGGAAAUGAAAUUUGUAGGAAUAUAAGCUGAAACGUCUCCAGAUUGAGUCUCAACUAUUGGUAAAGCGGUCAUACUUUCUUCAUCUAAACGAGAACGUCGAUUUAGCGGCUCUUUCCAAAAGGCGUGAAUGCAAAAAAAAACAUCUCCUGGAUAAGCUUCACAACCAGGGGGUCUUAUUAAUAGAAGAUCAAUUUGGCGAUAAGCUUGUGCCUGUUUGGAGAGAUCAUCAUUUAUUUUAUAAUAAGUAUGUCGUUCACGGUACAGAAAAUAUUCAGCCAGAGCCGCUCCUGUAUAAGGAGCGAGGUAUUGUAAUGUAGCAGGUGAAUCCGCCGUUUCGGCUACCACAAUAGUGUAUUCCAUCGCUCCUCGUUCCUGGAAAGUAGUCACUACCUGAGCCACAGAAGAUGCUUUUUGACCAAUAGCUACAUAAACAUGUAUGACAUUUUGCCCUUUUUGGUUAAGAAUCGUAUCUGUGGCUACUGCUGUUUUGCCGGUCUGUCUGUCCCCAAUAAUGAAUUCUCGCUGACCGCGUCCUAUCCUAUAGGGAUCAUCGAAUCAAUAGCAAUAAGCCCCGUUUGAAGAGGCUCAUAUAAUAUACACGGAACGUCUCGAAAGAAUACCUGGGGCAGGAGAUUCAAUUAACCGAGAUUCAGAAGCUGAAAUUUCACCUCUCCCAUCAAUAGGUUUAGCCAGAGCAUUUAUAACACGACCCAAAUAAGCCUCACUCACAGGUAUCUGAGCAAUUCUUCCUGUUGCUUUUACAGAACUUCCCUCUUAUAUCAUCAAACCAUCACCCAUUAAUACAACGCCAACAUUAUUUGAUUCAAAAUUCAGAGCAAUGCCUAUUGUACCCUCUUCAAAUUCUACUAAUUCACCUGCCAUUACUUCAUCAAGACCAUGAAUACGAGCAAUGCCGUCGCCUACUUGAAGUACGGUGCCGGUAUUCACAAUCUUUACUUAUCUAUUAUAUUGUUAAAUACGUGCACGGAAAAGAUGACUUUCAUCGUCGGCUCGAAUGGUUUCAUGGUUGGAAGGUAGAGUGAGUCUGGGGAGGCCCGGAUGAAUGAUUGAGUCAGACUAUCUGGUAGAGCUUAAGAGCUUUACAACGCGGGCUUGGUUUAAGAUUUACCAAGUUACGAAGGCCGGAUUGAUUGAAGUGGGUGAUACGAUAGGAAAGGAGCCGAGAUUUGGCUAAGUAAGGAAGAAACAACUUAGUAUCCAAUUUCACUAAGUGAGGCCACUACUACGAAGUUGCGCGGAUACGAUAGCUUUCUUCAAAGACGCGGACGGAGGCUAAGUGGCAGAAAUCGCAAGCUUUUCAAACGUAAGGAGCAGUCGUCGUACGGACAACUACGAAGUAGAGGCCAAGGGGGCGGUGCGACUUCGUAGAAGUCAGAAGAUAGAAAGAAGUCCGAAAGAGAGAAGGCAGGGUCACGUCACGCGGCUCGUAGAGAAAGAUAACGUAGAAAGAAGUAGGCGAAGUAAAGAUUCAGUCGAUCAAUCUGCUUUCUGUCUUCAUUUCAAUCCCAUCCUUCUUUUCUUCUUUCCGUUACUCUCCAUUACAAAAGGCGAACAGCUAUUACUUUAGAGGCUCAUCCGUUUAAUUACCCCUCUGGGGGCACGGGGAAGGGAAUAGGACAUUCAUAUGGGUAUAGUGUAAUCAAGGGAGGAAAGCAAAAAGAGUGAUUGAUCAGGUAUCAUUUCGAUCCUGAUAGAAGAAGAGUACGCGCACUACGGCUUUUCAGCCUCCGUUUGCUGGAAGGCAAAACUCUUUUUUUUUUUUCUUUUCUCGACACUCAUAGAGUGGAUUCCAUUCCGAUGGGGCAAGAGUGGGAGACCCAUAUUGAGAUAAAGAUCCCGCGCCGCUAUUAAUAACCCUGGAUUCUUAACCACCAAAAGGAUAGGGCUUUAUCGGCCACAGAAACGGAAGAGCCGUCACAUGACAGCCCUAAAUAGUUAUAGGCUCUGACCGAAGAGCAAGCGAAGCGAGUCAAUUGCGUUGAGGCCAAAAUGCUUUGUCCGGACUCCACCCAAAAAAGAGAAAAAAAAACCAGCUCGGACCGUACCGUUGAGUUUGUUGCCCAUUUUUAGUAUCACAGUUGGGAGAAAGAAAUAAAGGUGAAAAGAUUAUACUUCUAAGAAGAGAGAAUUUGUUGGGAUUGUGGACUUUAGAUCAAGGAGUAAAUCGGAGUUUCAAAUCCGGAAGGAAGAUUGAGUUCGUAACCAUUUUUUCCUUUAAACUUGUAAACACUUUCGAAUCAGAGCCUUACCUUACAUCAGGUAUUGAUCGUCCCUCGACUGAAGCAGUGUCGGAAAGACGAGCGAGGUUUCCACUUGUGCUUUUCCCGGAUAGGUCAUUCUAAAGCAGGAACACUAUUUUGGACAGGAGUCGCGUACUUCUUAUAAAGGCCGACAAAGCUCUCUAGAAAACAGCCGCCGGAAGCCACACAUGGAAAGUCAUGUUCCUAGAGUAAGGAUUUCCACUCUUUUUUUUUCCGAUGAGAAAAACGAGGUUUAUUUUUUCCCAUUCCUCCAAACCCACAACAUGAACCUUUUUAUAUACCUAUUAAAAUGUACCCAGAACAACCGUCGACUCAUAAGCUAUGGCAUGCAGGUAUAACCGCCUAACGACCUAGAUAUUUCAUAAAGAGCUAUUUCUAUUGAGUUACCAAGCCCACCGAGAUCUAUUUCAGUAUUCGAAACACUACCGGGGCUCACCUCCCCUACUAAUCAAAAGCUCUUCGGGACAUCAGGCGAGAAACAACUACUCCGCCCAUCCACAGCUAUUAUGAUGAUAGAGAACCCGGGACACAGGAAUCACCUGGAUCUCAGCAAAGGGAGAGGAACCACUACGUACAGAGUUUGUAAAACAGCAACAGGGACAAGCCCACCGGGUUGAAAACCACCAUACUACCUAGAAAACCUAAACCUUUGUACAUGAAUGAAUGCACACUCACUACUCCCUAUAGUUAUCUAUCUAUCCAGAUAUAUACGAGAUCUCCUACCUAUCAGUCACCAACUUGAUACAUACGGGAACAACCCACCAACACAUCAAAGAUAAGUCUUAUAUGCAUUUUGAGCAUGGCACCGGUAGCUCUAAUAGCGAAGAAAAGGCGUGCGAGGACCCAUAGCUCCAUUUCACAGUCCUAUAAUCUAUGCUGUGCUGCAUUUCCAACACACUGGACCUUAGCUGUUCUCAGUAGGGGAAAUAGCGACUUCUAGCCGCAUGAAAUCAUGGAGUUGGCUUCUUCGUUACCUCGGGUUGGGAUUUUUCCCCUAUAGAAGAGAUGGCUCCCGAUCAUAAGCCACAGUUUUCUCAUGACUUGCAUAAUAAUAUUCCGGCCGGCCGGCCCUGUUUCGUCUUUCGAUCUUGGCAAAGAAGUUUCUAACCAGCACCAACUCAGAUUUAAGACGGCUUGCUAGUCGAAGAGGCAGUUGAUGUCAAUCUCGCGAGGACAGCCCCAAGAUGCCUCAUCUCCACCAUAAAAAGUCAUCCAUGUCAUUGUCGCGGAAGACUACCAUUCAAGAAUAAGAGCUUUUUCUCUUUGAUUUCGCUGGAUCCGACUCCAUGGAUCAUUUGGGACCCAUAAAUAGUCAAGUGCCAGCCAUCCGACGAGGAAAAAUAAGUCAUAUAAGAGCUGAAUAAAGAGAAAGAAGUGGUUGCUUGUUUGUUGCCAAGAAGAGGACCUAAGCGCUAGCUCUAUCCCGUCCCACUGGACUGCCCAGAUAUCAAUGCUCUCUCUCUCGUCUCUUGUCCUAGAGCGCGCCUCAUCAAGCCUAAUUCUCACUAGGGGGAGCCUUCGCUCCGCCUUCGGAGACUGUUCCGUAUGCUCUCCCUUCAUCUGUGCCUUUGACUGAGCUGUAUUCGACCUCUGUUUCCAUCAACGAUGUAACUAGAUCCGGUCGAAUAUACCAACCUGCUCAGUUGAGAGGAGCUGCGCCAGCCAUGCCAGAAGCGCAUGCACCCGCGCCAAGCAAGAAGGGGAGAUAUCCAAGAAACCUAUGAUGUGGCCCAGCAUUUGAAAAGGAUCCCGGCCAAAAUCUAUAAUCUCUAUUUUUGAUCUGUCUUUUGCAGACCUCGAAAUCUCAUCGCGAAGCCUUCCUCCAGGUCUACAAAAUGCUCAUGUCUCGCAAGGCACACCCCUCUAUAUAAUCUCCAAGAGAUGAUUGGCCAACUAGUGGCCCCACAGCCUAACAUUUUCUUUUCUCUUUCUAUUUUCAUUCUAGAUAGAGCAGUAAGAAGGAUCUCUUAUGCAAGCUUUCUUGAUGAAGGGUACCUCUUUCUAAAACAAAUUGUAAUCUUCCCUUCCUUUUAUAAUGGAUUUUUCUAGCCUCAAUGGCUAUAGCAUUUUCUAAGAUAGCAAUCCAAUCGUAAACCGUAAUCAGUGACACACAAAAGCCAAAUCAUAAACUUCGGAGCGAGUUCAAUAGUUUUCGAAUAGCUUCCGUCGAAUUACGCUUGAUGAUAAUUAAGUAGUGGAGUGGCAAGCAAGAGCAGAAGGAGGAAGGUGAGUAGGGUUGGUGAAAUGAUGCAAAAAGGCAUGAUGAGAUCUGAACCCCUACCUUGACUAAGAGAAUUAGGUUAUUCUUUUGCAGUUGGUCUUUGGUGCCUAUCCAUCCUAUGCCUCGUACGUAGUAUAAAUCAGAACUGAAAACUCUUUUAUACCCGGAAAAAACUUUUAUUCAUUCCCUUGAUUUGGCUAUUCAUUCUAGCAACAAUCGUCAAACACGGCAUAGCAACAGCGGCUAGCUACUUCCUUAAGUUAGAAGCAGAGGUAGGACUAGUCUGGGUAUGAAUCAAAUCCUUUCCUAGGGUGAGUCCUUAUGUAAAUGUAAGUAGAAGGCAGCCAUCUAAGAGAUGUUACUAGUCUGUAUGCAAAGCCUCCUAGUCCCAUCCCCUUCUGUAAUAGGAACUCCCUGCGGGCGCUAUCCUAUAAGCAGACGCAACUAGAAGACAUUAUUGUCUUUAUCUAAGUUAGAGGCUUUUAUAUAGCUUAAACCCUUUCCUUUUCCCAGGUAUUCAAAAUAAUCUUUCUAAAGUGCGGAUGAGAGAACCAGACAGCUUCACACCUGAAGGGACGAUUAGAGGGUUUAGCAGAAUGCAUACCUUCCAUGUAAAUGAUCAUAGGAUAGUAGUCUGAGGUGGUACGAGGGAUGUUUCCAACCACAGCUUAUGGUAAAAUCUCUUUCAACUUCUACUUUACUAAGGCUAGAUCCAAUCGAAGCAGCGUCUUAGCUAACCCUUCCCUACCAUUGGUCCAAGUGGUCUAGGACUACAGCAUGCCAAAUCCAUUAGACCACAACGAUGAAAUUUGAUGCAAACUGAAUCAGAACAGUCUCUGAUUCAGACUGGAUUUCGAACAUCGUCCCGGUUCAACAUAUAAACCUAUUUCUUGGUCAACAACCUAUAAAAAGGAAAACAAAUAUUAGUACAGGAAGGACUCUUUUUUUGUACGGAGAGAAAAUAAAAGCAAAUGAGCUAAUGGGAAUAUUUAAAGUUCAUUUUUUUAGACAACUAUGCUGACAAUUCUUAUAUAUGUUGUUUGCCCUCGCGGGGAUACCUGCGCGGGAGAGGAUACCUCUCAUCUUUUUUUAUUCCAAUAAUGAAUGCAUUUUUUUAUUGGCAAAAGUGCCAUCCUCUUUUUUUGGAAGAGAGGAGGGACUCCAUAUAUGCCGACAUUACUGAGGCGCCGCCCUUCCAUAUGGAUCCUCGUGGAUGUGGAAAUCACACGUGUGUUAACCUCCUUAUGUUCAGGAGAGGUCCCUUUUCUACCCGACGGGUGGUAAACAUGGGGGGACAUCUCCAAUUGGGUAAAUGGCGACUCACAUGACCCCGAUUUUCUAUUUGUUUGAAAUAGUAUAGACGAGAUGAAGAGGAAUGGGGUCGAUAGCAAAUGGUUCAAAGAAGCGGUACGAUUCCUAACCGAUUUUUUGAACUUAAUCAAUUCCUCUCUUCCCCUUUUUAGCCAACACCAUCAACCUUGGGCAAAGCCAAAAAUUUGAUGAAUAGAAGGAGAUCAGAAAGAUACGCGGACGACUUGACCAUAAGGUCGGAUGUUUCCGUGAGCAGUAAGCUGCGGAUCUCCCCUUUUUGGGGGGGAAAGCUGGUGGCCCUUUUGGCGUGUUAAUUCUUUCGACGGGGCGGCCUGAUUCGUUCGGUAGAUCCGGUCGAGGUGGUUUUCGUUUACCAGCGCGUAGGUGGUCUAAGUUCCUAUGACCGAGUCUUUCUGGCCCCUGUGAACAUAUUUUCUUAAUGUAUUAAAGAGGGCCUCUCUAACCGGUGAAAAGUGGUAGGUGUCCACUAACGGCUAUUCCUGGCUCGGCUCCGAUAACGCAAUUCCGGGAGGAGUCGGUAGUUGGGCACUGGAUCCCUUCGGACCUGGAGAACGUGUGACGCUGGGUCGGGGUUUGGUGAACCAACAGGUCGCUCCUCUAGUUGAAGUAUCGGGCCCCUUUUUCGUUGCCUAGGUUACACCUUCGGAAUACCCCAGACGGGGAUUUCGCUCUACUCCCCCCAAUCUUCACUUUAGGCCACGCCGACUCUCCGUCGUGGAAUUAGACCAAGGGGAAUCCCCAUAGGACCCCGUCUCCCGUAUCUUAUCUUUCGCACGUAGGAGAUCGAGACACAGCCUCAGGGCUAUGGGGAAAGUAGAUCGAUUGCCCUAGAUAGACAACUACAUAGAGGGUCUCUACAAGUCUAUAAAGAAGUUUCAAAAAAUUUUUCGGUAGUAGUCCGGUCGCACCCGAACAAUAAUAUUCCAGAGGGAAAUGCACCUAAGAUCAAAUAUUUUGAGCCGGCUUCCGUGGAAAAUUCAGACUUUCUUUUUGAUGCUGCGAUCACAUAAAAACAUAAACUUUGAGGCUCAAUAGCUAAAUACAUGGCAAUUGAAUCAUGAGCCGGGAUCAUUAAGAGCAUACUGCGAGUAGGAAGUGGAAUUAAUACAAUGGAUUCAGAAGCAUCAAACCUCUCUUGUUCGAAAGAAUCGAAACACAUCGAAAUGGUACCAGCCGUACUUAAUAAUGGAAGGAUUUGGCAGAAAUAUGUAGAAUUGUCCCUCCUAAAAAGAUUAUUCCGGAAUAAAUGGGCAAUAGUUAGGAGAGGUGCGCCAGCGGCGAGCAGAAGCAAGGUUAUUAGAUACCGAAGGAAAGCCCGGCCAGAACCACACGUGCAAGUUUCCCUGCAUGUGGCUCGUCCGUGAUAACUUCUUCGGAUUUGCGUGAACUAGCGGACCGAUCACUAAGUGGGAUGCUCCCUCCAGCAUGAGCGAACCUUUUCAGAACUGCUUAGGAAUGGGCGCCACUAUCCCAGCCCGGAUCCAGCCAGGUUCUAUUGAUCAUGUCCCCUUCCCAACAGUUGUACCUUGUCUUGGGGCGUCUUUGGCUUUACUCGAUCAAGCCCGCCGGAAAAAGAAAAGUCUUUCUCUUCCCGUCCCGGGUCAUAGUGAGGCGGAGGUGCGUCCACAGAAGAGGAAAGAGCAAUGCAUCUUGCUCAGCAGGCGUAGCUUGGAGUGGGAGUGUUGCGGGGGAAAGGUAAGGAAAGUGGCCUAAGAGAGGAAGCCAAACCAACCAGGGCCUAUUGAGCGCAGCUAAGCUAAUAUGCGCCGGAGAAAAGAAAGCUUACGGAGGUAAGCUCUAUUCGGUCCGGAGCAUUGAUUCCCCAUAACGAAUAGGCUAACUCUAUCUCUCAAUUGCCUAUCCUGUGCUCGAGAAGGUCCCCCAGUUCCUCGGCUGCACCUCGAGGUGCAUUUAGUUGUCUAACUUUAUACUCGGGAUAUUCCCCACUCCAUGGCACCUUUCGCUCAUCUAUUCAGCCCGCCCGUCCAGACGCGGUGCCCUUUCGCAUUAUCAUCUACCGCCCUUUCUUUCCUCCCGUCCCUUCACGCAUGAAGAUCGUCGUAUGUAUGUUCGACUUCGGUUGCCGGUGCAAUAGAAUAGGUAGGAGUACAUUAUGGCAGGAUCAGUCACCUGGGCAAACCAACCUUCCUCCAAGAAGAAUUGUGCUAUGCCCCCCCGAUAUCCCUAUAGAGCGAAAGAGCUGCCUGGUGAUCCCUAGGUUGCAGCACGUCCGGUCGUUAACUCCUCGCGCCGCUGCCGCCGUUUCUAGGACCGACCGACGCCUCACCUGCACAGGUACCUACGUAGUGUAGUGUCGGUCGCACAUUCAUAAUAGCGUUCGGACUCAUGUGCCUUCCAGAACCAGGGGAGUUCCCUUGCUCCUGCUGCGUACGAUUAGCCAGCCUUGCGGCGGCAAAAGGAUUAGGACGUCCCCCCAUGCUACGGUUCCCUGCGGUCCGGCCGCAUUAGGUUAGGGAGCUGGGCGAUAAUAGCUCCUCCGCAUCCCAAGCGCGCUGCCCUCCUAGGCGCGCAACACUAAGUAAUCCAAGCCAACCCACAUUACUGACUAACGGUGGAUAAUCAUCUUUCUUAGAGGUACUAAAUACAACUCCAUGAAUGAGCAAAAUGAAGGUUGCGUUAAUGAUAAAGAUCUCUGGGGAAACCGCUAAAAAAAGAUUGAACAUGUGGGAGGGAGGAGAGAUAACGAAUUCUGCUUUCAUUUCCCCCGUUUUCAAAAUCACAGAGUUACUUACGGAAUGUCAAAUCUUUCUCGACGCCGGCCAGGCCGGACAUCAAAUUGAGGGGGCCCACCUCACCUCUCCCCUUCCCCUGGUCAAUGGCGGUGACUUGAUUGACCAGGGCCGCCCCACUACCCCCCUACGACGAUUUUUCGAUUGGUCUUCGGACCAAGUCGAAGAGGAAGCGCUCGUUCAUGUCGUCCCCCCACCGCUCGGGUUGACUCUCUCUCUUGAUAGCAUUUAAGAGAUUUCGGAGAGCGUUGACAUCGGCUUCCGGGGACUGAUACUCAAAAUUCUGGGCCAUUUCAUCCGCAGAUCCGAGAAAGUCGAAGCUUUCUCUGCCUCUUGCGCAGUAUUUGCCGCAGAAAGAAGCCCAUACCCCCACAAUAAUGUUUGCAAAAUUUUUUUAGGAGUAGGGCGUCAGCCUUACGAAUUUGCUUUCGUAGUUUCUCCUUUUGAGCAUCAUUAUCGUCGUUAGGAAGGCCGGGGGCGGCGGGCCCGCGUGGAGCCGGGGUGCCGUCGGCACCAAUCCGUUGGUCUUGCGUUUCCAUAAGGUAAGUCCAAGCCGACCUCCAUAAAGCGCGAACCAACAUCCGUGAUACGAAAACAAAAAGAAGAAGUAGGACCAAACCGAGAGUUAGCAGUAUUUCCAAGGAUGGACUUCGCGCUACGGAAUGAAUCGAGGAACUGAGGACAUUUCCAAUACCGAAAAAAUCGGCACCACCCAUUGAUUUUGCACCUUCUAACAUCUCGAGACGAUAAUUUGCUCGUCACGUUCCUUCGCUGCUCUUUCCUGGAUUCUUCGUCGAUUCCUCUUCCCCACCCCGCGAUCCAUAGUAUAUUCCAUUGAUAGAGAGCCAAUUCCAAUAGACUUAUUGAACGUUCCCAUUGGCGUGCAUCCAGUAGGAAUUGAACCUACGAAUUUGCCAAUUAUGAGUUGGGCGCUUUAACCAUUCAGCCAUGGGCGAGUGAACUAGGUCUUUUUUUGGGGUUCCAGAAAGAACGUCAAAGAAAGGUGACUUAGACUUCUCCUUCGACUGAGACGGAGACUGAACGAGCUGCUUCGGAAAGUCAUAUGGGUCUUUUGGCUCGCAAUAAAGCUAGGGUCCUGAUCGAGCAAGACGUAGUCCUAUCUAUCUACCUCUCCAGACACAAUAUCUUGAGUACCUAUGAUGGUGACUACAUCUGCUGGCAUGUGAUGUUUGGACAUAGAAUCGAGUCCUUGUGAAUGGGCAGAGCCAGGUGCUCUUAUUUUACGACGGUAGGGACGAUUGCUUCCAUUACUGACAAGAAAGACACCAAAUUCUCCUUUAGGUGCUUCAACUGCGGUAUAGGUAGAAGGAGCUGGUACGGAAAAACCUUCUGUAUAAGGUUCGAAAUGGUGAAUUGAGGUAGAGUAGACCGAUGAUCCUGUAGUCAUUUGGCCGGCUAUGGAAAGAAAAAGCUUGCAUCUGCUCCCCCUAAACUAUAACUGGUCCCAUCUCUCUCCAAACCUAACGUGGUAGUUUCCCAUCAUAGGGCUUUCUAUCUAUAGAUUGAGCCAUUACCCACCAAGGAUCCCAUUCGUUCAGAAUGAAGUUGACUGCUUCUAUGGAUAAGGCGGAGCGUCCUUGGUUCAGCAUUAUAGCACAUAGGCUUCGGCGCUACUACAGCGCUUCGCUAACUCGAAGCGCCUCGCUAUGAGAAUGACGCUUCGCUAACGCGUUGCGUUGUCAGCUUUGCUACCGACGCUUCAUCUUAAGUGCUUUGCUACCGAGGCUCAGCAUAAAGGACGCUCCUAUCUAUAGAAGCGCUUCGUUCCGCUUCGCUAACGCUCGGCUAAGUCGUCGAACCCUCGCGCUGACCGUUCGCUUUCUCAGUAGCGAAAGCGCUUCUCUUUGCCCCUUAACUUAAAUAGAAGGACAAGAAAGAGAUUAUUGGUUUUCUUGCUCCCGCUUCUUCAUCUGCGCUCGUCAAGCCAACUUAGCUUUUUGGGAGGUGAAACAGCGGUUGAAGCGGACAUUUCGAAAUGACAGCAUCGAAGAUAUUUAUAUACACGGUCACGGUUAUUCCGGACUGCGUUCCGGAAAAAGUAGCCUACUUGACAGAAAGGGCGGGCACUCUCGGCUCGGAGGUAGGCACUCUCGUGUUUCAACCCCACGUUACUUUGAUAGUUGUGGGGCACUGUGUACUUACAGCCUCUACGAGUUGCAAGUGAAUGGGGCCGGUGCGUGGCGAACGGAACGGUUCAUCAAGCCAUUUCUCGCCUCAACCCCCUAAAUAGGAAGAGGGGUACUUUACUAAUAGGGGGCAAUUGCAUCGCACCUGACUGUGAGGGACCUCUCGAUACCUUAUCACUUCGUAACUAGUGGCCGGUUUCCCGUCGCGGAAGCCUUUUCCCAGUGCGCGGAGCCCCAACGAGGAAGGUGUUAGUGGUUUCUCAUGGGGUCAAUAAUGCGUCUCCCUCUUUUUGUGCUACUCCUACGGGAAGAAGAUAAGAAAACGCGAAGCGUUCUCUUGGUUUCCCAACCUGUUGCUUCUAAAGGCUGCCCUCUCUCGGCUGGAUUUUGGUCCAGCCUACUACGAGGAUCCCGUAUCCCGUACAUCGUCUUUCUCCCUCCUGGGUUCCCGUGGUUCCUAUGCCGCCGCGUUUCCCGGUCCUUUUCUUUUAGUGCUUCGACCCGAAGCGAUAGCUUGACGCUAGUUCAGUGGAUAAGAUGGCUGCGCUCCAGCUCACUAAAGAAUGGGACGGCAGUGGUCCGCCGGCAAGCUCGUUCUGAUCUUGGACGCAGUACAUUGGAAUCCUGAAGCACCACCACGAACGCUACCGCGCGUGCGCCUACGGUGCGGUAAGGCACCACCCUGUUGUGCCAGCAGCCAACUCCGGCGUGUCAGCUUAGUUAUCCUCAUCAAGCCACAACCUUGAUGUCUAGCUUCCCAACUGGUAGACGGUUCCCUUUCCCCCAGAUCAAUGAAGAAGGGAGAAGUCAGUUGAUUCUUCCGAAGAACCGGAAGCGAAGCGCUAUGCCGGGGCGAGGGGACGGGAAAAGAAACUGCUCCGAAGAAAGAUAUUGGGGUUCCCAAUGCUUCUCCACGCCCAACGAGAUGCGCCAACCUCGGGAUGCUUUACUCCUAACCCCACGACGGUUCCGAGACGGAGCUUAACCUGAGUCUCGGUUAAGAACGGCGAUGAUCUACGUUUCACACGGCGCACGAUUCCAUGGAUAGUUUCAUUCGACAUCGUGAUGGAGGACAUAGCUUACGAUCAUCGGCUUUGAUCAUGCCACUAGGCAUUUGAUUAGGACAUUGCACAAUGAUCCGAACACUUUGUCGCAUCUCUUCGAUACGGAUACAGUAACGAUCAUAGCGAUCUCCUCUGGUACCUACUGGUACGUCAGGAUCCGAUUGGUCAUGAACAUCGUAAGGUGCUGCUCUUCGCGAAUCCCAGCAUACCCCAGGUUGGGAUGGGUAGGCCCACCACUUCACUUUCACUUAGGCCCGGGCCAAGUCAGUGGGGGGACCCUGUCGGGCUCCUUCCCCCCCAAAACAAACUGUACGUGGGAGUUUCCCUUCAUACGGCUCGAAUCAUUCUCAGAUGCCCCGAGAGGCAUCUUUCCUUAAUUGGGUGGUUCACGCGCGCGCAAACGAGCACCGGCCGCAACAGCAAGGAACUAUGACCAAUAGAGUCAGACACAGAGCGUCAUACUUUUUUUCUUGUGAUGGUUGAGGAGUUUCUUUCUCUGAGGGUGCGGGACGCUCGCGGAGUCCGUGCCUUCCGUACCACCACAGGUCGUUCUUGGGCAGAUCCCGCUCCUAAACAUAAGGGAGGGAUAGGGGGAAGGGGGCCGGGCCUAUCAUAUAAAGAGGGUUGUUUAAAGAGAACCCGGCCACCUAUUUUCAUUCGACGUUCCGGGGCGCCCGAUUCGAUCGACGAAUUCGGCGAGCUGAUCUGCUUUGAUCCAGGAGAAAGCCCAGUCAGCCACCUUUUCGGUGUAGGUCACGUGACCUACAGCUCGGUCUUCGCUUUUUGAGACUUCCUCUACCCACAUCUCUAUGUGCCCGCAGCACUUCCAUAUGGAGAAAGAUGGGCUUACCAUGUUCCAUCAAUAGCACCUAACCUAUGCCGAUUUUGGCGGACCGUGCUCCACCCCGGUGAACUCAUGCGGUUCCGACGUGCCCAGAGGCCAGAGGCGAAUCCGUUCACGGUCCUACGGACCAACACCAUUCGAAGGUGGAUGGCCCGCCCCGCCUAGAAUAGGAAUCUUUGACUGGGCUUACACACAUUCGCUCACUUACGCUGUCCCCCCUCAGCUCACCCUAGCCCCGGGUACGUCGUCUCCAAGGCUUCACACAAAAUCUUCACUGACAACAUAUGCAUGCUUUUGUAGGGUCAGGCAGAACCGUUGUUGCCUGAUGGGAACUUCCCCCAUAUUGCUAUCAAUGUCUUCAUGUCGCACGACCUCUUAACAUUACACCACUGAAUCCCCAAUCCUUUGCUUGCUGUGCAGUGACAGUACCAAUAUCCACUAAUCGUUGUUUCCAGAUACGGUUGCCGGUUGACAUCUCUUCUAAUUCGUCGAUACGAGAAGCAAAUUGUUGUGUGGAGGAAUCAAUAUCUCGACAUAAGCCAAGAGGCAGAUCUUGUGCCACUCCACCAGGUCGUAUGAAACUGGCAUGCAUCCUGGCUCCCGGGACUCUUUCAUAGAAUUCCAACAAUUUCUCCCGCUCCUCAAAAGCCCAAAGGAACGGAGUUGAUGCUCCCACAUCCAUAGCAUGAGUAGUUGAAGCAAGUGAAUGAUUUGAAAUUCGAGUUAUUUCACGGAAUAACACUCGUAUAUAUUGAGCUCGUAAUGGUACCUCGAAAUUCAAAAGUCUCUCUACGGCUGAAGAAUGAGCGUGUUCUUGGGCCAUCGUAGAAACAUAGAUAGGGUCGACGACGGAACGAACAACGAAACUUUACGACAGCUUUUUCGUACACGUUCACUUGCAUCACAUACACAAGUGCUCUCUGAACCGUGCAAUAAGGUCACCCAUAACACGGCUCUCCCACUGGAGUGACCUUAGCCCCGGGCCAUGCUAUUCAAUGAUAUUGGAAAAAUGGCAGCGUAACUUUUUUUUAUAAUCGUCUUGAAAGCUGGGCGCCUUUUGAGGGAGGGAAAGCGUUUCAAUAGGAGCCCUACUUCUUUCAGUAGCAAACAUAUUAAGAGUUUCCGGGCGGAGCGCACCUUUGGUACUUCAGUAGGGCAAGCAGUUUGAUAGUGACUUCUUUCUUAGGGUAGGGCGACGAAAGGCUACUUCAAUGACGGAAACGUCAUAGGGUCGCCUUUGGAAGCUAAAGCGGCGAAAGUUGUUGAAAGCCGGGAGAAAAAGCGAAAGCUUGCUCGAAACGGCCCUUGACCCUAACCCUCGGAAGCGAAGACGCAAAGCGUCACUUUUCAAAAGGAAGGAGUGAGGCUGACUGAAUCCAUCCAUAAACCCGGAAACGAAACGAAGUUCGUUCCCGCAACCACUUUGGUACUUUGCUUCUUAUAGUCAAAGUGGGGGACUUGCGCUUGAAUUGAAGUAGCGCCUUUUGAAUAUGAGUGGGGCUCCUAGGUGGCGCGUUCGUGGAGCCAAACCGAAGGAAGAGCAAAAGGAAGGUUGGGCGAGGCCACCCGGCCUCGAAUAGGAGGGGGCUUAGCUCUGGAUCCCGCCUGCUUGCAGAAAUGAAUGGAUCAGAAGGGGGGCUGGGUUCUAUUUCCGGGCCGGGCGGGAGGUGAAGGCCAGAAGAAGAAGAGAAGUGCGCCUUCCCGGUAAGGAAGAAGAGAAAAAGGUGCUGUCAUCUAUCUCGACCAGUUUCCCGAGGCGUUGGAAAUCAAGACCGGCUCAGAGAAUCACUGGCGUGGUUUCUCCCCCCCCAUCGUUUCGCCAACAAAGAAGUCAUCCUUGACUUGACGAUUGACCAUUCCUUCCCUACCGAGCCGCCUCUCUUCGCCAUUCGAAGUACUUACCUCUGCCUUCCUUUGUUUAUAACAUACCAACCUUUCCAAUCACUAAUAAAAAAAAAGAAAUUUUGUUAAAAAAAGACUUCGUCUGUGAUUUUCUCGGCCCCAAGGGAGUUUACUCGACCCAUUCUCCAGUCUCCCGCACUGCUCAAGUGUGCGACUCCGUAUGAGGACCUCCUUCCCUUUUGCCUCUGCCCACUCUCCGUUCACACGGUUAUCAAAGCGGAGGAAGGGUGGGCAGCAGGUACCACGAGCCCUCUGUCCCACACAUCUAUCAAGAAGCAAGUGUAGUUCACCGGUUCCACCGAAUGCUCCUAUCUCUCGGCAAAGAUCGUGUGAGUGUGCAGUUAUGCUUCGGAUGCUUCGCCAUGGAAUAGAUCGACUCAGUUCCCGUUCUUUUCCGGUGCACUCGCUUUAUAUCUCCGACACACAAGGAAGGACGCGGUGGGAAGGAAGCAGCCCUAGCCUCUGUCCGGCCGAUCAUUCCGCUGGCAUCUUGCAUUCACGCCUCCGUUUGACUGCCGCUCGGGGAUGUAGUUGUAGAUACGUGAGUCUUAGUGGGUCGUUGGCUCCACCUGUUAUCUCCUUCUACGACAUGCUGUUGUCGUCGCCAUAUCAAAUAUGUCACUUAGUAAUAUCUGCCUCGCUGCGGGUCAGCACCUCCGAAAGAAACGGAGGACUUCAUUCAGUGACUCCGCGAUCGCCCUCUGAACGAUCAGAAUAAGGUAAAGCUUGAAGAUAAGUUUUGUACUCUAUUAAUUUCUCAGUCCCUCUAGUCGGGUGGGCGCCGGCCGGUCUUUCGGCCGGAUCCCCCUGAAAACCGUACGUGCGGGUCUCCCCGCAUGCGGCUCACGCCAUUCGAGGUGGCCCAGCCCAGCAUUCAUUCGCAAAUCCAGUAGUGAAAUUGAGACUGCUCGACCUCGGAAGCUAAUUCGCGUGUAGGCAGCGCUGUCUGUCUACCGUCUAUCUAUUCAUUGAUACAUUGGCUCGCUCCCUCCCUCUUUUUCCAAGAAUGAAUGAGCCGCUCGGAAAAAGCCUUCCAUUUCCGUCAAAUGACCCGGCCUCCCCUGGCUCUUCCACCGUCCGGGCUCCCUUUCCUCCCUAUGCUCCCCCGGCGCAGGCCUACCACGCUUCGCGCCUGCGGCGUUUUCGCCAGACGGUCUUUGCCAGUAGUGCCAUCCUCCCCGCAGGCUGUCUGUAUGGGUGGGUUGUCCCUUGCUGCUACGUUCUGUUAGGCGCUAUGAAUUACAGGAAAUUAAGUGGUUGACUUGGACAGCAGGCGGGUUACACGUUCCACUGUGCCGAGAUGUGAGGUGCAGGUGGUGAUGAUCACCCCGGGGUAUGCGCUAGCGCCCUUGACGGGCACUCCAGGACCCGCCAACGCUCGUGAAAACCCAGGUCGGUCGGUCCUCCAUUCAUCCGACCAGAUGUGUGGAUAACGAGGCCACCUUCACAACCUUCUCCCUUCUAUCCCUAUCCAAAGUAAGGUAGGGCGGUUCGCUUGAGUUGCUCAACCGCCCCUUUGCCCGGUGCUCAUGACGCGCUACGGAACCUCCACCGUGCCGGGGGACCGAGCAGGGCAUAGCUAGCGGCAUAGGAGCCUACUCAGCGUCAGCGGCUUCGUGCCGCACUGGAGUGAUCCAAUAUGUGGUUCCGCACGUUCCACCACUUCUCCGUUCAUUUCCAAUACUGAUCGUGAAACACCAUGAGCAGCAGGAUGUUGAGGUCCGGAAUUCGAAGUGAAAUUCUUGAUUUGCCCGUUCCUAGUCGUCAUGGGAAAGAAAGGCAGAAAGAAAUAAGAAAGAGAUUAUUCCCCUAGAGCUUGUCCAGUACCACCAGUACUAAAAAUGCAUCUCCUUCGCCCGCGCGUGUCUACCUGGCGCGCCGCCUUGCAUGCAAGCGAAGCGCUAUUGGCGGCAAUUAAUAGCUCACUGAGCGAUGAUUGAUGCAGUCAGUCAGUGCCCUCGAUUGUUCCAGAUAGAAGGAUCAUGGCGCCCCGGAACCAUGACAUCCAGCAGCAGCAGCAUCUCCUUGCGUGCAAGAGACUUCUAUGCCGGCCGUUAUUCCCGGCUCUGUGUUGAAAAAAAGCGGCAGCUAAAGCAAAUCUAAAGCUUAGUUGCUUUUUGCUUCUUAUUCUUUGCCAACCAACCACUUGGUACCAAGCAACCGGUUAGCUGUAGCGCUUUCAAAGUAGAAGAGUGGUCUCUUAUCUUAGAAGUGGUGGUGUAAGAAGCGCGCUAUCCUCUUUGUCUUGAAAGAAAGUGAGUAAGCGUAUACGUUAGAUAAGUAAGCAGCGUAAUAAGCCGGCCUUUUCAGAAAGUCCCAAAUUGAAGAAAGAAAAAAGUAAUGAAUGCCAGUGUCCCGGAAUAGAACAUAUGAUUGAUUGAAUGAAGUGGCUGGCUUGGCGAGAAAAAGAAGUGUUGGUCCCAUGCACCAUGCCUGCUGCCUGCUCUUGUCAUGCAGGCUCCCCACGCUGAAUAACAUGGGGGCUGUUUGCCUUUGGUAAAGAUGGGGAACACCUGCUCGCUGACCCCUCUCUUCCUUCCUAUGGACGACCAAAAGCAGGGUGCUCCCUAUUACUAAUCUAUAGGGCAGGGCGUAUAAGACUUGAUUUGCGGC